AUCAAAUUACCUGAUCAUUGUGCAGAAAUUCCAACUUUUUCUUGUAAAACUCGACAUACCUCCGACGAUAGAGUCUGUUAGAUGAGAAAAAAACGUCAAUAACAGUCUAACAAAGAAGACUUAGGAAUGUAAACAAAAUGAAAAAGAUGGUGGGCCAUAACUUCACAAAUAAGCAUUGACAAAGACAUGGGACAAAGAUACUACAUGAUAAGGAUACGAGAUCCUGCCAAUUUCUCAACAAGGACACAAAACAAUGGUAUACAUUUUGUUUCUCUAUGUUUUUUUUCCUUUUUUAGAAAGAAAACGACACUUUUCAUUGAAAUCAAAUGCUUGUGCACUUCCAUGAUAAGGUUACAUUUUACAUUCAACAGUGAAAUAAUAGAGGAACAGAUGGCUUGAGGUGGCAAAGUCGUGAAGAGUUAAACUCAGAUUUUUAGAAUCAAAACUGGAACUCGUCCACAAAUACAACUUUCUUCCAAGACAUCAGAAUUAAAGUCAUUAAUUUUAGAGGUUGGAGCUGAAAGUCACUUACGAGAGUAACAUUUAGCAUGAACUGGAAAAAGCUGUGAGACAACUGCUUCGAGAGGUGAAAAAACAAGGGAGCCUAAUUCUUCCCCUUCCUUCAACGGAUAUUUUGAGAAUUUAGAACAAUUUGUCUUAAUAAAAGGUUUUAGAAGCGGCUCAAGUCUUCUUCAUGGUAUUUUCAUUCCAAGAAGUUUGAAGAGUUCUCAAGUUUCCUGUUAGUACAAUUGUCCUGUUUAAGCUUGGUAUAAUAUGUGUAUAAUAUAAUUACGUAUAGUCGUCCUUUAUUGUAAUUCCUUAUCUCAUAGAUUAGGGUUUCUGUGUGGCCUAUAUAUAUAUAUACCUUUAGCUUUGUUUAAUAACAUAAGAUCAUUAUCUUUUCUCAAAAAGUACAGAGAACAUAUUUCUUUGUCAUAAUUAUCCAAGUCCGGGGAGUCACGGAUCCAUCUUUUUCGGAAAUGGAAGUCAAAAGUUGCAAAAUCGUGGACUCUUUCUACUGUAUCUGGUUUGAAAAGGGGAGGUUCAAUGUUGAAGAUGCAGACUUCCAGAAAAUCCUCAGAUUAUCCAAGUCCCAAUUAGAAUAGCUCAUUGAUUCAUUAGAUGUUCUUGUAAAAGAACCAGACUGGAAGUUUUUUAACAAAUCUGGGAGUGAUGAAACCGGAACAACAAGACUAUCCAAAUUCCGAACCCCGUCCGGUUGGUUUCUAAGGUGUGUUGCUCAAAACUCCUCUGGAUUUCAAUCCUUCAUCCACAUCUACUCAAGAGAAACCAGGCAAGGCUGGGUAUCCUUCCUCAAUAUGAUCAAGGCUUUUUAUUGAUUCAUAAUUAUACGUCCUGGCACUCCACUCUUCAUUCAGAAGCCAACCAUUCACACCAACAAGCCCUCAAUCGCCCAAAGACACGACCAAGUUAUGCAGACAAAGUGAAGUUCUCAAAGAAAAAUGUACACUCUGUUUUCAAUCCAGAAACACAGAGUAUGGAAUUUUCACCCAAAAAUCCAUCCCUUUCUCGUAAGAAAAACCUUACCGUGAAGCAGUCAGAGGAACAUUUUUGGGUGAGGAAAAAUGAAGAUAUUUUACAGGAAGACUUCAAUAACCUAUGGGUUUUAAACAGACUUUUCAUUUUUGAUGACUGGAAGGACAUUGUGUUAUAUCUAGAAGAGCUAUUUCAAGUCAAAAUCAGUCUUAACCCUUUAUUUGCAGACAAAGCCAUCAUCAAAGUUACCCAAGGAAAUUUUGAAGAUAUGAUUUAUGUACAGGAUAAAUGGUUCAAUUAUGGAAAAUUUCAUCUAUUAUUUGAAAAAUGGAAUGAAGCCAAACACAGCAGACAAACUCUUAUUGAAGGGUUCGGAGGAUGGUUGUCAAUUAAAAAUCUUCCCCUAAACUUAUGGCGAAGAAAUAUUUUUGAAGCAACUGGGGCUUACUUUGGCGGAUUGGAAAGUAUAGCAUUAGAGACACUUAAUUUGAUCAAGCGCUCUGAAGCAGAAAUUAAAGUCCAAAAUAAUCUUUGUGGAUUCUUACCAGCAACUAUAGAGCUAAAGAGUGAGAUCCGAGGGAAUUCUUUUCUUAAUUUUGGGGAUUUUGAACCCUUAGAAGUCCCUGCAACAGUUCAUCAUAAUCAAUCUCAUAGUGAUUUUUCCAAUCCUAUUGAUUUAUAUAGACUGAAUUCAGUGAUUAUUGAUGAAGAACUCCAAGGUGAUGACCUCUCAGAGACCUGGAAUUUUCUCAAACAGAAUACUCAUUCCAUCUCUAGGAAUCCUUUCGAGGCUCUAAGGAAGCUGGGGGUGUGAAGAUGAAAAUCCAUUUUGGCCGGAAAAAAAUUCAGUCAAGGAACGCUCACCGGAUAAUACCUGUUUCAGGAGACAAAAUUCAAAUCUGAAUAAAGCUGGCUCUUCCACAUGCUUAGAGGAGGAGAAGACUACACCAGAAGAGAGAGAAAUUAAGAUCUCAAAAAAAGAAAACGAAAAGACUGUCAGGCGGCCCGUUAAUACCUCAAAAAACGGCUCUUUUUUAGUCCUUCACAUUCAGAUUUUCUCCAAUAUAAUAUAUCAGUAAGCCUAUUAAAAGAUGACACAUGUUUGGUAGGCCCCACGAAAUUUAUUACUCAGAAAACCAAUGGCUGCUGGUAUUCUGACGGAUUUGAGGAAGAAACAGAGUCCUUUUCUCCACCAAGGAAUUUCCUUUUCAGACCAUCUCCUGUAUCUUGUAAUCAACCAAAAUGACCAGCUUCUUCCAAGAAUAAAACCUUCUCUGUAAAGAAAGCCAUCCCAAGCCAAUCAAGAAAAUUAUCUAAGAACCUCAAGACCUUUAUCAAAGGGAGAACUUCUUUUUGCAACAUUUGGACGGGCUUGGCUAACUCUGACUUAUUAGAAGAAAGUUUUGUGAAGUUACAAAUUCCAAAUUCUGGAGGAAACAGGUCAGUACUGCCUUCUUCAUUAAAUAUUAAUAAUUUUUCUCAAUCCUCCUCCAAGCUUUCUGGUUCAUUUCUCAAUUAUGUGCAAGGUACCUCUUGUUUCAAAAAAGCAGAGAACCCAGAAGAUGAAAUUAUGGAAGUUGAAUCAGUUAUCAGUGUGAGUAGUGCAGAAAUUGAACCAGUCGAGGAAGAAGAAAUCCAAACAGAGACAGAGAAACUAAAAGAUAAUGACUCUCUAGACCCAUGUAUUACUAAGCUUGUUUCCUCCCCAGAGAAAGAAAGUUUGUGCAAGACAAAAGACUCCUUCCCCCUCAAGAGUUAAUCCCAUUCUUGGCAGCCUUUUAAAUUAAAUUGAUCUAAGGCAGGGGUACUCAGGAUGAAGAUUAUAUCGUGGAACACUAGAGCAAUCAUGGGUCAAUCAAAACAAUUGGCUAUUAAAACACUUUUGAAGAAAGUUAAUCCAGAUAUAGUAAUGAUUGAAGAGACCAAAAGAGAAGAAAUUGACAGUUGUAUUAUAAAGGCACUAUGGAGUUCGAAAGGAAUCGGCUGGGACCUAGUUGAAGCUAAUGGCAGAUCAGGAGGAUUGCUGAUUGUGUGGGAUGAAUCUAAGCAGUCAGUUUUGGAAGUACUGAAACGAGGAUAUUCUAUUUCAAUAAAAUGCAGCACAAUCAAUAGAAAAAUCUGUGCUGGAUCUCAAACAUCUAUGGACCCACAUAUUAUCGAGAUAGAAACCAAAUUGGUCGGAGUUGUCUCUUCUGUCAGACCCCAGUACAGGAGCUUGGUGUUUGGGUGGGGAUUUCAACAUUACUCGGAAGGUACAAGAGAGAUUUCCAGUACGAAGAUUAACAAGGGGAAUGAGAAAAUUUAAUAAAUUCAUUAGAGAGUCAAAAUUGCUAGAAAUUCCGCUGUCCAAUGGUAAAUUCUCAUGGUCAAGAGAAGGAAGGACAGUUUCACGUUCUCUGCUGGAUAGGUUCCUAGUAACUGAUGAUUGGGAUGAAUCCUUUGUUGAUACCAGAGCCUCUCAAAAGGAAAGACUUGCUUCAGAUCAUUUCCCCAUCUUAUUAGAAUUCGGUGCUUUUGAAUGGGGCCCCUCUCCAUUUCGCUUUUGCAACAGCUGGCUGCUCGAUAAGCAGUGCUGCCAUAUUAUAGAAAAUUCUUUGACCUCAGGAAAUCAUCAAGGGUGGGCUGGUUUUGUCAUUUGUUCAAAACUACGAAAUUUAAAAAGCUCCUUGAAAUCUUGGCUUGUGGACAGUGAAAGAGCCAGAAAAAACCAAGAAGAGUCUUUGCUCCAAGGUCUUGAAAAUGAAGAAAUUAAGGAAGAAUCUCAGACCCUGUCAUCCUUAGACAACAUUAUGAAUUGUCUAUCAAAUCAGACCUCUUAGCAAUCUAUAGAAGAGAGGAAAGAGACUUAAUUCAAAAAUGUAAGUUGAACUGGUUAAAAUUGGGAGAUGAAAAUACUAGUUUCGUCCAUCGUUUCCUUGCUGCAAAAAAAAGGCAUAGCUUGAUUUCAGAAUUGAUUGAUGACCAAGGUACUCCUACAGUUUCAUUUAAUGGAAUUGAAAGUCUCAUCAUUGAAUUCUACAAGUCUCUCUAUACAAAAGCCCCUCAAGCUUGGCUCUCUUCCUAAUCCCCUUGAAUGGUCAGUGGUUUCGGCAGAACAAAAUACAAGGCUCACCUCAAUAUUUAGUCUGCCCGAAAUAAAAUCUGCACUUCAACUCCUGGGAAAAAAUAAGGCCCCUGGACCAGACAGGUAUACAGCUGAAUUUCUAAUCAGCUUUUGGGAUCAUUUCAAAGAUAAUUACCGUGCUCUCUUUAAUGAGUUUUAUAAGAAUGGGAGGUUAAAUGCAUGUGUAAAAGAGAACUUCAUUUGUUUAAUCAAGAAGAAAGAAGAUGCAGUAAGGGUAAAAGACUUUAGACCAAUAAGUCUUACAACAUCAAUUUAUAAGCUGGUCGCAAAGGUUCUCGCUGAAAGAUUAAAGAAAGUAAUGCCAAGUAUUAUUGCUCCAUCACAAAGUGGCUUUCUGGAAGGGCGCCAAAUCUUGGACCCUAUUUUAAUUGCAAACAAAGCUGUGGAGGAUUAUAGAAUCAGAAAAAAGAAAGGAUGGAUCAUUAAAUUAGACCUUGAAAAGGCUUUCGACAGAGUAGAUUGGGCAUUUUUAGAAAAAGUAAUGCAUAAGAAGAACUUCGCUGAAAAAUGGAUCUAAUGGAUAAUGAGUUGUAUCAAGAAUCCUAAAUAUUCGGUCUUUAUCAAUGGAAGGCCAAGAGCGGGUUAAAGUUGAUGUUGAUGUUGAUGUUGAUGUUGAACAAGUUUUCAAGAUGGGCUUUUAUGUCCUUCAAUUCAUCAAAGGCAAAUAAAUGUGAUAAUAUCAAGAGUCUCUUCCUUAAUGCAAACAUCGGAUUUUUGGACCCAAUGCCUUUCGUCCAAAAUUUGAUUUUUUUCAUCUAUCCUUGAUUGAGAAUUGCCCAAAGAAAUGAAGACCACCCCUUCUUAGAAUCACCUGAAAAGAUAUGAAUAAAGGAGAAGUCAUUGUAUCCCUUUCAUGCUACACACAUCAUGAACCACCCUGAACGAGUUCAAAAUUUAGUUAGCAUUGCUGAUUCACGUCUUUCAUUCUGUUUUCCAAAAAGAACUUCCAUUCUGGUUCUUUCACUAGGUUCGCAAUAGCUUCCAAGAACCAUUCAAGUUGGAUCUUAGACACUUUGACAAUUUUUCUGAAAUCCACAUCCUCAAUAUCGAAAUAUCCUCUUUCAAACAAUAUGCAGUAAAACGAAUCUUGAAUUUUGUAGCUUUUCACCACCAUGUCUGAAACUACUUGUCUUGCCGGAAUUAGAGAAUACCGAAGCCAAGUAGAAACCGUGGAGUGGGGGAGGAGGCGAGAGGAGAGAGGACUUACCUUCUUUGGUUUUAAAAAAGAGCAGGUUGUUUCAAGAUGUUCUAGGUUCAAGUAUGUACAAUGUAGUUUCCUCCCCAAUUAAAAUUGAUUUCCACUUGUUGGGUCUUUAAAGUAUUUCAAGCUCAUGAGUCCGGGAGAGUGUUAGUGAUAUAUAUAAUUAAAUUUACCAACCCACUGGCUUAAGUUUUUUGGACUAUCGGUGAUUUAAGACUUCUUUUUCUUUAUCCUAGUUUGUUUAUGUAACCUUCUCGAAAAGUUACAUAUCCUUAUCUAAAAAUGAAAUAGGUUCUUCUCUGAAGAAAAUGAAAUGGGUUGGUUAUUUAGGCCCCGUUUGGUAACCAUAAUGUUUUUUGUUUUUGUUUUUGAAACUUAAGCUUAUUUCCUCUCCAUGUGUUACAAUGAUUUGCAUCUUUCAAUAAUACUAACGGUUUAAGUCAAAUUCAAAAAAUAAAAAUCAACUUUUUGAAAGCAAUUUUUUUUUAAUUUUCAAAACAUGGCUUGGUUUCUUAAAACAUUGGUACAAUGUAGAUAACAAAAGAAGAAAGUUGGAAGUUAGUGUUUAUAGGCAUAAUUUUUAAGAACAAAAUGGUUACAAGAUGAGGCGUAACUAAACUGUUUAUAAUUUUCCCAUCACUCUUUUUAAAUCGACAUGUCAGCACGUCACUCUUAUCCUUUACUUAGAACUAAAGAACACAACUGUACAACCUGUAGAACAGAUCAUGUUCAAGUUUGUCAAAUGUCACUCUUAUCAUUUAAAAAUAAUCAAGUACAAAACAUUAUAUGUUACAGCCUUACAGCUGAUUUGCAUUUGAGUAGCUGAAAACACGAAAAGAAAACAACAAACAAUACACAUAGAAAUUGCCAAAAUAAUACAUUUUCUUGUAUGUUUCACAAAGAGAUAAGAGUUUUCUCAAGUAGAAGAACAACCCAUUACAAAGAAGAAAAAAAUAAAUCUGGCAAAUAUAAUACAAGAAAAUAAAUAACUUGGGAAAUUCAUAGAAAACAUAAGGGCACGAGUGUGAGACCCAAGUUUGGAAAAGAAUGGUCAUUUUGAAGUAAGAGUUUUGAUUAUAAGGAUCUUUGGAAGAAAGCGUUUCAAAGUAGGUGUUAUGAUGGUUCGCAUUGAAGCUAGGCGACGCAAUGAAGAAGGCGUUUUGACAUCCAACGUGAGACAGAGCCAGCAAAGAGAGUUAAGAAAUUUCGAAAAUUUCCUAAUUGUGCUUAAUUAGUGGGCUACGUGUCAAGGUUAAGCUUAAGCAUGACUAAGAGAAAUAUUAAACUUGCACGUGUAACACUUCAAGUAGGAGCUGGCGAACUAAGGGAGCUUAAGGAAUUACUAAUCCUAGGAUUAGUAUAAAUAGGAUUGAAAGGUCUGAAGAAAAGGAUGUUACUCUGAGAUUUUGCUAAGAAAAAAUAUAUAUGUCUUGCUAAGAAGUCACUAGGUGAGAAGAAGAGUUUUGGAGUUAGGAGAUCAAGGAAGAAACAAAACUUAGUGUUUGUGAGUGAUUUUCUUUAAAUGAAUGAACAGAGCUUUCUAAGCAUUCUUUCUAAAAGUUUCAUCUCGUUUAGUAAUGCUGUAAUGCACAUUAACGUUUAUGAGAAAGCGCUGAUUUCUAAAGAAAGUUUUUAAGUUAUGCUUUCAAGCUAAAGUUUCAUGUUUGAUGAUUGUAUGCGAGUAAACCAUUAGCUUUAUUCCUAUCAAUGAGCUACCUAUUAUGUGCACAUAAUGAGUCAAGGAAACCAUGGAGUGAAAGGACCACAUGGCACUAAGAAGUUGGCCAAUGCGUUGAAAGGAGCGUAUUGAGUUCGCAGCCUGAGCAACGAGAAAUGAACUGGAAAAUUCUUCAAGGGAUGCUGGUGAAAUGAAUCCCAAUAAUUUGUGCGUGUGAAUAGCUCAUGUUCUUGGCGAAAGGAAUAAGUAAAGGCUACUGUGUGAUUUAUGAUUUUCAAUGAGCCGUUGAAGCCUGUAUAUGAAAAUGUAUUUCACAAGGAGAGAAGGUUUUAAUAAAUAGAAGAACAACCCAUUAUGAAGAAGGAAAAAAUAAGUUUGGCAAAUAUAAUACAACCAAAAAAAUAAAAUAUAAUACAAGAAAGGAAAUAAUCAACAUAGAUAUAUGCAUAUUAAAAGUAUUAGAAGCAAAUAAAGACAUAAAACUUAUGGUCUAAAUCAAAAGUUUGUAUCUUGAACAUUUUCUCCUAAUCAAUUAAAAAUUUCCUGCUAAAAGAAUGACAAAUAAAUAAAAAAACUUACAGUCUCUGUCCAAGAUAUCUCCAUGAACAUUUCUUCAAUCUUUUUCGUACAUCUAACAAGACAGAUUGUUGUGCAUAAUGCCACCAUAACAUUUGCCAACCCUUCACCUUCCUUGAAAGGGGGAAGCACCAGGGGCGAAAUCUUCCAUACCUACAGUAUAAGAAGUUAGGUGAACUGUGAUAUACAGGCAUUGUGUAAUACUGCAAUUAGAAAUAAAUAACUUCGUAGGGUCUCAAAUGUGAUUGUGACAAUUAAAUGAUUUUAAGAUUUGGUUUUUCAAAAAAAAAGAUACAAGUUUUAAAUUUUUUUUUUUUUUUUUUUUUGAAAAGAUAACAGUAUCUUCAUUAAUAUAUUAACAAUGAGGAGGUGCACCUGGACAUCUCAACUAGGUUGACACCCCCAUAGCACCCUCAUCAUAUCCAACCAAGCUAAAAACCAAAAACAAAGGUGUAAUGUCCAAAAGCAAAACAAAACCCAAAUGAAGUACAAAGAAAUACAAAUAAGAAAACUAAACAGACUAAACAUCCAUCUAAAGAAAAGACGACUGAUUAGGCUUAUAUCUCGCACUGAGUCAAUCAUAAAAUCCUUGGAGAGGGAACACCACGAGGAGGCUAAAAUUUUGUUGACUCCAACAAGGACUUAACGCUGAGAAGCUUCCUCUGAAAAAUUCUCAAGAUUCUUUCCAAACACAAUUCUGACAACAAUGCAAAAAAGUUGUGAAUGAGCAAUCAAAAACAGAUCCUGUGAAGAGUCACUAGCAGCAGUGCAUAUAGUGCAGAUUGAGGGAGACAAACAGUGAUUAUACAUCUUCCUUUUUAACAACCUUAAGCUCCAAAAAAAAAUUUUCCAAAUUACAUUAUUGAUUCAGCGUGGACUUCUGUAUUUCCAUAGCGAUUUUUCCAGCUUUUUAUACAAAGGAAUGAACUAACUCAAAAUUUUCCAAAAGGAGCCAACGGCCAAUAUCUUUGGUCAAUUAUAUCCCUUACUUUCCUAUGUGACAAAAGCCCCAUAAGAUUCUAAAACUCACUUGUUUCUUCAACCUUCAAGUUUUCUUCAAACAAUAGUUCCCAGCAAACUACUUUCUGCUGUGGAACCUAUUUAGACCGAUGAUAUGUUUGGUGUGGAACCAUAGACCAAUCUUCCAAAAUUAGAUCAAGAAAUGGAAUGGGCUAUAACACGCCUGCAGGUUUGGUGGCCUCAAAUUUAUUCCUUUGGCAUGUGUCACAUGUUUCUACAUGUUUCUACAUAUUUCUUCACCUCUUCCUUGAUUACCUGCUAGUACAAUUCUCCACUCAUAUUCUUAUAAGUCCUUAAAAAUCCGGAAUGACCGCCCAAGGUAGAAUCAUGGAAAGUGUGUAACAAGGUGGGAAUCAGCGAGGAAGUCUUCAGUAGAAGUACUCUUCCUUUGUAAAGCAAUCUCCCCCUACUCCAUUGGUACUUCGCGUGUUUCCCGGUAUCUCUCUCCAAUUCUGUUAUGAUCUUCUGAAGUUCAUCAUCCUUUUCUACCUCUUUAAUGACUACUUCCAUAUCAACAAUUCCCGUGGUCGUUAUCGUGUUCAGUUCCACAAGUGGUUCCAUCCUCGAAAGGGCAUCGGCAGCCUUAUUUUGAAGUCCCAAUUGGUAGAGAAUUUCAAAAUCAUACCCUAACACUUUUGUUACCCAUUUCUGAAACUGUGGCUACACUUCCCUCUGUUCCAACAAAAUUUCAAGGCCUUCUGGUCUGAAAUAAUGGUGAAUUUUCUCCCCAAAAGAUAGUGUCUCCAUUUUUGUACUGAUAGCACCACACCCAUAAGCUCCCUUUCAUACAUAGAUUUCAAUUGAGCCCUUGGAGAUAGUUUCUGGCUAAAGAAAGCAAUCAGAUGUCCAUUUUGGGAGAACACGACUCCUAAACCAACUCCAGAUGCGUCAAUUUCAAUGGUGAAAGGAUGAGACCAAUUUGGUAGAGCCAAUACUGGAAUAGUAGUCAUUGCUCUCUUCAACCUCUCGAAGGCUACCGAAGCUUCUUAAUCCCAUUUAAAUGCGUUUAUCUGUAACAGCCUGGUUAGGGGUGCUGCAAUCUCUCCAUAUCCUUUUACAAAUCUCCGAUAAUACCCAGCCAAGCCUAGGAAUCCUCCGAGUUCAGUUACCCCUUUCGGUUGAGGCCAAUUUACCAUACUUUGGAUUUUAUCACUAUCUGCCUCCACUCCUUUCUUAGAUAUUUGAUGACCCAGGUAUUGAAUUUGAGAAUGUGCUAUGACACAUUUCUUUUUGUUGGCAAAGAGUUAGUUGUCUCUCAGAACCGCAAAGACCAUUCCCAAAUGUUUUUCAUGCACUACAAUGUCGGUACUAUAGACGAGUAUAUCAUCAAAGAAAACUAACACACAUCAUCUUAGGAAGGGUUUAAAUACCUGGUUCAUUAAAGAUUGGAUGGUGGCAGGUGCAUUAGUGAGGCCGAAAGGCAUUACCAAGAAUUCGUAAUGUCCCUCGUGGGUACGAAAUGCAGUCUUCUCAAUAUCUUCCCCCUCAUUCUAAUCUGAUGGUACCCUGAUUUCAUAUCCAACUUCGAGAAAAUUGUUGCCCCAUUCAAUUCAUCCAAUAACUCUUCAGUGACGGGUAUAGGGAAUUUAUCAGAAAUGGUCAUUUGAUUGAGCUUCUUGUAAUCUACAUAGAAUAUCCAUCCUCCAUCUUUUUUCUUAACCAAUAUAAUCGGACUUGAGUAGGGACUGUGGUUUGGCCUAAUUAUUCCAGCUUGUAACAUUUUGGCUACCAGUUUUUCAAUUUCCUCUUUCUGUAUACGUCCAUAUUUAUAAGGCUUCACAUUAAUGUUAGAAUACGAUGACCAACUUCCCUUUUAGGUGGCAGCUCCUUUGGUGUCUCGAAAAUAUCAGCAUGGUACCUUAGCAAGGAUUGUAUCAUGGGCACCUCUUCUUCGUCUCCCUUCGUCUCUCCCUUUUCUUCCCAGUCCUCUUCCUUUUCUAUUUCAUAAUUUUGCAGUUCCAAAAGGAAGCCUUGGUCUUCUACUUCCCAGGUUUUCUCCAGCGUUUUUAAGGAACGCUCUGCCCUGAUGAGUGAAGGAUCCCCCUUUAAAAUUAUUGGCUUUUCUCCUACCAUAAACGACAUAGUGAGUGUCGGCCGAUGGAUCUUCAUGGUUCCGGUCGUAUCAAGCCAUUGCAUACCCAAAACCACAUCCACUCUUCCGAACUCCACAGCCAAAAAGUCCGCCAAAAUGGUUAACUCCCUCAGUUUCAGUUCUACUCUCUUGCAGAUCCCUUUUCCAAGACAGCAUGUACCAUUCCCGAUUGUUACUCCAAAUUUUGUCCCUUGUGUGAUAUUCAGUUGUUUCUCCUCCACUAGUGCCUCAUGAAUGAAGUUGUGGGUUGCUCCACUAUCAAUAAGAACUAUCACUUCUUUUCCUUCUAUCUUCCCUCUCAGCUUCAUGGUUCCCUUAGAUGUGAGACCGGUGAUUGUCUUGAGUUCGAUCUCUGUUUCCUCUAAUAUAUCUAAUUGUUUUAGUUCCACAAUUUCCUCGGUGCUCUCCUCCCUUGGGUUUCCUUCCUCAACACUUUCUUCCUCAUUGAGAAUAAAGAGCAUCAGUUCUCUUUUUUCCUUGACCUUGCAACGGUGACCCGGUGAGUAUUUUUCAUUACACCUAAAACAUAGGCCCUUAUCCAGUCUUGCCCUGAAUUCAGUGUCUGACAGUCUCUUCACGGGGGGUUCAUUUCUUUGAUAAUUUCCCUUGAUGGGAAUAGACACUUGUUUCAUCUUAAAUUCACUCCUCUUUUGACUACUCUUCUCAUUAUUCUCUGGUGGCUUCCCCGACCCUCCUCCUUUCAAUUUUGUUUUUCCCCAUUCUGCUUUGGCUAACUGCAAUGCUAAAUUUCUAUCAUUCACUAACUGUGCUUCCUUCAUAUAUUCUUCCAAGGUUUGAGGAUACCUGCUGAUCACUUCAGCUUGCAAUGCAGGUUCGAAACCAGUCACAAAAGCAUCCAUUAAAAUACUUUCAGCCAUUUGGGGCAAUGGGGUCGAGUAGUUGACGAACUUCUUUAAGUAGUCAUUAUAAGUUCCAUCUUGCUCUAUUCGAAUUAACCUUGCUCCCAAACUUUUUUGUCCAGAAUCCCGAAAGAACUCAAACAUCCUCCCUUUCAAAUCCUCCCAGUUUUUUACCUUCUUGCGAUCAUUACUCCACCGAUACCAAUCGACCUCAUCUUGUCCAAAGCUAACGACGGCUACUUUGACCUUCUCUGCUUCCGCCAAGUUGUUAAUAUCAAAGAAGUGCUCCGCUCCGUAUAUCCAUGAUUCUGGGUUCUCUCCAGUGAACAUCGACAUCUCCAACUUUUUAUAUUUGCUUCGAUCUGCAUUGACAGCAUUCCCUUCCACGGUGGUUUCCAUCUACCCCAUCUUUCCCUUAAGUUCCAUAACAGAACCAUCAGUAGUGCCUGAUUCUUCCCUCCUUUUGUAGCUAUGGCUUUCUCUCAUCUCCUCAGCUAUCCUAUCCAUGGAUUUCUUCAUUUCUAAUAUCAUCUCCUUUAAGCCCAGGAUUUCUUUCUCCGUUCCAUCCACCCUAUCUUCUAUUUGUCGUUGAGCCAUUAAUCUCGUAACCACCCCCAGUUCUUUUUCUAGGCUCUGAUACCAAUUGUUAGGACUGUAACAAUAAAACACAAAUAUCCUAAAGAGAGGCAGCACUCUGUAAAUCUUUAGUUAUGUAUAAGCCAAAACACCUUCAACAGUAGUAGUUAUGAAAAAAAAAGGAAGAACAACACAUAAAACUUACCCAGCUCCUUUAUACGGGACCGGAUAGCCUCAGGCUACAGCAGCCUUUACUCUCCUUGAAAAUGACCAAAAAAAGACCUAGCCCCCAUACCCCAACAUUACAUAUUUAUACCUCUCUCUCUCAUCCCUCCUGGAGGGCCCCACAUGCACGAUCCUCUCCCAUUAUUCUCUCAUCAUUGGUUGCUAAGGAAUUUCCCUUUCUACCCUUCCUUUUAUAGGUAUAGAUAAUAGGUCUUACAGAAUCCCACAGUAUGUUUAGGGAUCAAGGACUGCUCCUUACCCAUACAAAAUAACAUUGUAUCCGCAAACUAAAGAUGCGAUAAGGCCACCUCAUUCAAACCAACCCUAAAUUACUCUAUUAUGUUUCCAAUCACCCACUUUAAUAUGAGUCGACUUAAGACAUCCACGACAAGUAAAAACAAGAAGGGGGACAAAGGGUUCCAUUGUCUUAGCCCUAUGAAAGCAUAAAUAGAUCCCUUUGGGUUCCAUAGAUGAGAAAAGAGUACUUUCACAUUCCUCACACAGCCCCACAUCCUCCACUUAUAUCCAAAAAAAAUCCAAAUCAACAUGAACAUAAGUCUUUUCAAAAUCGAGAUUCAGAUAUUUAAUUAUAAAAUUGCAUUUGAAAUACAUACUUCAAUUAAAUAUAUACUUCAGAGCUUCAGAAGCCUUGAAAAGCAAAAGUUUCAUCAAAGCACUCAUGUUAAACAACAAAAGUACAUACAAUUUGAAGCUAUUUGUUUUUUGCUCCCCCCCCCACUCCCCCUUGUGAUUCUCGUUGUUUUCUCCCGGUCCUUUUCUGUUUUUCUGGACCUUUGUACUAAGCUGGUCGCUUUUAUUUGCUAGAGAUCAAGAUAUUAUGUUUGGCGCUAAGGGGUGUCAACCUAGUUGAGAUGUCCGAGUGCGCCUCCUGAUCCCUCUAGGUCUCCCUUGUUUACUACUUCUUUUUGGCUCUCUUUGUAUAACUCUCUUGUACCUUGAGUUCUUAUUAAUAAAGAAGUUCUUGUCUCCGUUUCAUUAAAAAAAAGUACAAAACGAUUCCCAAGCUUACGAAGUUGUUCUUGGAUGGGAAAGACAAAAAAAGACAAAAAGGAGUAACCUUACGAAAAGUCUAACCUUCAACAUUAAUUGAAGCCUUAUCUUUCAAAGGUCAAAAGAAAAUAUUAUGGACAGAGCAACUCUUAGUUUCUAUGAUGAAAUCAAAAGCUCAAAGAGUGGCAGUGGAUGAAACUAAACGUUAGGAAGUGGGUCAGAAGGAUAUGGUUGAAGGCUGAGAAAGAGAGGAUAAAACAAAGUCCUUUUGAGUUCAACCCCACCUCAUGAAGACUUUUGAAGUCUGAAGACAUAAGAAGCAUAGAGCAAUCACAAAAGGACAAGAAAAAAAUAAACAAAUAAGACCUGUAGUCGCAAAAAUAACAGCUUCAAAAUCAAUAGGAAAAUCAUCAAGCAGUAGACAUGAUACAUCUAUCGAGAACACUUAACCUACUUAUCUCUUAAUCGGCAUAUGGAAAGAUAAUCCCACAAAUUCAAUAUUUGUUGCAACUGAACGUCAUUCAAAGUGAAUACCUGACACAGGAAAAAUAUGCAAUAAGCUCCAAAAGUAUGAUUGAAUCAUUUUCUAAAACAAUCAGAACAUUGAAGGACAGUGCACUAACCAGGCUACUUAAGUCAGCUUUAACAGAAUAUUGUGGAGUACUAUUAUCAAGCUUUCCUGACCUGUUAACCUAUAAAAUGAAAUAAGAUCUUCAUGACAUCUUUUGCCAAUGGUCAACAACUGAAAGCAUAAAAAAACAUUAAGAAAACUUAAGUAAAAAAAGAAAGAAUAUUUUUCAUAAAUUAUUUUAAUAAAGAAACAAAUCUCAAAAUAAUGCACGCUCAAAACUUCUGGUGUUGGUUUUCAUUUUCUCAAGGAAACAAAACUUUUCAUUGAUGUAACGAAAAGAGCCUAAUGCUUCAAAAAUCCAAGAUACAAGCAAAAUAACAAAAGUAGUCCAACAUCAACAGAAAAUACAGAACGAAAUCAAGCAGAAAAUAAAAAGGCUCCUUAAUCCUGACAAAUAUCUUGAAUGGAAAAAUUCAUAAAAAAGGAACAUCAAGAGGAAGUAUUAAGUCUUGCUACUUCAAAGUUGACAUGUAGUAAGUAGGGAGAUUGAAGAGGACUGAUUUGUAUAGUGUGAUUCACCCACCACGAGAUUAGUUGUAUCUCCUCCACUUGCUUAGUAUACAUUGAAUUGUAUCUAUAAUGGGCUGCCAAAAUAGGGAACUUUUUGGGUAGCCUCCAAGUGGUAAACCAAGGUACAUUAAAGGAAGCUUUUCAGUCUUACAUCUUAAUCUUGAAGCCGUUUCUGAUGUAAUAAGAUAGCUAAAUAAACCGUUACUAGUUAAAACUAAUUAGCUAUACAGAUUAGUUAUCAUAAACACAUAACUACCUAACUACUUUGUAACUAACCUCCCCCACAACUUCCUUGUAACUAACCUAAAGAUCCUUAAUAAAUACCUCAUCUCUUAGCCUUUGAAGGCAGAGAAUUCAUUUUGAGAAAUAUAUCCAGCUUUGAAUUACAUCAAAGUGGUAUCAGGGCAGCCCUGAUCUUUUGGGACGGAUGGCUGGCCGGAGAGCAAGAAACUCAACUGCGAGGUAUGACCGUGAGCAAGAAGAAGCAGAGGAAAUCGCCGCCCUCUAAGCAAGGACAUCAAUGAUUCGCUUGCUGACCGUCAAGGAUUCUUUCGAAGAUCUUUAUGACAAGUUUGAUAGGAUGAUGGGUAACCUCGAAGCAUUGAACCAGAGAGUAGCAAACUUGUCAGCACCGCCGCAAAUAGAAGCCAAUAUACCCAACAGCCAUAAUUUCCAUGACAGACGAGGACCACGAGUAAGAGGACAUUACAGAAACUUCAAUAAUCAGAGAGACAACCAGAAAAGGUGACAUGACGAUUUUCUACCACGAUAUUCUGACGAAGAUACCCAUGAAGAUCAAGAAACUCCAGAAGACGAUUCAUCAAGGGGUGGCGAACAAGACAAUGUCUGGAAUUGUAAUGAAGAUGCACGAAUGAGGUGAAACAAUAGAAGAUGACACAAGAAAAGAAGUUUAUCACAACUACAAAAUGAAGAUCGAUCUCCCAACAUAUAAUGGCAAGCAUGAUAUAGAGCUCUUCCUGAAUUGGAUAAAAAAUACUGAGAAUUUCUUCAAGUACACGGACACCCCUGAGCGAAAGAAAGUUCACCUUGUAGCAUUGAAGCUUCGAGCUGGCGCAUCAGCAUGGUAGGACCAACUGGAGAUUAAUAGACAAAAGUGUGGGAAGCAGCUCAUUCGACCUUGGGAGAAGAUGAAGAAGUUACUAAAGGCACGAUUCCUACCACCAAACUAUGAACAAACACUAUAUAGUCAAUACCAAAAUUGCUGCCAAAGUACACGUUCAGUAGCAGACUAUAUAGAAGAGUUUCAUCGUUUAGAAAGAACAAAUUUAAGUGAGAAUGAGCAACAUCAAAUUGCAAGAUUUAUACGAGGCCUUCGAUUUGAUAUUAAAGAAAAGGUAAAGCUACAAUCAUUUCAACUCUUAUCUGAAGCCGUCUCUUUUGCAGAGACAGUAAAAGAAAUGAAUGCCAUUCGAACCAAGAAUUUAAGCCAGAAGGCACCAUGGGAGGCAACCUCAACUAAAAGACCGAACUACUCCAACAAGGCAACUAAUCAACCUUCAACUUCAGUACAAGGAAAAGAAAAAGAGGUUGAGACACAAGACUCAGCCGAUGAAAAAAAGAAAGAAGCAGUAAACAGAGGCAAGACUCAGAAUAACUACACUCGACCAUCCCUAGGCAAAUGUUUUCCAUGCGGCCAAUCUAGUCAUUUGUCUAAUACUUUCCCUCCAUGAAAGACAAUAACUUUGGCUGAGGGAGAAGAUGAUUCGAUGAGUGCAAAUUGCAAAAAGAGCUGGAAGAAGAAGCUGAAUUAAUUGAAGCAGAUGAUGGAGAUAGAAUCUCUUGUGUCAUACAAAGAGUACUCGUUGCCCCAAAGGAAGAAACAAGUCUGCAGCGCCACAGUUUAUUCAAGACAAAGUGCACAAUAAAUAGGUGGGUAUGUGAUGUGAUGUAAUCAUUGACCGCGGAAGUAGUGAAAAUUUUGUGGCAAAAAGGCUAGUGACUACAUUAAAAUUGAAGGUUGAACGUCACCUGGAUCCCUACAAGAUAGGUUGGGUAAAGAAAGGAGGAGAAACCAUGAUCAAUGAAAUUUGUGCAGUUCCUCUUUCCAUUGGAAACGGGUAUAAAGAUCAGAUUGCUUGUGAUGUAAUUGACAUGGAUGUGUGUCACCUUCUCUUAGGAAGGCCAUGGCAACAUGACACUCAAACCUUACCUAAGAGGAGAGAAAAUACCUGAGUUUUGUUGGAUGAGCAAGAGGGUAGUCCUACUCCCUCUAACAAAGAAAAAUGGUGAAGGAACAAGACACCAUAAGUCUAAUGGCAAUUACUCAUCACAGUUAGUGGCAAGAAGCUGCUCAAAGAAAGGGAACAAGGAUCUCCUAGGGCUGAUUAUUGUUGAUAAGUCCAAAGAGGAACAACUUGAGGUUGUAGAACCUAAGUCGCAGCAGUUAUUUGAUGAGUUCCCACACUUGAAGAAAGAACCCAUGGGACUUCCACCUCUCCACGACAUACAGCAUCAAAUAGAUCUUAUACCAGGAGCAUCUUUACCGAAUUUACCCCAUUAUAGAAUGAGUCCUCAAGAAUACCAAAUCCUCCAUGAUCAUAUUGAAGAUUUAAAAUAAGGGACACAUCAAGCCCAGCUUGAGCCUUUGUGUUGUACUUGUCCUACUUUCACCAAAGAAGGAUGGAACUUGGAGGAUGUGCGUGGACAGCAGAGCUAUUAAUCGCAUCACUAUGAAAUACCGCUUCCCCAUUCCACGCAUUGGAGAUCUCUUAGAUCAGCUUGGCAAUUUUCAAAGAUUGAUCUAAAGAGUGGCUAUCAUCAGACACGAAUCAGAUCGGGAGAUGAAUGGAAGACAGCUUUUAAGACUAAUGAAGGUUUAUUCGAAUGGUUGGUGAUACCCUUUGGCCUGUUCAAUGCCCCUAGCACAUUCAUCAAACUUAUGAACCAAGUAUUACAUCCCUUCCUCAACAGAUUUAUAGUGGUCUAUUUCGAUGAUAUACUUGUGUACAGCACUAAUACUGAUGAACAUUUCCUACAUCUACAAAGUGUGUUUCAAGUCCUAACAGAAACAGAGUUAUAUAUCAAUCCUAAGAAAUGCAUGCUUCUGAGAAGGAAGCAUAAGUGUAGAACCAAAGAAGAUUGAAACUAUCUAUACUUGGCCAACACCAACCAAUAUUAAAGAAAUACAAGCCUUCCUUGGCUUGGCCUCCUUUUACAGAAAGUUCAUCAGAAAUUUCAGCUCCCUUGCGGCUCCACUCAUUGGCUGUCUAAAAAGGAGAAACUUUAAGUGGACCCUAACACAACAAGGAAGCUAUGAUGACACUAAGAGAAAGUUGACUUCUAGCCCUAUACUAUAACUACCAGACUUAACCAUUUGAAGUAGUGGUUGAUGCGUGUGGUACAGAAAUUAGAGCUGUCCUUUCUCAACAAGGUCGUCCCAUUGAAUACUUAAGUGAGAAACUAAGCUCAUCUAGGUAGUCUUGGAGCACCUAUGAGCAAGAAUUAUACGCUCUUGUUCGAGCACUGAAACAAUGGGAACGCUACCUAUUAUGUAAGGAAUUUACACUACUCACCGACCACUUUUCUUUAAAAUACCUCCUGUCUCAAAGAACCAUCAGUCGGAAGCACGCACAAUGGAUCUCUUUCUUACAAAGGUUUGACUUUGUGAUCAAACAUCAAAGUGGCAAAGAAAAUAAAGUGGCAGAUGCACUCACCAAUAAGAGUUCCCUCCUUACACUCCUUUCUCUAGAAGUUGUGGCAUUUACACAUCUUCCUGACUUAUAUGAAGAGGAUAUGAACUUUUAAGAGAUUUGGUAUAAAUGCACUACUUACAUCAAGAUUGAAGGCUUCCAUACUGUGGAAGGUUUCCUAUUCAAAGGGGAACAAUUGUGCAUACUGCACUUCAUUGCGAGAAGCCCUAUUAAAGGAAGCUCAUUCCGGCAGACUAGCUGGACAUUUUGGGCAAGAUAAGACAUUUGAGACAAUCUCCAAGAGAUACUAUUGGCCGCAACUAAGAAGAGAUUCAAAUAACUUCGUAAAGAGAAGUUUUAUAUGUCAAAGAACUAAAGACUCAAGUACUAAUGUUGGCCUAUACUCUUCACUUCCUAUCUCAACAUCUAUUUGGGAAGACCUAUCGUUGGACUUCAUGGUAGGGCUGCCAAAUACUCAAAGACUUUAUGACUCAAUGAUAGUUGUAGUAAGAUGGCCCACUUCAUAGCGUGCAAAAAGACGAAUGAUGCAAUCUACAUAGCUAAUCACUUUUUUAAAGAGAUAGUCCGCCUACAUGGAGUGCCUAAAACAAUUGUGUCUAAUCGAGAUGUGAAGUUCCUAAGCCACUUUUGGAGGACUCUAUGGAAAAAAUUCAACACAACCUUGAAGUACAGUACUACGGCACACCCACAGACAGAUGGACAGACUGAGGUCACUAAUAGAACAUUAGGCAACCUAAUAUGUUGUCUUAGCGGAACUAAACCUAAGCAGUGGGAUUUGGCUCUUGUGCAAGCCGAAUUUGCAUUCAACAACAUGAAGAAUCGAUCAACUGCCAGAUGUCCAUUCGAAGUUGUAUACACUAAACAACCAUGGUUAACUUUUGACCUUGCCUCACUCCCUACAACCGUGGACAUUAAUGAACAAGCAGAGAAGAUGAUAGAGAACAUUGAAAGACUACAUAAAGAAGUUUAUGACCACUUGAUACAAACAACAGAAUCCUAUAAAAAGACAGCUGAUAAGAAAAUAAGACAAGCCAUCUUUUCUGAAGGAGACUUAGUAGUGAUCCACCUUCGAAAGAACAGAUUCCCAACCAGCACCUACAAUAAGCUCAAAGACAGACAGCUUGGUCCGUUCCGGAUACUAGAGAAAGAUGGAGAUAAUGCCUUCAAGAUUGAGCUACCAACUGAUCUACACAUACAUCCACUGUUCAACAUUACUAAUCUAAAGCCAUACUAUGCACCAGACGACUUCGCACUGGCCAACUAAUGCACUCAGGGACAAGUCCCAUCUGAGGAGGGUGGAAUGAUGUAAUAAGAUAGCUAAAUAAACAGUUUGUAGUCAAAACUAAUCAGCUAUACGGAUUAGUUAUCAUAAACCCAUAACUACCUAACUACUUUGUAACUAACCUCCCCCACAACUACCUUGUAACUAACCUAAAGAUUCUUAAUAAAUACCUCAUCUCUUAGCCUUUGAAGGCAGAGAAUUCAUUUUGAGAAAUAUAUCCAGCUUUGAAUUACAUCAGUUUCAAUGAUCAUUCUUUCCUCUAUAUUAAUUCCACAAAUGGCAGAUUUUUCCCAAUUGACUUUUUGUCCUGAACACCAUUCAAGUAAGACCAAAGUCUUUCGAAGAAUUUCCAUCAUUGCCUCAUCAUUUUUGCAGAAUAUGAGUAUCAUCAGCAAACUGGAGUACGGAAACAUGAGCCUUGUCUUUGCCUACAAUAAAGCCUUCAAACAACCCUUUUGCAUGUACCGUUGAAAUUAGACUGCUUAGAACUUCACUUGCUAGGAGGAAGAGAAAUGGGGAAAGUGGGUCUCCUUGUCGUAGGCCUUUUGAUGCUUGAGUUCUGCCUCGUGGUCGUCCAUUUAUAAAGAUUGAAUAUUUGGGGUCGCGCACACAACCCAUUAUCAAUUUUAUCCAUCUGCCAUCAAAAAAUUUUUACACCAUUACUUUUUCUAAAAAGUCCCCAAUCAACUCUAUCAAAGGCUUUUUCAAGGUCCAACUUAAUCAACCACCCUUUCUUCUUUUUCGCACAGUAUUCUUCCACUGCUUUGUUGGCAAUGAGAAUGGGAUCGAUGAUUUGCCUUCCUUCUAAAAAGGCACUGUGAGGAGGGUCAAUAAUGCUUCGCAUGGUCUUCUCAAGUUUUUCAGCCAAUACUUUUGCCACCAGCUUGCAAGUCAAAGUAGUAAGACUUGUUGGCCUGAAAUCUUUCACCUUUGAAGCAUCGUCUUUUUUCUUGAUUAAACAGAUGAAGUUUUCCAUUACACAAGCAUUGAGCUUCCCAUUAGCAUAGAAAUCUUUAAAAGGGAAUGCAAAUCACUCUUCAAUUUAUCCCAAAAUUUGAUUAAGAAUUCUUUCGUGAAUCCAUCCAGCCCCGGUGCUUUACUUCUUCCCAACAUUUUCAGCGGUCAGUUUGCUCCUUGUUAAUCUUUUUGUGGGUAGGUGGUCGUCUUUUUGGUUUCUCCAGUAGCUUUGCAGCAGCCUUUGUUUUUCAGAAUUUGAAGGAGGGCUGUUGGUCGUAGUUGUUUGUAAGUGUAUCUCAACGUGGUUGUAUUUCUUCAUGUCUUUUUUCUCUCUCCUUUUGAGAGUUUGCAUCUCUUUAAGCUUCUAUUACUACUCAUUACAUCAAAGAGAAGCGGUUUAUAGUUGAAGACAUUUGAAGUCCAUAGUUGAACAAUUUUGAAUCCGUUUGAAUGAAGACAUAGAUUGUUUUGGAAUAAAACUAUCCGAAAAAGACCCAGUGCAGUAUCGUUAAAGUUCCACUAGAUGGAUUUUGAUUUGAAAGGUUUCAGCAUGUCUCUCACAUUCUGUUUGACUUGAAGGGCUCGUUCUGUCUUUACUAUCCUCACAACAAGGUCUCUACUUGAAUCAGAGAGCCUCUUCAACCAGAUUUUUAUUUUCUUGAUCGUUUUACGCAUGUUCAUAUGUAUUGUUAUUAUUUUUGUUUUUUUAGUUAUCCUCGAACCAUUUUGGGUUUUGCUGAGGGCAUUUUGGGUUUUGCUGAGGGCGUUUUGGGUUUGGUUGUCGUUUCUCGUGUUUUGUUCUCCUUGCAUCUUAAUAUUGUAUUCUGAACAUUAGUCUCUUUUCAUUAUAUGAAUGAAGAGGCAUGUUUCCUUUAAAAACAAUUGUUUAUUGUUCAAAAAAAUAGAAGAAUUGGAAAGUAUAGGAAUCCCUCUUUCAAAAAGCAAAUUUACUGAAACCAAAAUGGGUGAUAAGGAUGAAUGAAAAAAAUUUCAAUCUUUUCUUGACAUAUUCUUAGUUGAGGAAAAAAUUCCUGAUUUCCAACUAACUCUUUUGCACAAAAAAAAGUAAAGAAAAAAAGAUCAAGGGUAAAAAUAAUAACAAUAAAAACAAAACAUACACCCUUUCUAACGUAAAAGCCCCCCAUCGAACAGGGGAAACAAAUACUGUAUGACAAUCAAGUUUCAAUAUUUGAAACUUACCAUGAGUGACAAAACUGCAUCACAUGGAGCUAAUAUGAAGUCACUUUUUUCUUCCAAUGUGCUCACUUUAGUACCCCUUGCUUCAUUACACCCCUCAACAUCAACCGUAUUUUGACACGAACAAUAAAUUUCCAAGCCUAUAAUCUCCACUAGUUUGUUGACUUGACUUCCUCGUCCCCACCCAGCCAAUGACCUUGACAAUGAAAGAAUUGAAACUUAGAUAAGUUAAAGUUUAAAGUAUAACACAAUACCUUAACAAAUCUAUCCAGGAUGCAAAGUUUUACACGUCGCUAAAAGAGAACUGCUUAGUAUUAAAAAAUCUAGACAAACAAAUCGAUUAAAUCACCAAGUGACCCAAAAGCUUAAGCCGAUGGGUGAAGCCAAAAUUAAUAUUAUAUCAUCUAACACUCCUCUUUAUUUGUGUGCUUGAAAUAUAAUAACACCCAAUAAGUGAAAAUCAAUAUUAUUUGAGAAAAAAAUAUGAUUGAAGGGGCUUGAACACAAGACCUCCUAAACCACCCGCUCUGAUACCAUCUAUUUUUUGUUUUGUUUUUUGAAAAGAAGAUGAGUCUCAAAUUUUAUUAAUAAAAAACGAGACAAUGUCAAAGUACAAGAGAAUUAUACAGAAGCAAACAAAUAAAGAGACUGAUGAUGAGCAGGCACACCCAGACAGCUUAACUAGAUUGACACCUCAUUAGAGCCCUCAUCAUCUCCUCCAAAUAUCUAUCAUCAAAACCAACAAGCAUCAAGUACGGACCAAAUCCACCCCUACACUAUAUAAGGAGUCCUGAGAGAACCGUGUCAACCCAUACGAAAGAACUACAAGGAGUGGAUCCGAAGGAGAAAAAUGAAAUACAAAAAAACAGCCGAAGUACAACAACUACAAGAAAACUAACUAUCCAAUUCAAGCUAAUCUCCUGAAUGCUAUAAGCUUCAAAUUCUUUAUUUAGAGAACACCAAGCUGAAGCAUUACAAGCUACCAACUCAAAACAGUCUAACCACCUCAUCUCCUUGUUAUGAAAUGUCCUUCAAAUUCUCUCAAACCACAAAUUUGCAAACACUGCUUAGACCAUGUUCUCUCAUAAGGGUUGCUGUUUCUUUUUCAGAAUAUGCACUUAUAACAAUAGCUGUCGUACAUUAAGACUAAAGUCAUUUCUAAAAACCCAACCAGUUCGUAAAACUGAGAAGAAUUUCAUCCAAAGAGCAAUCAAAAAAUAAGUGUUGUAACUCCUCCCCUUCAUUUUUGCAUAGUGGAACAAUGGAUGGAGAAAGGCAGGUGUUUGUAAGCUUCCUCUGCAUAACCGAGGGGCAGUUUAAAGCCCCAAAAGUCAUUAUCAAGCUGAAAAUGUUGACUCUCCUAGGACUUUUAGUCUUCCAUAAUACAUUAUAUAAUUUUUCUUUUAUUGGUGAAGGAGAGAGGUGAGAAGUUAACGACGUCAAUAAAUAUUUGCCUGAAGGUUCCAACAACCAUAUUCUUUUAUCUAGGUUAUCCAAGACUGCUUUUCCCAGAAUUAUUCCAGCAUGACUUGCUAUUCCAAAAUUUUGUCAUCUUUGAGCAUUCGACAAAUUGUAUGGUCCCAAUGUUCUACAACCGAACUAUUUGGAGAGAGAGCAAUCCUAAAGUGUUUAGGAAAGUGGAUACUAAGGGGAAUAUCACCAACACACUAACAAGUCUAGAACACGAUACAGGACUCAUUUCCAAACUUGUAUGUGGCCAAGGAAUCCUGAUGCAAUAAGACAGUUAGCAUGUUAGUUUGUUAUUUCCUGUUAUUAGUUGUCAAGAUAGUUAGUCUGUUUAUAGCUAAUCAGCUGUUAAAACUGAUUAGUUAUACCUAAUCAAACCGAUUGUAACUACCCCACACAUCAAUAAAUAGCCAUUCUCCAAUCGAGAUUGGCAGAGAAUUCAUUUUUGAGAAAUUAAGUCCAACUUGAAUUACAUCAAGUGGUAUCAAAGCAUCCCCGAUCCUAGGACGGAUGGCUGGUCGGAGUGGAAGAAUCCCUGCCGCAGAGAAUAACUGCGAGCAAGAAGAGGUGGAAGAGAUCGCCGCCCUCUCUCCAAGGACAUCCACGGUACGCUUGCUGGCCGUCUUGACUCCUUGGGGAGAUUUACACGACAAGAUGACUACAGUAAUGGACAGCUUGGACACCUUAACUCGAAGAAUGGACGGAUUGCCAGCACCGGCGAGGAUAGAAGACUAUGACCAAAAUAGAGAAAACAAAGGAGGACGACAAGCGUGAAGGAACUUUAGAAACCAGCCCAAUCAAAGAAAUGAUCAAAGGAGGAGACAGGCGGAUGCCCCACUGCGAUACGCCGAUGACAACGAUCAAGAAGACUACGACGAUUGGCAGAACACGCUAGAUCACGAAUCUUCCAGUGGCAACGAGCAAGGGAAUAUCUGGAAUGAUCAUGGAGAAUUUUGAAUGGCUCAAGGCUACAGAGGACAGGAGGCACGAAAGGAAGUACAUCAUGACUACAAGUUGAAAAUUGACCUGGAUUAAAAGCACAGAGAACUUCUUCAACUACAUGGAUACCCCUGAUAGGAAGAAGGUACACUUGGCGGCGCUGAAAUUGAGGGGAGGAGCCUCGGCUUGGUGGGACCAACUAGAGAUAAACAGGGCAGAAGUUCAACAAACCACCUAUCCAAUCAUGGGAAAAGAUGAAGAAGUUCUUAAAGUCACACUUCCUACCUCCAAAUUACGAACAGACCUUGUACAACCAAUAUCAAAACUGUCAUCAAGGAAGUCGGACAAUAGCAUAGUACAUUGAAGAAUUUCAUAGACUGAGUGCAAGAACUAAUUUGAGUGCGAACGAGCAGCAUCAAGUUGCAAGGUUUGUGGGUGGACUACGGUUCAAUAUCAAAGAAAAAUUCAAGCUGCAGCCCUUUCGUUUUUUGUCUAAAGCCAUCUCCCUCGCGGAAACCGUAGAAGAAAUGUUGUCUACACGGAUGAAAAACUCCAACAGAAGGAACACCUGGGAGACAAACACCCCCAAACGACAGUCAUAUGGCAAGAAGAUGGAGAAGCAACCAACAGCACCAGCUGUGGAAAAGGGCAAAGGCAUUGACGUGCAAGAAGAAACCACGAGGAAGGAAGGUGUAAAAAAAGGCAGAAACCAAACAACUAUACUCACCAUCCUUGGGGAAGUGUUUCCGAUGUGGUGAACCAGGUCAUCUAUCUAACAACUGCCCCCAAAGGAGAACGAUAGCAUUAGCUGAGGACGAAGGCAACGGUACGAGUGAAGAAGAUAAAGAAGAGGAAAAAGAAGCAGAACUAGUCGAAGUAGACAAUGGAGAACGAAUCUCUUGUGUUAUCCAAAGAGCCCUCAUUGCCCGUAAGGAAGAGACGAAUCCUCAGCGCCACAGCCUGUUCAAGACAAGGUGCACUAUCAAUGGCAAAGUGUGUGAUGUCAUAAUAGAUAGUGGGCGCAGCGAAAACUUAGUAGCAAGGAAGCUCGUGGCUAUCCUCAACCUGAAGGCAGUCCCACACCCUGAUCCUUACAGAAUAGGAUGGGUAAAGAAAGGAGGAGAGGCCCUAAUUAAUGAGAUUUGCACGGUACCCCUCUCUAUUGGAAGCAAUUACAAGGAUAGGAUUGUGUGUGAUGUAAUCGAAAUGGAUGUGUGCCAUUUACUAAUAGGAAGACCUUGGCAGCAUGAUACUCAAACCCUACACAGGAGAAGAGAAAACACUUAUGAAUUUCAAUGGAUGGAAGGAAAGUAGUCCUACUCCCAUUAAAAAAAAAACACAGAAGGAAUAAGGCAGAAGAAGAAGAAACGGCAGCUCUUUAUCACAGUAAGUGGAAAAAAUAAUGUUGAGAGAAAGGGAACAAGAUCUACUAGGGCUGGUAGUCACUGACAAAGCCCAAGAAGAGGAAGCUACAGCUGCUGACCCGGUAUCGGAACAAUUAUUCAUAGAGUUCCCUCAACUAAAGAAAGAGUCGCAAGGACUACCACCAACCCGUGACAUCCAGCACCAAAUCGAUCUCAUCCCAGGAGCAUCACUACCUAAUCUCCCCACUACAGAAUGAGCCCAAAGGAGUACAAAAUUUUGCAUGACCACAUCGAAGUUCUGUGUUGUACCCACACUACUUACACCUGAGAAGGAUGGAAGUUGGAGGAUGUGUGUAAACAACAGGGCCAUCAACCGAAUCAUUGUGAAAUACCGAUUUCCUAUUCCUCUAAUUGGAGACUUAUUGGAUCAACUAGGAAAGGCUACCAUCUUCUCAAAGAUUGACCUACGAAGCGGUUAUCAUCAGAUAAGAAUCAGGCCCGGGGACGAGUGGAAGACAGCGUUCAAAACAAAUGAAGGACUAUUCGAAUGGUUGGUGAUGCCCUUUGGCUUAUUCAAUGCACCGAGUACCUUCAUGAGAUUGAUGAACCGAGUGGUGCAUCCCUUCCUAAACCAGUUCAUAGUGGUUCAUUUUGACAACAUCCUCAUAUACAGUAAUAGUACUGAAGACCACCUUCAACACUUAAGAAAAUUGUUCCAAGUAUUGACUGAAGUUGAACUGUAUAUUAACCCUAAGAAGUGCGCGUUUCUCUCCUGAGAAAUUGUCUUUCUUGAUUUCCUAAUCAAGGAGGGACAGAUAGGAAUGGAACCUAAGAAAAUAGAAGCCAUACAAUCUUGGCCUACACCAACAUCGGUCAAGGAAGUACAGGCUUUCCUUGGUCUGGCUUCCUUUUACAGAAGGUUCAUCAGAAAUUUUAGUUUAAUAGUGGCUCCUUUGACUGAUUGCCUAAAGAAAGGAAAUUUCAAGUGGGAGCAACCACAACAGCAGAGUUUUGAAGAAAUUAAAAAGAGACUAACAUCUAGCCCUAUCUUGCAAUUACCAAAUUUCGCAUCACCAUUUGAAGUAGUUGUUGAUGCUUGCGGAACUGGAAUUGGAGCUGUAUUAUCACAACAGAGUCACCCUAUUGAAUAUUUCAGUGAGAAACUGAGCACUUCAAGACAGACCUAGAGCACGUAUGAACAAGAGCUUUAUGCCCUUGUCCGGCCCUCAAACAAUGGUAGUAUUACCUACUAUGCAAAGAACUUCUACUCCUAACGGACCACUUCUCUUUGAAAUACCUCCAGUCACAAAAGAACAUCAGUCGAAUGCACGCACAAUGGAUUUCCUUCCUACAAAGAUUCGACUUUGUUAUUAAACACCAAGAUGGUAAGGAGAACAAGGUGGCAGAUGCACUAUCCAGAAAGAGCUCCCUACUCACUAUUCUAUCUAUGGAGACCGAGGAAUUUAAACACUUACCUAACCUAUAUGGGGAAGACGUUGACUUCUCCAAGACAUGGGCCAAGUGCAGCAACUACACCAAAGUUGUAGACUUCCAUAUAAUGGAAGGGUACCUAUUCAAAGGGAAUCAGUUGUGUAUCCCACACACAUCACUUCGAGAAGCACUACUAAAAGAGGCUCGUUAAGGAGGACUGGUUGGACACUUCGGACAGGACAAAACUUUUGAAAUAGUUUCUAAGAGAUACUACUGGCCUCAAUUAAGAAAGGACUGUAAUAAGCCUUCUUGGUAAAGAACCCAACAAUUCACAUAUGGUGGGAAAAUCCUAUAAUAGUUAGAAGAGUCCUUGGGUUAGCAUAUCAAGAGCUUGAAGGAAGGUGGAAGCCUUGGUAUUGUUCAAGCUUGGUUGAAAAGGAAUGCUUCUAGAAAUUUGUCUCCACAAGAACCCUCUUCCUAAGAAAACUGCCAAACUCAUUUUGCAAGAACCCUCUUCCUAAGAAAAAUGCUAAACUCAUUUUGCAAGAAAGACCAAAUUUCUUCUCUUCAGGCCGUCCACUCCAAGACCUCCAUAUGAGAAUAGAUUACUUUGUCCCACUUCACCAUAUAUUGCUUUCCUAAUUUACUUUCUGCCUGUAACACCCUUCAAAUAAAGCAAUAGUAUCCUUAAAUUUCCAUAGCAUACCUUCAUCAUACUUACAAAACAGCAGUGUAUCAUCAGCAAAUUGAAGGCGUUGAAGAUGAAUCCAAAUUAAAUCACUAAUUGACCUAAAAGCUCAAGUUGAUCAGUGAUUGGUUUUGUUAAAAACCAAAUCAACCAAACGGGCAACCGGUCAAGAAAUAACCCAAAUCGCAACCAACCUCGAUCCACACUAAUGCCAUUAUUUAAAAAUAUAGAUUAUAUUAUAUAUGCCAAUUAAUUUUUUAUUAAAAAACGUGCAUAGAUGGAAUGAUGGGAAAUUACCUUUUUUCCAUGAAAGGGCUAUUUUCAUUGAAUUAAUGAAAAGAGACAAAGACUUGAGGUACACGAUAUUACAAGGGGACAAUAACAAAACAAAAACAAAGGAACAGGAGAUGCACCCGAGCAUAUGAACUAAGGUGACACCCCUUAGCACCCUCAUCAUAUCCAAACAAUAUCCAAAAUACAUAAAACAAACAAAACAAUACUAACUCAAACUUGAAAACAAAACAAUACUAACUCAAACUUCAAAACUAGAACAAUACAAUGUUUAGACCGGAAAUAUAACAGCAUGCCAAUUUACAUUUAAAUCUUGUAUAGAAAAGUCUUCAAAACUCUUAGAUACGGUGCACCGACAGAAAAUGUUUAAAUGAGCUACUUCACUUUGAUCCUUCCACAUAAGUUAAUUAUCGUGGAAAACUCUUGGUUUAUUUCAAAGCAUGACUCAGUGAGCAAGGCUUUAAUAGCAUUACACCAUAGCAACUGAGGACCCUUUCUCGAGGCAGGACCAAUUAAAAGCAGUCGAAUAUUAGCACUAAAGUCUCUUCUGAAACCCACGCAACCUCAAAGGUUGAAAAUAAAUUCCACCAACAAUGACCUGCCUAAGAAAAUUAAAAAAAGAGAUGUUGCAGAUCUUCCCCUUUCUUUUCACGAAGAGGGCAAAUAAAUGGAUACAAGUAAUGAGAAGGAACUUUUUCUGCAUGACUGAUGAAUAGUUGAGCUUCCCAAAUAUCAUGAUCAAUAUAAGGAUAUUAACUCACCGAGGGCUUUUCUACUAACAUGUGUAGUUACACCUCAUUAACAUUCAAAACUAUGUGUCACACUAGUUUUCUGGUUUAAAUUUAUAAAAUAAUUAAUUGAUUCCAGUCUCUCUCUUCUCUCCUAUCUAAACUCCCAAGAAACCCACAUAACUUCUCUAUUUUCUUUCUCCUCUCUCAUAAAAACCUACCUAAUUCUCUCUUCUUUUUUUCUUUUUUCAUUACACCAUUUCUCUCCUUCUCCCUUUUUGUUUCCAUCUUUUCUUCUCAACCUCCGUUUUGUUUUUCUUCCUUCUCUCUUAUAUUUCUUUUUCAUUGUAUUCUCUAUUCUCCUUUCUUCACUUUUUUUUCCUAUUUCACCGGAAACAUGCAACCAACCAAAGCAGCACCCCCCACCCCCCGCCGAAGGUAAGAUUUAGGCCACAAACCCACCUUGCAACCAUAUAAAUCCACAAUGUGUUGGAGCUCACUAGUAAGGAGACUAAUGCCCAAAAUUUCACAUGUUUGGUGAUUAAAGGUAGGACUCAAAAGGUCCCAUAAUAUCAAAUAAGUUCUUAAUGAGUGCAGAACAAAUUGAAUCCUGUUCCUGCCCACCCCAAAACCUUGAAUCCUCCCAUCCAAUUCAGCUUGAGACAUCUUACUAAGAUGUUGGAACAAGAGGGUUUCAUGGAAUCAUUCUAUUUAAUAUUGAGCAGCUAACUGAUUUUGUUGCUUUGUGAUGGGGUUCUUUAGAAUUUUUUAUUCCUUAAUCGCCGGUUUAGGGUUCUCCUUGGUAGUUUUGAAGCAGAAAAGGCCUCAUCCAUAGACACAUCGGACUUUUGCAAGCUUUCUAGGUCUCUAAGUCGAAGAUUUAGAAAUUCGUGUUGGCUUUUUAAUUGCUCAUUUAUUUCCUGAGAUAUUGUGCUUAUGGCUGUGGUUGUUUUACCCUUUUUUCCCCUUUCAGAGUUCAUAUCCUUUUAAAAUUUGUUUAUGUAAAUGCUAAGGUUGGAGAGAAUUAGAAUAAUUUAUUUCAUUCACUAAAGAGAUAAACAAGUGUACAAGAGUCAAGGUAAGGGGGGAGAAGGUAAAAAUACACAAAAAAUUACAACAUGAUAAAGAUAUUUACAGAAUUUGUUUCAUUAUCUUCAGGCUGGAAAACUUCAGACCUAGCUUUAUAUGUCCCUGCAGCGCUCACAUAGCAACAAGAAAUACAAUAAGAUCAUCAUGCCACUGGAGUAUAAGCAACUAAGAGGAAAUCUAAGAUUCACCACGCUAUUUAAGAGAUAAGUUCCAUAACAGUAAUAAAUUAGACAACUAUCUAUCACAUCAAAACAAAAUUAUCGUACACUAUUUUUUUUAAAAAAAUCUCGUAACUGUUUUUAGAGGAAAAGGUGUGAAAAUGCUUUAUAAGCUGGAUAAUCAGCAGUAUUAACAGUGCAAAAUUGUUCUUCAACAUUCAAAUCCUCAUAUCAGUGUUUUGAAUAUUGGAUGACAUGUAGCUACGAAACGACUAGCUAGCCCAAUUUCAUAUUUUAAAAUAUCUUUCAACUUUCCAAUUAGUCUUGUAUUUUAGAGCAAGUCUCUUUUUAUGAAUGAUUAACUAAAGUCGUUUCACUGGUAAGUUCUCUCUCCCUUCUCUCUCUUCUCUCUCCCCUUAUGUCCGUUCUUUUCUCCUCCAACUCAUCUUCACUGGCGAAUUCUCCAAUGCUUUCCUAUUUCGAUUCUACCCUCUGGUACCUUCUUCAACCCUCUUUCGGCAAUCCCCUUUGGUACUUUUUUUUUGCACGACUUAGAACCUCGACUGAUAAUCAUAGAGGAAGUAGUAAGCUGCAAGGUUCUCCAAUCACACUACUAUGUAUGGAUGGAGAACGACCAUUUUUACUUAGAGGAUGUGGAAGCUCAAAGUUCCCUGGUAGUUUCAGAGGACCAUUUGAAAUGGUAUUUCAAUGCAUUAGCAGAGAUCAUCCGAGGUCACAAGGAUUGCUUCUUUCAGAAAAACGGGAAGUUAGAUAGUGGGAGAACGAAACUCUCCAAAUUCAGAUUCAAUGAUGGUUGGGUCCUUCGUUGCAAGUCUUGCGACUUUUUGCCAGCAUCAGGUGGACUCAACCAUUUGGGUGUUUUCAAGGGAAGCCAAAAAGAGGUAGACAUCCUUCCUUCAAAUGCUGGAAAGUUUACUCUCGAUCAUGGAGUAUAAGAAAUGGUUUCGAGCCACCGACCUACCGUUCAACAUCCACCACAGACUUAAAGCUCAAGUUAUGCUGAUAGAGUUAAAACCUUGGGUAGCACAGAUUUUGAACAAAAAAAAGAAACCUAGAGCUAUAGCAAAAGAGAGAAAAAGAGCCAUCAGUUCUUGUUUCGAAGCAAGAAAUUCAAAAACAAUAGACCCUCGUUUUGGCAUCCAUAAAAUACAGCACUUUACCUUUGAGAAAACAGAGCUACUCCUACUGGGUUCACAUCAAUGAGAAGGUGUUGGAGGAAGAUUUCAGUAGCUCGUGGGUAGUCUCAAGACUAUUUGUGUAUAAUGAGAGGGAAAUUUUUAAACUCUUAGAGGAACACUUCCAAGUCAAUAUCAGCAUCAACUCUUUGUUUGAGGAUAAAGCUCUGAUACGGUCAUCAUGAGGGAACUUGGAAGAUUUUAUUGAAAAAUGGAACAUGUUCAAGGACGGCAGGCCGGAAUUUAUUUGAGGUUUCAAUGGGUGGAUUUCCAUCAAAAAUCUACCACUUGAUUACUGGAAAAAUGGCGUCUUUAUUACAUUUGGAAAUUACUUCGGUGGACUUGAAAAUAUAUCUUUGGACACUCUGAAUAUGACCAAUGUGUUGGAAGCCAAAAUCAAUGUAAGACAGAAUCUGAUUGACUUUUUACAAACAACUAUCGAAACUAAACGAUGAAGUUCAUUGCAUUUUUUUCUUAAUAUUGGUGAUAUUAAAGCUAUUGAAGAGCCAGCUGCCAUACAAAAGGCUCUUUUUAUCAAAAACUUUACGUAUCUGAUUGACCUAGUAAGAAUACAUCAAGCUUUAAGAGAUAAAAGCAUUAAAUUUAAAUGUUUUGAAGCCACAAUGGGCAUUUCUUAAUUCAUCUCUUUCGAAUCCCGAUUUCUCAAGGAACUCCAUCAAAUCUAGUCAAGCUUUCAAGUCUGUUCAAGAUUUUGUUGACUUGAAUAUUUUGCAGAAUCUAUGGAACUUCCGGAGGAAUGCUAAUUAUGUGGGACACAAGCAAUUUAAGAGUCACUGAAACGAGGCGCUUCAAUGAAUUAAUAAAACGAGACUAUUGCUCAAUGUACAAGAUAAUUAAACAAAGAGCAAAAAGACCUAAGAAACAGGAGGCGCACCCAAGCAUCUCAACUAGGUAGACACCCCUUAGCGACCCAUCAUCUCCAUACAAACUUUCUCAAGAUAACAAGUGAUAUUCCAAACAAUUGUCGACCAUAUAUAAGUAACUUACAAACCCUUGCAAAUGAAUUGAUAAUUGAUCUGUACUUUGAGACAUUUUUCCCAUUGGAGUUCUUUUUGCUAUAUUUUUUUAUGUUCUCCAAUGCUACAGGAUCAAAGUAGUCAUUUUAUUGGGCUCUAGAGUAUGUUUCCAUCUCAUAUCAUUACAUGACUGAUUCUUUUGAUUUCGUGAAUAGAAACCAACCUUUCUUGGUCGUGCUCCAUAACCAAACGAGCAAUGUCGAGCCUUGAACAUUCUUGAAUUGUAAAAAUCCAUUCUUCAUGAUUAUAUAAUUUUCUUCCUUCUUGACUUGAAUUUUUUGAAGGGUUACCCCCAAGUACAAAUAUUGGCAAAGAGCACAACAUUUAAAGCUUCCUCUUGUGAUCACCGUUACCAAGAGUUUCCCGAUCUUCCACCAACAGCAAUCGAUGUUGGCCCAAGUGGUUGCUUUGAUACCAAAUUGAUGUAGCCUAAGUAGCCUUAAGGAAUAAUCCUCCAAGAAUCAAAGUUGUGGAUUGUCUUAAAAAGAGCUUUCCUUUGCAGGGCUCGUAUUUUCUAUCGUUCUUUUAUUGUUUUUACUUUUUCUUAUUUUCCCCCUUUUGGGUCUGUAUCAUCACUUUUUAAUGAAAAGUUUUGUUUCACGUUUUACACGAAAAAUAAUAAUAACAACAUAACAAUUAUUGAAAAAACAGACGAGAAGAAACCAAGAAAAAUAAGUAAAACUUACCAGGUCGCCAGUCAUAUCAAGGAACAUGACGUGAAAAUUUCUAAUGGAUAUUUGGAUGUUGUCAAGAAUCUAUAAGAAGAAAAAAAAGCUCAUAUUAUCUUUACUAAAAACAAAACACGCGCGCGAGAAACACAUAUGACAAUGAACAAAUAAUAAAAGAACUAACAAGAAAAAGAUCGGCAAAUCAGAAAAAAAUAGUAAUAAUAAAUAAACAAAACAAGAUAAUACUUAUUCUAGAAUCAGAAAUUUGGAUUUUCUUCUGAUAAGGAGGCCUUACUUGGCAGAUUCCUUUUUAAAUCGUUUUCCAGAUCUUUGAUGGAACAUGCUGCAAUAGCUUCAGACUUUAGUAAAAAUGUCCAAGCAUUAUCAAAUGAAGUGUGCUUUCUAAUAAAUUGUUUCAACGGUACUUUGAGGAAGUUUUAAUCUUCUUUCCUUCGCUUGAACUAAAAUUAUUUGGGGAUCCUUCAGUGGUGGAAGAAAAGGCAGCUCCAAGUCAUUAAUUUUGUUGGAGGGAUAAUAGGGAAAUCUGAUAUGAGCGGGCAAAAAGGUCCGAAUUAUUGGAGGCUCGUUAAUACUCAAGGAAGUAAUUAGGGGGCCUUUUCCAAUGUUCCUCAUACCUGGUGGGUCAUUAGCAGCUGUGAAAAAGAAGGUUUAAUUUAAAAUCAGUGGGCCCCAAAGUUUUUUGGAAACAGCAGUGUUGCAAGAGAUUGGAGGAAGACAAAAAUUGUUCAGUUACUUGCUCAUUUGAAAGAACAGCCAGCUGUUCACCGAUUUCUAUCUUCUUUCUCCGGCAAUGGCACCGAUGAACUGGCCGGAAAGUGCUUCAGGAGGCUGAACGGAAUCCUAGCACUGCGGAGAACCGCAAACACUGAACAUUGGUACAUUGAUGUCUGGAAAAAAGGAGGAAAUGUCAAGACCUCCGCCAAUCAUAACUUCCUUAACACGCAACCGGUCAAUUGAAUUACUGAAAUUCCUUGCGGGGGGGGGGGGGGGAUGUACUUGCAUAUAAAAACUCAAAAUCACUAUAGUGUAAAAAGAUGCUACCCUCUUAAGAUCAGAGAUUUCAAUUGUAGAGGGAACGAAACCACAAAUGUUCUUUUUGACCAAAAUCCGGGCUUCAUUGCAAUUAGUAAGGUUUAAUGUUUCUGAGACUAUGUCAAUUAGGCCUCCAAAAUGGUCACCUAUAGCUUCAAAGAUACUUCUUUGCCACAGAUCUAAAGAAAGAUUUUUUAUUAUCAUUCAUCCCCCAAAACCUUUAAUCACAAGGGGCCUACUAUGUCGAACUGAGUCCCAUUUUUCAAAUUUGAUGUGGAAUUUGCCCUGAGCCUGCCAUUUCUUUUCAUCUCCGAUGAGAUCCUUGGAUGGAACUUUGUCAAAACUAAUGAGAGCAUUAUCAUCAUAGAGGGGGUUUAUAAUGAUUUUGAUGUAAACUAUAGUUAGUUAGUUAGUUAAAAUCCCUAACUAAUUAAAAGUACAGCUGUAACUAACUAACCCAAAACAGUCUUGUAACUAACUAACCAAAACAACCUUGUAACUAACCUUGAGAUAUCAAUAUAUAACAAUCUCCUAGCCUGAAAAAAGGCAGAGAAUUCUUUUGAGAAAUUAAUCCCAGCUUUGAAUUACAUCAAAGUGGUAUCAGAGCAGCCCCGAUUCUUGGACGGAAUGGCUGGCCGCAGAGGUAACAACCCUGCCACGGGGGAAAACCGUGUGCAAGAAGCAGCGGAGGAAAACACCGUCCUCUCUCCAAAGAAAACAACAGUUCGCUUGCUGGCUGUUGAAGAAUCUUUGGGAGAUCUCCACAACAAAUUUGAUAGGUUGAUGGAAAGUGUCGAACGAGAGGAGAAUUCCCACAGCCACCACCACGGAAUGAAAUUAACUUCCAAAACGACCAACGUUUUGGUGAAACAAGAGGCCGGCGAGCAAGGGGAUACGUUAGAAACAUGAACAAUCCACGAGGACUUCAAAGAAGGAGACCCGGUUACGCUAUACAGCAACAGCUUGACGAAGACUUUCAAGAAGAUCAAGAAGCAUUGGCAAGAAAUCCAAGAAGAUGAUUCUUCAAGCGGGGAUGAACAAGGAAACAUGUGGAACCUCAAUGAUGACGUACGAGCAGGAAGAAAUAACCGAAGAAAUGAGGUCAGAAGAGGAGAGUACCACGAUUAUAAGAUGAAGAUUGACCUUCCCAUGUAUGAUGGCAAACGAAAUAUAGAAGCAUUCUUGGACUGGAUAAAGAGUACUGAGAACUUCUUCAACUACAUGGAUACACCUGAACGCAAGAAAGUCCACCUAGUAGCCUUAAAAUUAAGGGCUGGUGCAUCAGCUUGGUGGGAUCAGUUAGAAAUCAAUAGACAAAGAUGUGGGAAACAACCGAUUCGCUCAUGGGAAAAGAUGAAAAAAUUGCUGAAGGCAAGAUUCUUACCACCAAACUACGAACAAACUUUAUACAAUCAGCACCAAAACUGCCGCCAAGGUGUCCGGACAGUAGCUGAGUACAUUGAAGAAUUCCACCGCCUGAGUGCAAGAACAAACCUAAGCGAAAAUGAACAGCACCAGGUUGCAAGAUUUGUGGGAGGCCUUCGAUUCGACAUCAAGGAAAAGGUCAGACUACAACCAUUCCGUUUCCUGUCUGAAGCAAUAUCAUUUGCAGAAACGGUAGAGGAGAUGAUUGCAAUUCGAUCCAAGAAUCUAAAUAGAAGAUCAGCAUGGGAAACAAAUUCGACAAAAAGCAAAACAAACGACCAACCUUCAACCUCAACAAAAGCAAAAGGGAAAGAGAUUGAUAAUCAAGAAGUAGCCGUUGUUGAAAGAAAGAAAGAACAGACGUUCAAAUCUAGUGGUCAGAACAGCUACUCCCGCCCGUCAUUAGGAAAAUGCUUCCGAUGUGGCCAAACUGGCCACCUGUCCAACAACUGUCCGCAAAGAAAAACCAUUGCAAUAGCCGAAGAAGGAGGACAGAUAAGUGAAGACAGUAUAGAAGCAGAGGAAGAAACUGAACUGAUUGAAGCAGAUGAUGGGGAAAGGGUCUCUUGUGUUAUCCAACGGUUACUAAUUACGCCCAAGGAAGAAAAGAACCUGCAACGCCACUGUCUUUUCAAGACAAGAUGCACCAUAAACGGAAGAGUAUGUGAUGUAAUCAUAGACAGCGGCAGCAGUGAAAACUUCGUAGCAAAGAAAUUAGUAACAGUCUUGAAUCUAAAGGCUGAAGCACAUCCAAACCCUUACAAGAUAGGUUGGGUGAGAAAAGGAGGAGAAGCCACGGUCAGCGAAAUCUGUACAGUCCCUCUCUCCAUUGGAAACGCCUACAAAGACCAAAUUGUUUGUGAUGUCAUUGAGAUGGAUGUAUGCCAUCUCCUACUAGGAAGACCUUGGCAGUAUGAUACUCAAUCAUUACACAAAGGGAGGGAAAAUACAUAUGAGUUUCAAUGGAUGGGAAGAAAGGUAGUCUUACUCCCUAUAACGAAAAAGAUUAACGAAGGGUUAAGAGGUGAGAAACAGUUAUUCAUCACUGUUAGUGGGAAAAACAUGCUUAAAGAAAGGGAACAAGACAUCCUAGGACUGGUUGUUAUUGAAAAAACCAAAGAAAAACAGGUUGAAGACAUAGAACCCAAAUUACAGCAGCUCCUUCAUGAGUUCCCUCAUAUAAAGGAAGAACCGAAGGGACUCCCACCCCUUCGAGAUAUACAGCACCACAUAGACUUGAUUCCGGGAGCAUCACUACCAAAUUUGGCUCACUAUAGGAUGAGCCCCCAGGAGUACAAAAUACUUCAUGAUCAUAUUGAGGAAUUACUAAAGAAAGGGCACAUCAAACCUAGCCUCAGCCCGUGUGCAGUACCAGCACUUCUCACGCCAAAGAAAGAUGGAAGCUGGAGAAUGUGCGUUGACAGCAGAGCCAUCAACCGCAUCACGGUAAAGUAUAGAUUUCCCAUUCCAAGGAUUAGUGACCUGCUAGAUCAACUCGGAAAAGCCAGUAUCUUUUCGAAAAUUGACUUGAAAAGUGGCUAUCAUCAAAUACGGGUAAGACCUGGCGACGAAUGGAAGACAGCCUUCAAGACAAACGAAGGAUUAUUUGAAUGGAUGGUCAUGCCAUUCGGCCUUUCUAACGCACCCAGCACCUUCAUGAGAUUGAUGAACCAGGUACUUCACCCAUUUCUCAACAAAUUCAUAGUAGUUUACUUCGAUGACAUACUUGUUUACAGCACAAACAAUGAUGAGCAUUUACUACACCUAAGGAAGCUGUUCCAAGUCUUAACAGAAGCGGAACUCUACAUAAAUACUAAGAAAAGCAUGUUUAUGAAAAAAGAAAUUGCAUUCCUCGGCUUUAUAAUCAAACAGGGAAGCAUAAGCAUGGAACCAAAGAAAAUCGAAGCCAUCCACAAAUGGCCGACUCCUGCCUCCAUUAAAGAAAUACAAGCCUUCCUUGGCCUGGCUUCGUUUUACAGGAAAUUCAUCAGAAAUUUCAGCUCUUUAGCCGCACCACUAACUGACUGUCUAAAGAAAGGAAACUUCAAAUGGACCCCGUUACAACAAGAAAGCUUUGAAGAUAUCAAAAAGAAGCUCACAUCCAGCCCUAUCCUUAAAUUACCAGAUUUCUCUUCACCUUUUGAAGUAGCAGUUGAUGCAUGCUGUACAGGGAUUGGAGCUGUCCUAGUACAACAAGGACAUCCUAUCGAAUACUUCAGUGAAAAACUCAGCACCUCAAGACAGACCUGGAGCACAUACGAACAAGAGCUGUAUGCCCUCGUCCGAGCACUAAAACAAUGGGAACACUACCUGAUCUCUAAAGAAUUUGUACUCCUAACUGACCAUUUCUCACUAAAAUACCUUCAAGCUCAAAAGAAUAUCAGUAGGAUGCACGCACGCUGGAUAUCCUUCCUCCAAAGGUUUGACUUCGUGAUCAAACACCAAUCAGGCAAAGAGAACAAGGUGGCCGAUGCUCUAAGCAGAAAAGGCUCCCUACUCACAAUACUGUCCUCGGAAAUCAUAGCAUUCAAACAUUUACCCGACACUUAUACGAAGAAGAUACUGACUUCAAGGAUAUCUGGUACAAAUGCUCCAACUUCUUAGACGCUGAUGACUACCACAUUGUUGAAGGAUAUCUAUUUAAAGGAGAACAAUUAUGCAUCCCGCACACCUCACUACGUGAAGCCUUAAUAAAAGAAGCACAUUCUGGAGGGCUAGCUGGACAUUUCGGACAGAAUAAGACAUUGGAGAUCACUUCCAAACGAUACUACUGGCCGCAAAUAAGAAAAGACUCCAAUAAUUUCGUAAAAAGAUGCCCCAUCUGCCAAAGAACCAAAGGCUCCAGCACGAAUGCAGGAUUAUACUCGCCACUACCCAUCCCGACCUCAAUAUGGGAAGAUUUAUCAAUUGACUUCGUGAUUGGAUUACCAAAAACACAAAGACAAUUUGACUCAAUAAUGGUUAUAGUGGACAGAUUCAGCAAAAUGACACAUUUCGUAGCAUGCAAAAAGACAAAUGAUGCAAUCUACAUAGCCAACCUCUUCUUUAAAGAAGUAGUACGACUACAUGGAGUACCUAAAAGCAUAGUAUCAGACAGAGAUGUCAAGUUCCUGAGUCACUUUUGGCGAACACUGUGGAAGAAGUUUGACACAACACUGAAAUUCAGCACCACAGCCCACCCACAGACAGAUGGACAAACUGAAGUAACAAACAGGACCCUCGGUAAUCUGCUACGCUGCCUUAGCGGGUCAAAACCAAAACAAUGGGAUCUAGCAUUGGCUCAAGCUGAAUUCGCCUUCAAUAAUAUGAAGAACAGAUCAACAGGAAAGUCCCCCUUCGAAGUAGUUUAUACCAAACUACCACGAUUAACCUUUGAUCUCACUACACUCCCCACAACCGUGGAUCUCAACAACGAAGCAGAAUGCAUGGCAGAAAAUAUCAAAAAACUACACAAGGAAGUCCAUGAUCAUCUUAUACAGACAACAGACUCCUACAAAAAGGCAGCAGAUAAAAAAAGAAGACAAGCCCACUUCAAUAAAGGAGACCUAGUAAUGGUACACCUGAAAAAGAGCAGAUUUCCUACUGGCACCUACAACAAGCUGAAAGACAGACAAAUUGGGCCAUUCCCUAUAUUAGAGAAAUACGGAGAUAAUGCCUUCAAGAUCGAUCUACCACAAGACAUACACAUACACCCAGUCUUCAAUGUUGCUGACCUAAAGCCAUACCAUGCACCAGAUCGUUUCAGGCUUGCUGACUGAUGGACCCUGGGACGAGUCCAUCCUUAGGGGGGUGGAAUGAUGUAAACUAUAGCUAGUUAGUUAGUAAAAAUCCCUAACUAAUUAGAAAUACAGCUGUAACUAACUAUCCCAAAACAGUCUUGUAACUAACUAACCAAAACAACCUUGUAACUAACUUGUAACUAACCUUGAGAUACCAAUAUAUAACAAUCUCCUAGCCUGAAAAAAGGCAAAGAAUUCUUUUGAGAAAUUUAUCCCAGCUUUGAAUUACAUCAGAUUUUAGAUUGAUAAAGCAUCUCCAACUGUUUGCGAAUCAAUCUCCAAUCAUCGGAAGCAAACAGUUAUGUAACAAUCCAUAAAUUUUCAAAAUCAACCUUUACCACUUCAUGAUUCUUGAUAAGCCACUAGUUGUGUUGUGCUUGGGGUAGAAGGCUGGACAGAAACUUGAUGAGUUCUAAGCGGGGUGGUGCGAGGACAAGAUACCUUGUUCCGGGAAUUUUUUAUUGGAGAGGUAGUGCUAGAAGAAUUGACCAUCUCUACUUGGGAAGGUCUAUUCACCAGAAACUGUGGGGAAGACUUUUGGGGAAUUAUCUGAAAACCAAUUAGUGCAGUUGACCUUUUCUACAAAUUUAAUGAACACGUUAAUUAUGUCAAUAUUAGAAGUUCAUGUAGAAUAAUGACAAUCAAAAGGUCAUCAUAUGUCAAUAUUAGAAACUGCAAUUAGGAACGAUAAAAAAAUAGAGGUAAUCAAAUGUCAAUCAAAUGAUAAUAUCACAAACAAUGAGGGCAUCGACAGAGAUGAAAGAACAAAGAAUGUAAAAAUAAAUCAAAUAAACAUUAAAAACAAAACACUGCAUAUAAAAUGACAAUGAGACCUGCUACAGUGCAAGAAAUUAACAUUACCUUUGCUGUGAUGUAAGAGAUAAAUGAUUGUCCAGCAUGAUUAUCUGCAGAAAACGAGCAUGAAAGAAGUUGUUUUUUAUGAGUAACAAGAGAACUUUCCAAAAAACAUCAAGAUUGUUAUGGUCAAACAUUAUUAAGGCCAUUCUUUCAGAAAUUUGGUUUAAGUGAAAUCAACGAAUUUUCCAAAACAAGGCCUCCAGUUGGAUGAUUAGACUGGAACAUGCUAAAAUCAACGCAUCCUCUUGGUGCUCCUUGGCUAAAGCUUUUGAAGCCUACUCCAUCCAAGACCUUAGCCUUAACGGGCAGGCGUGCAUCUUUGAUUAGAUAACUAUGCCUCUCGUAGUCUUGUUUAAAUGUUCUAUUUUUUUCACUCCUAGUUGCUCUCGUUAUUAUGUAUGUACUCCAAUCUAAGUUAAGAAGUAAUGAAAGUGCAAUGGGGUAUCAACCUAAUUGAGAUGUCUGGAUGCACUUAUUGAUCCCUAAUGGCUUAGAUCUUAUAUUUUUAUUGUACUCAACAUGAUCAAUGGCUUAGAUCAUAUAUUUUUAUUGUACUCAACAUAAUAUUGUCUACUCAUAUUUUUAACGACGAAGAUUGUUUCAUCUUUUAAAAGAAAAUCAAACAUUUUAACCUGCUUUUGACAAGCAUGAAAGAAGUUUCUCAUGGUCAAUCAAUUUUAGAAAAAUUUUGAAGGCCUAAUGUUUGAAGCCUUUUGACUGCUUUAGAUGGCCAAGAGUAGUAGAAAGGCAGGACUCUAGAAAAAGGGUUUUGGAAGCUUCAGGUUUGUUCUCUGCUAAAUCUUCGUUUAGACAGCUGGCUUCAUCAUCUUCAAUUGAUAACAAGCUGUACAAAGUUUUGAGGAAUCAAGCUCCAAGGAGAGUUUACAUCAUCAUUUGUGUUAUGAUUUUGGAGGCACUUAAUUGCAUAGACUCUUCAAAGAGAGCUGCCAAGUCACUCAUUUUGCCCUCAGUUUACCAUCUUUGUAUGGUGGAUAAUGAAGAUUGUCAGCACAUCUUUGAUUGUCAAUUCUCUAAAGAAUUUUUGGAGAAAAUUAUUCUCCUGUUUUAUCUCCAAUGGGUUUUGUGCAAUGACUUCAUGAAAAAUGUGACUCAACUCUUAGUAGGCCAUCCUUAGCCCAUUUUCAUUUGUUGUGGGAUAAUGGUGUUAAAGCUAUUGUUUUAGAAAUAUGGUUUGGAAAGAAUCCGCACAUUUUUCACAACUUAUUUCCUUUGUUUGAUCGUAAUCAGAUUGCUCCUGUCAAAGCUUCUUCACAGUGCUCUCUUUUAAAUCGGAAUGGAUUUAUUUCUCCUUCUAUCCGUUAGUUUGUAAUUUAGUCUUGUUCUCUUGCUAUGUUCUUGAAUAUUCUCUUCUUCUUUUUUUUUCCUAAGUAGACUAAUUUCAUUAAUAAAAUGAAAAGUGUUGUUUUCAUUUUUCAUAAUAUUAAAAAAAUUACAAUUAAAAAAACCUGCAUUUUGAAAAUGAUUUAAAUGGAAAUAGGGCAAACAAUACUGUCAAGAAAGAGAACACAGAAAAUCAGAACUCAAAUUAAUUUGUUUUAACCAAAAAAGUGCAGAAUGAUCUGUGAAGUAGUGCAAUGUAAUCUCUUUCGAUGAUUCAAAGCAAUCUUGAGUAACCACAAAGAGCCUAUGCAAGGAAGUCAAAGAGUGGUUCGAGAAUAGCUGCGCCGUGCAAGAACACAGAUGAUGGUUUCUGCAUGGUAUCAUGCAACUUAUCAUCCUUCUUACUUCAAAGAAGACGUGUUCUACUUCAGCUUCCCAUGGACUGUAUCUGAUGUUUUAUUCAACAUAUAGGCAAUGAACUCCAAAAGACAUCAAACAUAAAAAAAGCUCCUAGUUCUAGCUGUGUGUUGUUAGCCCAUGUUAUUAAUUCUUUUACCUGUUUUAACUCUGACUAAACAAUCCUAAUCCAUGUUACUCACUACCCAAUAAAAGUUACCAUAAACAGGAGGUUAUUUAUAGGUAAACUGAAUUUAUUAAACAAACCACCUGCAGGAAACAAAGUAAAUGACGUAAACAACAAAUGAUUGUAUUUUAAAAGACAUGGAAUCCAUUGAAGUUGGUUAAUGCCAAAGAUUUUGGGAGACUCGAGGGUCGUAAGAAACAUUUUCCUACGUGUAGGGACAAGUGACCAACGCAGAAAAUCAUUGUAUUUUUUAUUUAUCUUAUCUCUUAUUUCGUCUUUUAUACUUGUUUUGGAUAUGAUGAGGGUGCCAAGAGGUUAUCAACCUAGUUGAGAUGUCCCGGUACGCCUGCUAAUCCUUGUGUAUAGUAUCUUGUAUCUUAUUUUUGAGACUUUGUCUCUUUUCAUUAACCAAUGAAAAGUGUGUUUCCUUUUCAAAAAAAAAAAAAAACUCCAAUGAAAUUAAGUUGCAACAAAGAAAACAGCAUCUCUUCUUUCUUUUUUUGGAACAAAGAAAACUACAGCCCUUUUCUCUUCUUUUUUCUUUUUUUUCUUUUUCUUUUUUUUUUUUUUUUUUUUCUUUUUUUUUUUUUUUUUUUUUUUCUUUUUUUUCUUUUUUUUUUUUUUCUUAACAAGAGACAAAAACUUUUCACUGAUGAAAUGAAAAGAGACUGAUGCUUAAAGGAUAUAAGAGUUCACAAGGGAGAUAAGUAAGGGUACAACAGCAACAAAAAGCAAAGUUAAAGUAAAAUAAGAGGAAAACAGUGAUAAAGCAAAAUAGGACCCAGUAAACAUGGCCAUCUUCCUAGCAAGCCUAUCCAAGGUAUUCACUCAAUCUAACAAAACUUGCCAGGUAAAGAACAUGAUUUUCUUCGGUAUCUUUAUCCUCCAGAUCAUAUCAAAGACUGACUCACUUCCAGGAGAGGUAUCCAAAAGUAGUGUGAAGAAAGAGUUACAAGAGAAACCCUUAGAAGGAUUGGGCUCCAGACACGAACAUUCCUCCUCCCCUUCCUAAAAAAACACCUUUCCAGCAAAGAAAGAAGGAAGACAACUCAAUUCUUGAAUGUUUUGUUCUUCCUUGCAAUCCACACUGACCACAAAAAACAAACAAACAAAAAACCAACCCUAAUAGAUUGGACCCGUAGAACUCUCUUCUCAAUUUGGUCCCAAUCAAGGUAACUCCAAACGAUAAAACUAAAUAGACUUAAACUCAUCAAUUGCACGUAAAUGAAAAAUGUUUAUAAACAAAGAUGUAGCCAAUGCAACGAAGGGACAUCAAGUAGCUCACCACAUACACGCCUCGAUAACUUGGCCAGCUCUGCAGCAGCAAUUUUGGCCUUCUUCCCAGCAAAUUCUCUUUUUUCAACUGCAUCUGAGCUCCACUACAACAAAGAAAAAGAUAUCCAGAAAUUUCGCAAGAGGAUAUUAAUUUUAAAAUAACCCAUUCUCCUUUUUUAAGGCCCCACAUUAAUUCAAUAGUGGAUUUGUAAGUAAGUAUUAAGUUAUUGAGUGCUUCAGAAAAGAAAACACCAAAAGAGUUUCGACAGACCGAUGUAGGAAAAAGCUGGAAAAAAUUAAUUAAAAAAACUUAGUUAAAGAAAACAAGACAUUGUUUUAAUAAAAAAAAAUGAAGAAAACAAAACAAAAAAUUUAGACUCGACUUGAAACAAAACAAGCAAAACUCAAAGUUGAUUCUGAUUAUUAUUGAAAUUUCUUAUUUUUCCUGUCGAAAUCACCCAAAGAAAUACGCUAAAACAGAGUUUUGAUAAUUCUACAUAUAUGUGCGAGCAAGAGCACUAAAUAACCAUGAAGCUGACACAAUAUGGCACAAGUUUAUUGAGUAAGUAUGGGCCCCAUCCCUUUGGAUCAAUGGUUACAAUUAUGGUUAAUUACCUCCCCAUCAUCUCGCUGAGAUGCAGAAAUAUAUAUAUCCUCUAAAAUAAUGAUGAUCGGAUCCCAUCCAAGCUUUUUCCAUGGAAUCUUGAUGCUUAACCUCCCUACACGACCUACCAAAUUGAAAAAAGAAAAUGAAACUUAAGAUCAUUAAUUUAACAUUCUAUUUAAACUACUAUUCACAUUAACCUAAAAAAUAUCAAACAUGGAGUGCCUGAGUUUUUAGUCUUUGUAAAAAAGCUGAAAGAUUGUUUUCAUUGAACAUACAAGAGUGGGAAGUAACAAUUUGAAAGACAUUGGUUUUGUACACUGAUUUGACUUCUUCUAGAAAACAAUGGAAAAAUUUUCAUUGAUAGAAAUUAUGACUAGUUAUUUGGAAGUUGUUCUUUCUAGCAAGAUCAAAAUUUUUCGUUUUGAAAAUGAAAAAGAGACUAAUGAUCAUGGAUAUAAGCCCAUGCGACAAAUUUUUCCCAUGCUCUGUCACCACAUAUUCUCCCCCUUUGUCUAGACAAUCAGGAGUAGCACCUUUUAUUUGACUGUGUUUAUGCAACAAAUUGCUGGUACCGACUCCUCAAAUGAGAUCCAAAUCAUAGCUGGUACAGCUUUGAAGAAGAAGACAGCUUCCUUGCUGUGGGUUAAUGCAGUAUUUGUUUUUUUGAAAAGGAAACGAAGCUCAUUUAUUGUGCAGUGAAAGCAUUAUUAGUUGAAGUUUGGCUUGAAAGAAAUCAGAGGGUUUUACAUGACAACCCUUUGACAUGGAUGGACCAUUUUAAAUCUGCUCGCCUGAAUGCAACAUCAUGGUGUUCCUUAUCCAAAGUUUUUCAGUACUCUCUACAGGAGACUUUGCUGAACAAGCCAGCCUUCAUAGCCCCUCCACUUUCAAGUCUUGGACAGCAUGAUUUUGGAUACCUUCUACUUCAACCGGAUCCUAGCAUAAUCGAGGACUGCUUUUCUAAUGUAUCUCUGAUGUUGUUUUGGUUUAUGUUUGGUAUGGGCCUACUACUUUAUUUUGGCCUUGUGUUUUUCCUUUGUAUUGGCUACUAUCAACCAAGGGAAAGAAUAAUUUUUAUUUCUUUCCGCACUACGGAUAUGAUGAGGGCGCUAAGGGGUGACAACCUAGUUGAGAAGCUUGGGUGCGUCUGCUGAUCCACCUCUCUUUUUCUUUACUCAUUGUAUAACCCUCUUGUAAUAUGAGCUUUUGUCUCUCUAUUUUAGUCAUUAAUAAUAUUGAGACUUGUUUCCUCUUCAAAAAAAAUCAUGGAUAUAAGUUGAAUAUGGGAGAGAAAUAAAAAACGCAAUAUAUAAAAGUACAAGGGAAGAAUACCUUGAAAAAGCAAAUAAUAUAUAAGAAAAUAAAAGACCAACAAGGACAAUGCCAAGAAACCAAGAAGCCAAGAGCAAGAAGGAAAAUAUAUUGCAAAAUAUAUGAGGCUGCCACACUGUCUAAGACCCCUAGCUAUGGUUCCAUUAGGAUUAAUAGUUUGUCGUGGGGAAGGUCAUCUAAGUAAUUAGCUAAAGAGUUUGUUAGGGUUUUUAGUUAUAAAAAGAGGGAGUGGGUUGGGAGCAAGGGGUGGACCAUAUUGGAAGGAAUUUCCAUCGAGGGAAUUAGGGAGAGAGAUGGCCCUCUCAAAAGGCCAUGUUGAGAAAUGAAAGAACAUAUACAGGCAUACCAAACAUCUGCUAUUUAUUGGCUUAAGUUUUGUUAUUUUAUACUCUUUUUGUUUUUUUAAACGAAGACAAACUUCUUUAUAAAUAAUCGAAAUUCAAAGUACAAGAGAGAAAUACAAUGAGUGUAAUAAAGAAGCCUAAAGAGCAAAAAGCAGGUGGAAUCAUGAGGUGCACCAGGGCAUCUCAACUAGGUUGACACCCCCUUAGCACCUAGUUUUUUUGUUUGCUAGUUGUUUUUGUAUAUUCUCCCAUGGGGAUGUUGUUUGCUUGAACUCUACCUUUACAUCAAUCAACAAAAAGUUGUUUUUUCAUUCAUGUUCAAAAUGGGCUGCCAAUGGUUCUAUUUACACUGAUGUAGCUCUCAAGAGGGCUUUAGAUGAAUGUUCCCUUUUUUAAAAAAAAGGAGACAAUCUCUUUAUUAUUUCAAAAUAAACUCAAAGUACAAUAGAUAUAUACUAAAAAUAAAAAUUAAGAGACCUAAAGAUUAGGAGACACACCCAAACAUCUCAACUAGGUUGCCACCUCCUAAGCGUCCUCAUCAUGUCCAUACAAAAACUAGUAGAAUAUAAAAUUGUAUAAUAAUAAGGAAGUAUCAGGGUAAUACAUAGGAUAGAUACACAAAAAUCCAGAUAUCUUAGCAUGUAAAAGCCAACCAAUUUGAACACAAAUCUUGAAUAGAUGUGCUAAACUCCUUGAAUAAAGUGCACCAAGCGACUGUGUUUCUUUUUGCGAUGUCCAUAUGAUCAGACCAACCCAUGAACUUACCAUCGAAUACCCUUUGAUUCUAUUCGAACCAAAUUUCUUGAAGCAGUGAUUUGGACAAGUUAGUCCAAAGAAGUCAUGGCCCCUUUUUCAUAAGUGGGCCCAAUAUAAUGUCUCACGUUUGAGUUGAAUUUUCCGUUAAACACCCAACUUACUUUAAAUAAAGAGAGAAGACUACCCCAACAUUUAGCUGAAUAUGGACAGAAGAACAGAUGCUGCAAAUCUUCUUCACAAAGGAAACAGAGAGGGUAGAAGACAACUGUUUGGGAGUUUCCUUUGCAUGACCAAAAAGCAGUUUAGUAACCCAAAUAUCAUAAUCCAAACUAAGAUGUUGACUCUUCUAGGGUUGUUGGAUUUCCACUAGACUUUGUAGGUCUCUCUAGUCAUGGAAGAGGAUGCUGAAAAGUGAUUCACGAGGGAUUUGACUGAAAACUUACCGGAUGGUUUUAGAGACCAAAUCCUUCUAUCCAUAGAAUCUACCACCUGUCUUUGCGAAAGGAGGUGAAGCAGUUGUUGAAAUUCUGAAAUUUCCCCUUCUUUAAGGAGUCUUCUAAAACUUAUAGACCAAGAUAGGGUGGAGUGAUCCCAAUGUGUAGCUACUGAUCCAUUAGGCAGCAAAGUGAUUCUAAACAGCUUUUGAAAACGAGAUCUAAGGGGGAUAUCGUCAGCCCACACAUCAUUCUGAAAAGCAAUUUGAGUUUCUCAGCUUGAAGGUGGACAAGUUUUCCACCUUUCCCCAUACUCUAGAAAUACCUAUCCAAGGACGUUUUAGGCUAUUUCCAGAUUUCCCAACAGUAUGCUAAUUAAAAGGCUCUUUACCGUGAAUGCUUUUGACUACUUGGCACCAUAGAGACUCUUCCUCCUCCAUGAAUGUUUCCUUUUAUUAUUUCUUUUUUUUCUUUUUUGAAAAGGAUACCACUUUAGCAUUACAUUUCUAUGAAGGGGAAGGCCAAACUUGCUCAUUGGUAGUUUAGUAAUAUUUAGCUUUAAUUGCCUUGCACCAAAGAGCCUUUGUUGUUUGAAGGAAUCUCCUUGUCCAUUUAGCAAAAAAAAUGCAUCAUUCCCCUAGUUUAGCUUGCCAAUUCCUAAACUUCCCAUGGAUAUAGGUGGUUUGUUUUCUUAUAAUUAGCAUGGUGGACUCCACCCUCAAGAUUUGGGCCUUCCUGUAGGAAGCCUCUUAAAAGCUUUUCAAUAGAUUUAGUGACCUUUAAAGGCAUUUUGACAAUAGAUAAGUAAGAACUUGAUAUAUAUUUUUCAAAGGAAACAAGACUAAUAAAUUGGCAUAUUCUUUUUCUUUGAAACAAAGACAAUCCUCUUUAUUAAUAAUAAUAAGAGAGACUAACGCUCAAAGUAUAAGAGUAUAAGGGCUAAAACAAUUAAAAACAAUAACCAAAUCAAACUCAGCAAGAAUAGCGAGCUAAUCAAUAAAGAAGUUUUGUCUUACUUUCCCUUGUUUACGAAUUCCUUAUUGCUCUCUUUGUAUAAUUCUCUUGUACUCUAAGAUCUUAACCACAAUAAGCUUUGAGAUGAGCGAAGAAGGAACACCAAGAGAAGAACAACCAGCCUAGCUGAAUCUUCACUAAGAUGAAACCACAAAACUGCUAAGAAACAUUAAUUGUUCAACCGGUUGGAAACAUUUCUUGAGCCCAGCUUCUUCUAUGAUUCUUGGGAGAAGACUAGUUCUGAGUUAAGUGUUUCAAGAGACUUGAAUCUCAAUCUAUUUAUCUACAACCUUCAAACCACACAAGUUCCGGUAUAAAAAUUCCAAUGUAACCAAUUAUUGAACCAAAAAAGUGAGUAAAAUCAGAUCUCAAACAAAAACUAGUUUGCGUUCAUCAACUAGUGACUUUAAAUGGGCUGGAAUUUCGCAAUGCUAAAACUUAGAGGGUUUCCAGAGGUCUGUUUUCCAACAUUAAAUUCCUCUUCAUUCUAAAACAAAUCAUUGAGAUCAAUUUCAAAGGGGUCCUUCAAAGAAUGAUCCUCCAGCCCAUUUGGCUACCCCAAAUUAUCAACUUCUUCAAUGCUCACACUAAAAGGAGGAGCCAAAAUCUAAAUCACAUUUUUUUUUGGAAAGUGUUAAUUGGAUGAGUUACGUCUUCGACCUUUCGAGUUGAAGGGUUCUUUCCAAAUACAAAAUUUAUGAUCAAUUUUCUCAAAGAUGGGCUUCCUCAACUGUGAAUUCCUUUGCUUGCCACCCGUAGGAAAGUCAACAUAAAUUGUUGAUCAAACUCCAAUUUUGUAGCCAUGAGUAAGUAGUAAGAUCUUACGACCUUUCUUGAACAGAAUAUGUUCUAUAUGUUGUACAUUUGGGUCCUUGAGUUCUAAAGAGUAAGUAGUAUGAUCUUGUGAGGCCCUAAAUAUUAAGCUAAUUCCCAGCAUCUCUUGCAACUCAUUCUUAACAUAAUUUUUGUUGGAACUCAAUGGCAAUCCAAAGAUAUGAAUGAGAUACAAAAAAAUCUUAAGCACUUUAGGACCUAUAGCCGAAAAUAUCAAAUUGGCAUCUGCAAAUUAAAGGUAGUUAACCAUAAAGGAGGACUUCUGAUGUUAUUUUCCUUGAUUGAUCACGUGUAUUUUCUUAACAGGAAACGAAAAUCUUUCAAUCAUGUGAUGGAAGGAGACUAAUGCUCAAAAGAAAUAAACUCCAUGGGGAGAAAAAACAAAAUGAUAGAUGCAAAAUCACAAAUGUAGGAAACGUGGUCAUGUAAUUCUAAGAGAAUACAAAUUUUCAAACCUAAUAGGUUAUGGGGGCAAGUGAAAUGGAGUUUCAGGGUAUAAGUGAAAUGAAGUUUCAGAGUAUAGGUUCAAACCUUAAUUACAGUGACAAACAAAUGUUGAUCAAGCAAAAGUAAUUGCACCAAAAAAAUAGGAAUGAAAUGUUGCAAUAUCUAAAUGUUGAGUUGAGCCAAUUAAUUGGAAGAUGAGUCAAAAAAGCUAAUAACAAAUGCAGAAAACAAUCCAUUAAGCAAAGCUUGUACAUUCCUAAUAAGUGAAUGGAAAAGGCAAAGAAAAAGCUUCAAAUAAAUACCAAACACAUUCUGCUUUUCUAUUUUGCCUAUGAAUUUAAAAAUACCUUCCUUUAGGGCGAAUGGCAAUUGAAGAUAAUCAAAGGCCUCUAGAAUGAGCUCAACAUUCUCCAAUAAAAUUUCCUCUGCAUAAGUAGUAAGUGUGCCUCUUAGGACUGAUUGAUAUAGAAAAUUCUAAAUAAUAAAUAUAAUAUAGAAUGUGCAACCAUUUUGAGCAAGUUUUCAUAUCAAGUUAAUUUCAUUUAUAUGAAGAAAAGUUGCAAAUGUUUAUAAAAGAAUCCUCAAAAUAAACAAAUAUACCUAUCUUCUUUUCUUAAUGAAACUAAAAGAUAACUUUUCAUUAAAAUUAAAAUAAUGUAAUGAGACUAAUGCUCAAGAUGAUACAAGACAUAAAGCUAUCAAAAACUUACCGGUACAAGAAGAAAAAAACAAAACUAGACCAAGAUUUCAAAUAAUAAAAGAGAAGAUAAAACAUUUCAGAUUAAACGUCUUGAAACAAGUAAUCUGCAAUAAAGUUUGGAAAGGGAACACCAGAAGACUCUCAGAUCAUAACCCAAAUGAAGAACUUGACUUCUACUAGGACAGCUUGAAUUCUGAAGAAUCCAAAAACCAGCUUCUCGAGACUUAGCUAUCAACCAUCCUUUGACCCUCUUUCUAACAACAAGAUCAAAAUCUUCAUGCUAUUUUGCAGUGUAUUUGUCUGGAGUGAAAUAGUAGAAUUUUUAGAGAUGUGGAGAAAAAUAGAGAAACUAGUAAGGUUUAAAGCUUCUGUUUGAGCACCGUCGAUCUUGAUCUUUUGGAGGGCUCUAACCAAACGGCGCCAGAGUCGCUUACUAAUAAGUGAGAGGAAGCAACCAUGGUAUCCUUUAAUUACAGAGGAAAAGUGAUGAAAAUAAACCAGAAGUGAAGGUCAAUCGACGAAGAGAAAUGUAGAACUUUCGCUGUUUGAUAGGCAGGACCAAUCCUAAUGAAUAAAUAUUAAGACAAGACUCUAUUUUCCAAACAUAAGAUGAGUGGUAUAAGGGAAAUAGUAGCUUCGGGCAUGGCAGUAUGGCUUAGUUCGAUGUAUAGAAAAGCGGCGACCCAUUUGUCCAAUGAGCGUAUUCAAGAUAGCGAUGAACCGCACAGUCCGAUUAUCAUUAUAUGAGGGCACAAGGAAGUAUUAGCAUCAGUUUGAGACGAUGGCAACAUCGAAGCUACUUAACUAGUUCAACAAAUAAAAAGACAAUCCAAACAAAGCUAAAAUUGUUCAUAGAGUACAAUCAGAUGAACAAACCGUUCCAAAAUGUAAUCUUUAGCUUCUCCUUCUGAAUAUCCUUGACAUAUCGGCCCAAAUAACCCACAAGCAACUGUCCAACGAGUCCUUCAAACAUUCUCACACGAUAUUCUCCCUAAAAACACUACCAACAACAAGUACGCCCGUCUAAGUUCAUGUGAUUAUUGUUGGGUUUUUUAGCAGGUUAGCCUUGGAUUAUUUGACUGAAGAACAAGAAACGUCUCUACUUCUCUCCCUGAAUCUCGCCGUCAAUCAAUCAUGCUCUCGCCGAUUCAUUCAAUCUCUCUCGAGCUCUGGCUCAAUCUCGCCGGUUCCGUCGAAGCAUUCUUUCAAUCUCUCUCUCACCAAUUUUGCCGCUAUUUUCUUUUGUCCGUCUCUUUGGCUUCUCCAGAGGUUUCAAGCGCAACGAAGAAUUGUUAGUAAGUUGGGUGGGUUGUGAAUAGGCCGGGUUAAUUGUAGCUGCGUGGUUCGGAAUCAAAUCUCUCUAAGUUAAAUUGACUGAUUUGAUGGAUUUUGUUUGAUACUUAGUGAUUUUUUUUAAUUGUAUAUCCUAAAUUUUAUCAUUUAUAAAUUAUUAAAUUAAUUUUUUAUUCUAUUGUUUUUUCAUGAUAAUAGUGCAAAAACGAAAAAUUUUAACAUUUAAUAACAAUCAUUUUGAUCUAAGUUGCACUAACAUAAAUGUUAUAAUUAAGAAUAUUACAAACCAUCCACAAAAUAGAACGAGUCAUUUAAUUAGAUGGAGUUUACAAAAGUUCAGUUAAAUAACAUUUGAAAUGGUCUAGUUUGUUUAAAAAAUAAGUAUAACCAAAAGGGUCAAACAAAAGUGAAAAUCAAUAAAAUUACAUUUAGCGAUGAUUAUGGUUGCAUUUCUAAUAUACGCAUGCAUUUUAUGUACUUCCAUUAUGUUGGUUAGUCAAGGAAUGUGUGCGACAUCAUACAGUCAAGUAAUGGAGACUCGACUACAGUUGAACAAUCAUCAACAUUCAUUAUAGGAAUAGUUUGUAAUUAAGCAUAUAAUUGUUUGCAUAUGGAUUAUUCUAUUUUCAUUUUUUCUUUAUGUAAUGAAGCAAUCUUUUCAAUUUCCUUGAAAGUUUCUAGCAUACUUAUGCGAAAUGUGUCUAUGAGGUCCCCUGAAUAUGAUUGUCUUUUUUUUACUUGGCCUAGUUAAUCUAGCAUCAUGUGUCAUACUUGUUUUAGUGGAUGACAUGUCCUCCUCCGAUGGUGGCUCGAGUCCAUGUAGAUUUGGAAUAUCAAAGUCUUCGAGAUUAAUGUCCAUGUCAUCUUCUUCGAUAUAUUUUUCACUAUGUGAGCCCAUUUCAAUGCGUGCCUUACAUUUACUACUAAUAGCCCUAUCUCUACCAAACACAAUUCCUCAGUUAUAGAAGUAAGGAAAUGAUUUAUUUAGUAGGCCUCGAGCAUUGAGGUGUCCCUACAUGGAGUUAACAAAUGUAACUGUAUUAUAUUUGACUUUUAUAGAAAGUAUGAAUUAUAUUCAUCGUCUUAUCUUAACCCAAUCAUCGAAUACGGAUUUCUCUACCUCAAUGCACUUUUGUUCCUCAUUCUAGCCAAACUCACUACACACUAGCCCCAUCAUCUCUUCUAUGGCAGUGUACCACUUCUUCAAAAUUUUCACUCUCGACUCUAGAUUUGGAGUUAUUUGUAUGUUGCUUCCAUAAAUUAUUUAUUUCAUUAUAUUUUGUAUUUGUACCAAGUAUCUCGGUUUGAAUGUCCUAUUAUCAUCUCUUCAGCCACCUUCCUCCACUAGUUGUAGUAAGCACUCAACUAAUGCCUCAUCCUUAAUGGUUGUCUACCAAUUCUUAGUGGCUUUUGAAUUUGUCAACAUCAUCUAAAUUAGCACAUAAAUUUUAGAAAAGUCAAUGUAUACAAAAUUUAUAGAUUGACGUACAGAUAUCUUAGUUCUCAUAAUUUAGAGGGAACCUCUAUGUAUUUCUAACUCCAUUUACACACAAAAAUAGUUAAGUACAGAUAACAUUAUCAUAAAACAACAAGAUUAUAUGAGAAACUAAACUACAUCUAUUAGUCACACACUAUUCCAAUCCUCAAACAUUUGGUUUGCAAGAUUAUACCUUCAUUCAAUCCAAACAUUAGUCAUUUCCACGAAGUUUAUAUUCUUAAUGUUCAUCUCGCUUGAAUCACCUUCACCAAGAUGUGGCUCCUCAAAUGUUGCUUUUGAACCUCUUUCUCUAUGUAUCAAGUUAUGUAAGAGGCAACAUGUCGUUAUUAUUUUACAUUGUAUGUCAACAAGGUAAUAGGGUAAUAGGUCUCCCUCGUAGAAUGGCUCACUGAUCCUUCAAUAAUCCAAAUACUUUUUCAAUAACGUUUCUAGCAUAAAAAUGUUUCAUGUUAAAUAACUUUCACUUGCAGGUUGGUGGGUUUCUUCCACACCAUUUAGUUAGAUGGUAAUGAUAAACUUGGUAUGGAGUGAGAAAUCCUUCAGCAUUCGGAUAACCAGCAUCACACAAGUAGUAGUACCCUGCCCAUAUUGCGUCCAUUAUGAAUUAUUAGGGUACACAAUAUUAAAUGAGCAUAUGGUCUAACACCAAUGUGUGGAGAGAAGAAAAUGCAUUAUCUUACCCUUUGGGAAUUUUUGACCAAUGGGUCAUGACACUGCAUCUCUAAGUACCAUCGAAUCAGAUACAAACUCUUCCCAUCUAGGCACGACAAAUAUGAACUCACCUAUUUGCAAAUACACUAAGUACAUUUGUAGUAAUGUCACCCUUUCUAGACCUAUAUCUUGGGUGAUCACUCACACUUAUGUUCACUUUAAUGUUUGUACCAUAGAGUACCUAUGAUUUUCCACUUAACACAAAAUGUAAAUAAAUAGUCGGUUAACAAAAGGUAUACAAACGAAAGAAAGAAACUAAGAAUUUUUUUAAAACAAUGACCAUUUCGCAAAAAUAGAAAAUAAGAUUUUCUGAAAAGAAGCAUAAGUAUUUUGAGACUAAAGCUUUCCCCGUUUAGAAGUGUGAAAUAAUGAUGUCUUCCGCAUGAAAAUAGAAGAAAACAAAGGGAAAAAGUAGGUCAUUUGAUUACUUUGCGAAAAGCUUAUUGCAAAAGAACUUGAUGCCUGCUUUUCUUAUCGCAGGAUAUUAAGCAAAGAAGAGUGAAGCUUAGCGAAUAGAACAUGGUACACGAGGAGAUUCAACCAACCUCUUCAAUGCGAGGAAGCAGAUGUUAGACGAUUAAGCCACCAGUAAACAAAAGAGGUUGGCGGUAAUAUUAGAAAAUGACAAUUGGGACAGGCUACACAACGUAACUACAACUUUUCAAAAGUCUUAAUGGCACGUAUUGGCAUGUUAGCACCACUUCGUAUAUAUAAACAGAGUUUCCCUCUUCAGAAUGGUGUGCACAAUUGGCUGAAAGAGCAAGUUUCACAAUUCAUCCAUCCUUCUCUUUUACCUUAAGUUUUAGGUGAGACCUUAAAGCUGAAGAGAGAGAGAGAGAGAUCCCUCAAUCUCAUUGUUUCCCUUCAUCUAUAGGCAAAAAGCAUAGCCAAGGAGCAUGAACAAUCAAACUCCCCGGGGUAACACAUCUGUUGUAGUUUCAUUUUAUCAUUUUUAUCUAGUGUUGUUCUAUAAGCAAAACGUCAUGGUUGAAAGGUCUACAAUAUCAAUUAUGAAAGCAAUGCAUUUCUUCUUCCAUUCUCCCAUUUUAUUACCCCUUCCAUAUACUUGUAAUUGAUUAGCUAAAUAGAAACGAAUGAUGUGCUCAAUACUACAAAAGUUAUAAUGAAUGUCGUAAGAGUUUUGUUUAGUUAAAUGUGUGUAUCAUAGCCUUGCUCAUUCGAGAGUAGAGAAAAAGUAGAGAUUAUAUUCACAAAGAAGGUGAAAACCAUAUUUAACUAAGCACAUGGCGAGAAGAAUGCAACAAUACCUUCUUGUCGCCAAACUCAUCCUCUACAUACGCUACCAAGAGGUUAAUGUGUGUGACAGAAGCACUGAAAGGUGUGUCUUAAUUGAGGAUUAGUUAAUGUUACUUCAAUAAAAAAAACUUAGAUAACUGCAUUGCUUAACUUGUAGAUUUUCAUUUCGAAAGGCGAGCAAGUAUGGUUUUGCACUAAAGAGUUGCUAGCCUUAAUUAUUGGUUAAGAGAUGUUUAUAUCGCCUCAAGAUGUUGAGUCAUCGAUUGUAGCAUUUGGUAGUUCAAUUUUUCUUCUCCUAUCUAUGUUCAGUUCUUAUUUCAUUAUGUCAUAACGUCAUGUUCACCUUGCACUCCCAAGAACAAUAAUGUAAAUAGUUAGAGUUGCUUAUAUAAUGUGCAUAUGACUUACUGUAUAGUGUAUACCGCAUGAGUUAGUACACAAUUAGAUAAAUUAGAAGCUUAUAUUCUCUGAGUUCACCUUUAAACUUAUCAAGAAACCUCUCAUCGAUAUUACUUGGGUGAUACAGAGGAAAGCUUGCACGAUAAAGUUUAAAUGAUCAUGUAGCAACAUAAGAAUAGGAAUUCAUCUUUUAUCACAUGACACUUCUUCACUGCCCAUUAGUCAUCAAAUUUAAAGUCUUUCACACUAGCCUACAAUUGCGAAACUCGAGAUAAUUUAAUGCAUGAUUAAAAACAAGUACAAAACGCUUGUGUUAUUUGGCUCAAUUUUACACCUAUUACACAACUGAGGGAAUAGGACUUGGAUUUCUCAAUUGUUGUAUAGAUCAAUGAGAUUCCCUUUUUCCUUUUCUCUCUUCCUUUACUUGUGCCCGCAAGAUCUUUUUUAUUGUAUUUUUCUUCUCCCCUUCUUACGAAUAGGCACUUCCUCCUCCGACAGGUAGCUUUUAUCGAUCCUUCUCUUGAACUCCUCGACGGUUUCUUCCUCUACCACUUCAUUACUUCUACUUCUUUUUCCAAGGGCACAUAUUUCCUUUGAUAUUCUUUCUUAUGCCUCUUUUGCUAACCCUUUAAAAUCAACAUCAGGCGAGGAAGGGCUCUCUAUUAAAAGCUCAAUAUCCUCCUUCCUCGUCUGGCUACCGUCUUUUCUUUCUUCUUCUUUUGUUAUUCUUUUUACAUUUUCUUUUAUUCAUGUCUAUAUUUUCACUUUCUUUUGCUUCUUCCCGUACAUUUCUUUUUAUUCCUCUAUUUUUCUCUCCAAUCUUUUUAUAGUUUUUCUCGCCCUCCCUUGAGGGCUUCAAUAAGAAAAGUAUCCUCAGUCAUGGUUACUAAGUGGUCUAAGAAUGAUUAAUGAAACGUAGAAGGAACAAAGUGAAGGUACAAAUGGUGAAGUUUUUGUGAGUGUAAGAGCUUAAGGCUGAUUGCAUAAUAUGUUUAGCUAAUGCUUAGGAUUUAAAGUUUUUGAGCUAUUUAAAUAGGCAUUCUUAACUAGGGUUAAAGGGUUGGUUAACUUACAAUUAAGGUUUUGUCAUAUUAAAUGUAGCAUGAUAGACAUGAUAAACAACUCGUGGCUCGAGGUAUGACACAUCCAUUGGUCCUUGGAAGUUUAAGAACUUUAAAGAGUGAUGAGAUGUUUCAUACUCCCUAAAAAUCCUAACGCUUAUCAAUGAAACCUACUCUCAGCCCUGUCGUACGAGAAGGUCAGAAUGCAUGAUGUUGUUUGACUCAAUCCUUCUCAUAGGCUAGCUUCAUCACAUUUGUCUUAUCCAAUCAGCUUGAAACUUUGCGAGCUGGCGCACAAUCUCUAUUUUAUGACUAAAGGGUAUUCAGAACUCGAAUACAAAACUAAUUUACAAGUAUAAGAAUAAUUAGAUAAGUAUAAAAGUAUAAGUAGGUUCACAAAUAUAGGGAUGCAAUUCUUAGUAAAAAAAAAGUUCAAAGAAUUAUACAUUACAUAUGCAUCCAUGUUUUUGAGCAUAACUUUUCUAUUAAGUGGGGAAAGAGUUUUGCUCCGUGAGGAUGCUUAACCUAAGCUAUAAUGUGCUCGCUUAUGAUGUCACCUAUGUUCAUCCGUAUCUCCUUCAUUACGUAGUAAACCAACAUGAUAAGAUGUGUUUGAGGGAAAUGUUAUGUAUGUACUGUUAUGAAAUUUAUUUUUUAUACAUUUUUUUAAAAUUCAUAUUCUAAAUCCAACCAAAAUUUUGUAUAUUUAAUUUACUAAAUUAUUCUAUUUUUGUAAAACAAUUUUCAAUAAUUUAUUUACAUGUGUCGUCUAUUUCCAACAUUUUUUACGUUGUCGUCAUGUGUAAAUAAUUUAUUGAUUUUUUAAAGAAAUUUGUAUUCUAAAUCUAAUGCACAGAUUUCUUUGACGUAAUUGUUAUGUGCAAAUAAAUUAUUAAUUUUUUUUAAAAAAUUCAUAUUCUAACUCCAAUACACAAAUUUUGUAUAUUUAAUUUACCAAAUCGUUAUAGUUUUCGUAACACAAUUUUUCUUAAUUUAUUUAAAUACAAUAUGAACUUUUUUUUAAGUAAUCGUUUCGGUUGAAUAAAUUACUAUUUUUCUUUUAAGGAUAAAACAUUAUCAAUUUUCUUCUUAUCUCAAUGUUAUGUUUUUUUUCUCGUCUUUUUAAAUUAAAAUAUUGUUGUUCCAGGAGCAACAAAAAUGAUAAAAAAAUUAUAAUAAAUCAACGAAAGAUAUAAAAAUAAGGAAGAAUAAAGAAAAAAAAAGUACAUUUUGGAAAAAUACAACAUAAAUUGGUAAAAAAUUAGAUUCAAAAUUUAAUUCAAAUAAAUAUUAAAUCAAAUCUCACCAUUAAAUUGAUUUUUUAAAAAAGAAAAUUCUUAUACAUUUAAAGUUUAAAUACUUCCAAAAAAAAAUAUUUGGUAUAUAUUUUUUAGGUUGUUUAAGAAUUCUAAAGUUAGUUAAUUUAAUAUUAAAUUGUCUUAUUUGCUUUUGUUUUGAUUUUUCUAUAAGUUUAAUAAAAUUCAUUUUUUAAAAAUUUAUUUAACUCAAAGUUAUCCGAAAUAGUUUAGAUACAUAUAGACUAGUUUUAAAAUAAAAUAUUUGAAAAGGUAAAAAACAAAUAAAAGACAUAAAAUAAUAAAAAAAAUUAAAGUAAAUACGAGUACUAAAUGCAUAAACUAAUCACAAUUAAUAUUUAUUUAAAUUUUAUUUUGUAAAUAAAAUAAAUUAAAAACAAAAUUCUUUUAAGAUUAUUAAAUUAAUUAAAAACAAAUAACAUUUGAUAAAUAAAAGAGUAUUUUUUUUAAAAAAUGAAAUGGUAAAAGUAUGAAAAUUGAAAAGGUAGGAUUAUGGAGAAUUGAAAAAGUAAAAUUAUGGAGGGUUGAAGAGGGAUUGAGAAGGAAGAGAGAGAUGGAAGAUGAGUUAUGAUAAACCUAAAACAAGAGUUAUGAUAGCCCUUCCCCGAGUUGAGUUACCAUAACCCUAUCCCAAUAGUGAUAAUCCUUGUUCCAAACGGUCCUAAAAGUUGUUAUUUUAGAAUAUGCGUCUUUGUCCUCCAUUAAAAAAAAACUAUUGUUAUUUUUUAUAUUGGGUUUCAAAUCAGUUUUUUCUCCACUAGAACGCGCACAAACUCGUGAUAGCGGCGCGCCAUAGCGCCGUAUAUGGAAGCUUGAAAGAAAGUUCCCAGAAAAAAAGUUCACGGAAAUACUCAUCGCCAAGGAGAGAUUGAGCGCGAAGCAAAAUCUGGAAUAUAGGGGCAAAGAGUAAUUAUGCAUUACAAGAAACAACCCUGCAGAGAUUUUCAGCGUGGCACGUACGGUGUAUUUCCUUCAUAUUUUCGUCUAUUUAUUGCUUUUCCAUCGCUAUAUUCGACAAUUUCAGCCUAUUUUCCCCUUCCUCGAUUGUUUAUAGUUGCUCAUUUGUGCCAAGACUUUGAUACACCGUAUCUAUUUCAUUUACGAAUGUACUGAAGACUAAGACUGUUGAUAGUUUGAACCGGGCUGCAAUGAACUAAGUGGGUUACGUUCUUUCUGAGAUUUAGUGGAUUCUACCAGCGCUUAAAAUUUGAUCCAUUCAGGGAAGUAAGAUACUUUUAAGGGUUCCCAAGUUUUUUGAUUUGAUUAUAAAAUGUGAGAGUAAAUGGAAUUUUAGUUAAAGGUUCGUUGAAGCUACAUUUUUAUGUUGCAUGUUUAUUAUGCUUUUGCAGCACGUGCAAAUUUAAUGCACUAUGCAUAUAAAUCCGUUACUCUCUCUAGGAUAAUUCAUCCAUGUUCGUUGAUAUUUUUUUCGAUAAGAAACAUGUACAUUCAUAUAACAAAAGAGAACAACCUAAGGGCAAGGGACAAGAGGGCCCUCCCCAAAAGAAACUAAAAGACGAUGGCCUUCCAAUUGUUGAAUAUCAUAGAAAGGCUAUAAUUACAAUAGUGUUUGGUGUAAUUCGUACUCCACCAAGAAGCUGUGUGUUGCAACACAGUUCAAAAAGGAUCAAAAGAAUUAUAGCUAUCUUAAAAAAUUCUACUAUUCAUUUCUUUCCAAAUGCACCACAAAAGGGACUGGGUAGCACAUCUGCAUACGAUGUUCCCUGCUAUAACCUCUAAUAUUGAGCCUUUCAAUCAACCAAUCAUCAACCUUACUAGGAAGACAAAGCUCCAAAUAAAAAAUUCUAAACAAGGUGUUCCAAGCUCUCCCUGUAAAGAUAGAGUGCAAAAAUAAGUGGUCCAUGGUCUCCUUAUCUUUGAAACAAAGGCAACACAUCAAUGGGCUGAGCAUAGUGUACUUGAAAUUUUUUGGAGUUUCUCAUGAGUGUUAAGACUUCUAUAAGUGAGCGCCAUAAGAAAAAUUUCACAUUUUUUGGAAUUUUAAUCUUCCAUAUGUGCCGAAUCAAAGGAACAACAAUGGAAACUUUAUCCAUGUUCGUUGAUAUAGCUUAAGCUUUUUCGAUGCCUGGGGAUGUGCUGGUUGUUCAACAAUAGUGUUUAUAUUUUUUUCAUUUAAGAAUUGUUGGGAUGAGUUACUUCAAUCAUCUCCAAUGAUCACCUUUAACCUUCAACUUCAUGUAACUACCGCCUCCGGCGAUCAACUUUGACGAUCACCUUCGAUGACCUACAUUGAUAUCUCCAACGACUAAUGGUAAGUUCUCUCUCUCCCUUUCUCUCCUCCCUCUCUCCUCCUCCUCCUCCUUCCCUUUAACUUCAUUGCUGUUUAGCCUCUCCGGUAAACACUGCUAGACGUCGCCGAGUACUUUGGCUUCUCCCUUGCAACCAUUCUUAACUCACGAAGAUGGAAGUAAAAAGCUGCAAAAUUGACAAUUUUUUUUUCUGCAUCUGGUAUGAAGAAGAAGCUUUUCACAUUGAAGAUGUUGAAGCUAAAAUUACUAUGACUUUAUCAAUCUUUCAACUUAGAUGGUUCAUUGAUAUGGUGAAAGAUUUGAAUAAGAAAUCUGAAGAAGAGUAUUUCUAUAAGAAAGAAAAAAUUGAGUGUGGAAGGGUUGUAACUUCCAAAUUCAGAACCAAAAGUGGGUGGUUUCUGAGAUGCAUUUCAUGGCCUAGUACUGGAGGGAGAUCUUUUAUUCAUAUACCCACUGGUGAAGAUAAACAGGGGUGGAAAAGAUUUGGAAAAAUGUUGGAAGACUUCAAGGACAUUCUUGAAUACAAAAUCUGGUUCUCCUCCCAAACCAAGUUCAACACCAUUAUGAAGCAGCCGACUAAUAGUAUGAAAGGGAGCUUUACGGAGAAAGCAGAAUCAAAUGAGACUUCCAAGAACUCCUUCUCCGAUAUUGCAUCACAGAGUUCAAGCAAAUUUUUGGGUGAUUAAGAAUUCAAAAGUCUUCAAAGCAGAUUUUGAUAAUCUUUGGGUUGUUUCAAAACUUUUUGAAUUUGAUAGUUGGGUAAAAAUUAAUGAAGCAUUAGAACUCUUUUUCGAUUCAAAAGUUAUCAACCCUUUCUUUGCAAACAAUGCUUUAAUUGAAUUGGAACGUGGUCCUUUGAAGGAGUUCAUUGAAAGUCCAGGUAGAUGGCAAUGUUUUGGUGCCUUUCAUUUAAAGUUUGAAAAGUGGAAUAAUCUCAUCCAUGGAAGACCACUAUAUUCGAAAGGCUAUGGAGGGUGGAUUUCAAUAAAAAAUUUACCUCUUGAUUAUUGGUGUAAUAAAACUUUUGAAGUGAUUGUAGCUCAUUUUGGAGGAUUAGAAAAUAUUGCAGCUGAAACUAUCAACUUCCUUAACGUCUCAUAAGCCAAGAUUCAAGUGAAGGAGAAUAAGUGUGGUUUCAUCCAGCUACUAUUGAGAUUUCUGAUGAAAGAAGAGGAAACAUUUUUUUGAAUUUUGGGGAUAUUUCUGUUUUUAAUCCACCCAGCAGAGUACAAGGUAAUUUAUCUACUUAUGAAUUUUCUAAUCCAGUAGAUAUUGUCAGAAUAAAUCAAGUCAUGAAGGAUGAAGGUUUUGAGGAAGUUUCAUUUAGCUCCAAUUUUGAAUUGCUUCUUCCUGCGAAUUCCAUCCCAAGGACGCAAAGGAACCCUCAUAAGUUGUCUGAAAGGCUGCUCAAUCACCUUCAUCAGAGGUCGACAUCAACUCACUGGAAAUGCAAAGCAUCAUCAGAUUCCGGGAAGUCUCCUCCUCAUCCUCCGGCUAUUGGCAGUUCCGUUAGUAAUCAGAUGGCAGAAUUCAAAUGGAAGUCAGAGAAUUUCAAAAGUUGUUCAAAAUCAGAAUCACCAUUUAGGAGAGGCUUAGUUUUCCCGCCAAAGAAGACAUCUUUUAAUUGUAUUCCAUUUGAAAAGUCACUCGAAGGAUUCCAACAGUCACAUAUUUGCAGCACUAAAGAUAAUAUUAAUGUUGUUUCUAGAAACAAGAGUGCCAACAAGUCAUUAAUCACCACGAAGGCCAAUAAUAUUAGUGCCUCCAACGUCUACUAUUUUUGAAAAUUUUGCAUGCGAAAACGUUUCUGGUUUUAAUAACCCCAGUAUCCGAAAAGUCCUCUUUUGAAUCUCUAAAUGAAAGGAAUAAAGAAAAAGAGGCCCACUUAAAUAAAUCCUUGAGUUACAACGAUUUUUGCCCAAGCAUUUUAGAGGACAACUCAGUGGAUUUAUUGCAAAAAUCGUCGCAAUAUGUUUCAGAUUCAGAUUCUUCUUUUUCUGUUAAAACAGGGGGCCAUCUGUCCUCAGAAGUGGGUUUUUUCAACUGUUCCAAGGGUGCCAAAGGCAGCAAGUCCUCUCUUAUUCCAAAAAUUCUUAAACACUAUAUCCGCAAGCAAACCUCCUUCAACAACAUGUGGACUGCCCUGCUAAAAUCUAAAUUAAAUGGGGUUUGUGACCUUAAAAUUCCCCCUUUGGACUCUUUUCAGAAUAUCACCAUCAAGCAGUCAGUUUCUGUCAACAACCCAGAUCUCUUGGAAGUUUUAUAGCUCUAAAAUCCAAGUCCCUGAGCAUUUUUCCAAGUCAGUAAAUAGCUCUUCUCCUUCAAAGUGUCUCAACACUUCAAAAUCCUCCACCUCUAUUGCAAAGACAUCUUGUCAGCAAGGCUUCUCUUGUAAAGUUGACUUAAGUCCUAAAGUCCACCCCAAAAUUUUCUCUCCUAUCAGUGUUAGCAGUGAAGAAUCAGUUGAUCUUAGUGAAGUUGACCCUAUAUUGGAUGCAGAAUUCGAAGGGAGGGACUUAAUUGUUUUGUUUAAUGAGGAAGGUUUUCUCCCAAAUAAUUUUCCACCAGAUUUGCCUAAAGAGUUGAUGUCAAUAGUCAGUGAAUAUGGAAUUAUUCUGGCCUAAUUUAAAAGUGCAGCCAUCCCUAAAGAAAGUUUUGCUCGUGGUUCCUAUGGUAAAGUAUUGCUGGCUUUUCAUCGUAACAGCCAAGAAGUAUUUAGUUCAGAAGGUGAAAAUGUUAAUGUUUUGUGCAACUCAUCUUUAGAAGUCUUCAUUGCAAGAAACUAUGGUUGCUCUUCUAACAUUUCUCAAGCUUAUUCUAUGAGAUUAUCUGUUUCUUCAUGAAUCAAGUUAUGGUUGAAAGAGGUGCUGGAAUCUAUUAAAGUGGCUUGUGGGAGAAAUAUUUUGGUAUAUAUCUUUAGUACUUCUUCAUGCAUGGGGGAUGAGUUUUCAAUUGGAACAUCAAUUUGAAGAUUCAACAUGGUGUGUUAUGGCGUUGUAUUGGAUGUACAACCUUUUGCUGAUGCUGAUAUUAUGAAAGAUUUUUUUGUUCCUCUUCUGGUUUUGGUCUCCUUUGGCAAGUUAGCUUUGAGUUCACCGGUUGCUUCUUUUUGCUAGUCUCUUGAUCCAAAUGGUUUCCUUUUGAGAAAGUUAUUUUGUUAUGCUUUGUAUUUAUUUCUCUUCGUUUUGGUUUUGUUUUAUCUUCAUUUUUUCUGUUGGUUUUCGCCUUUUUAGCUUGUUCUUUGCGUUUGUUUUGUUUUAGUCGUUUUUUUCCUUGUAUUCGCCGAGGUCGUCUUUGGGCAGUUUGUUUGGUUGCUUGUCUUUACUUUUUGCUCUUUGUAUGAUUCUCUUGGACUUUGAGCUUUAGUCUCAUUUUCCUUUAUUAAUAAAGAAGCUUGUCUCCGUUUCAAAACAAAGAUAUCUCCAACAACUAACCAUCAAUUCAACCGUUUAUAUGCUAAAAAAAAACUUGGUCAGUGAAAGUAAUUUUAAAUACAAAAUUAAAAUAUUCGUUCAUGGUGUUUUGGGUGUUUAUUACUCGUUUUGUAUAGUAGUUUAUAGCCUUGUGGCUUUACUUUUGGUUUUACCCAAAAUGCCUCAUAUGAUUGAUGAUAGUUGUUAUCUCUUAUAUAUACUAUGAUCAUCUCUUUAUCUAGCUAAUAUGAGGCUUUGAUCAUAUUCUCAACAUCAACAUACAUGCAUAAUAAAUGCUAACUACAAUUUGAUAUAAAAUGUCAUAAAAGACCCUAACCCCUUGUUCACCUUUUCUUUUUGUUUUUUGUUUUUUAUUUUUGGUGUGUGUGUACAAUACACUCGUACAUUCCAGUUAUGUGAAAGUUUAUUAUAGUUUUGUUGUUUGAAUGAAACCAUAAUAUUUUGUCUACCUCAAGUACAAUGGUGAUAUGUGAUGGUUUUAGGUUAACAUCUCAACUAAGAGCUAAAACACUGAAAAAAUAUUUGCACAAUUGAAGGAUUAAAUGAAAAGUUAAGUAAGCAAAAAUAACCACAAGAAAAUCAUACCUUUUUAAAUUGCAAAAAGCUGCACUAUUUACCCCUAGCAUAAUGAUUCAACUAUGCACUAAACUCUAAACACAAACUUUCUAACUCCAUUGACAUAUUAAUUUCAGAUUGUAUAACUCAAACUCAACGACUCAAACAGCAUCUAAGAGAUUCUUGAAAUUGGUAGUUCGUUGAUGUAAUUACUAUAGUAAGAAAAAGAUUUAAAAGCUUGGUUAUAAUUAGUCUGUUACAAACCAUCAUGGGUUGGCCUGGUGGUGAAAAAGGAGACAUAAUCUCAAUAACUAACUAAGAUUUUUAGUCUUUUAAUUGACCGACUACCGGUUUUUUCCUUAAUAUGUUAAUAAUUGACCGACGGAGUUGAGCCUAUAUAUAAAGCUCCUUCUUUCUUUCGUAUGGAUAUAAUAAAACAGGGUUUUUUCUUUAAGAUGAGUCUUCAAGAUUUUGGUUUACAUCAUUAGAUCAAGUAUCACGUCAGUUAUUUAAUUGAAAUUCUUAGUAUUAGGAACACAUUGCAUCAUCAUUGUCUAAAAGCUGAUGUAGAAUUCAAUAGUUAGCCCUUAGGUCAGUAAUCCCGUCUCAGGUGGAAAAAUACUUAUUCGUCGAAGUUUUUUCUUUGUAAGUUAUAUUUUCUUAUGUUAAUAAAUUAACUGCAAUUUUCAUAAAGAACCAUUUCCUUAUGGGCUUUACAUGUGAAACCCUUUUGUUGGAUCGUGAUGGAAUCAUGUUGUUAGUUCUUUAAUUGAAGAAGAAACAUCUUCUUGUAUACUAUCAAGCUUUGGCAAUUAUAAUAUGAGACCUAGAUGGCCUAGCUAAACGAAGAGAUUUAAAUUAUCCAUUAGAUUAGAAGAACUUUUUAAAUGACUUGUCAUUAGGGUCACUUUUUUUUUUUCUUCCCUUUCUUGGCUCAUUCUUUCUUCUCUUGUUUCACGCCCCCAAUUAAAUCAUAUUGUGUUUUAUGAUUUAUCCAAGUUGAGUUACUGGUGCCACUUAUUUAUAUCUAUGUGCUGCUUUAUACUUACUACCUAAUCUUUUAUAUUUCAGUUGUCAGUAUGGUGAAAGGUGCAAAUUUCUCCACGCCACUCAGCAAGCACAACAACAAAAACCUAAUCCCUUUGGAUUUGGAGUUCCUAACAACGGUCAAUCUAAAGCGGUUGCUGAUUUUGGAUCCAAACAAAACCAAUAUAAGGUCUUCUUAUUUUUGCGACCUUACGAUAACAGAUGAUUGAAGUUAUGACUAGCAACUUUACUUUUUUAAUUAUACACGUACAAGAAUGUCUAUAUAAGGAGUUGGAGUUCAUUUAUAUAUCAUUAGAUCACAUGAAAGAAUGCCACUACCACUGUAUACACAACACAAGACCCAUUUAAAGACUUAGUUAUGUUGGAUGUGGACCUAUAUUAGCAUAAGUAGCACGAACAAAGAUACGGGACUUGGAUAUGACACAACACAAAUAUGUCAAUAUGGGGCAUGCAUACGAGGCAACACAAAUAUGACAAUACAACAAUUUAUAAAAAAGUAGGAGUUGGACACAAAUAUGUUGAGGAUGCAUCAUUUUAUAAAAUAUAUGUAUAUCUAUUGAUAGAUUUACUACUUUUGUUAUAUCAUAAAUUAAGGGUCUGUUUGGAUUGAAUUAAGAACAAAAUAUUUUUCAAUAAUACAUUUCCUUUUAAACACUUUUUUGGAAAUGAGUUUAAAAUUUAAACACUUAAUGUUUGGUCAGACUUUUUUAUAAGUGUUUAUAUGUGAAUUUGAUUUUUAAAGAUUUCUCCAAAAUAUAUUAUUUUAUAAAUGAAUUUUUUAAAAAUGCAUUGUUUUAAUUUGCCAAACACUACCAUUUUUUUCAAAAUAGUUUUUUGACAAAAUUAAACACUUUAGAAUCUCAACCAAACACACUCUAAGCUGAUAGGCUAUAGUAAAUUAAAUUAUUUCAAACAAUUUUUUUUCUUGAAUAGGAAAUUAAGCCUUUCAUUAAUAAAAUAAGAAGAGACUAAUGCUCAUAAUACAAGGAAACGAAAUUGAAAUACCAAAAUACCAAAACAAAUACACAGAAAAGAGAAGGGUGCAAGAGAAAAAAAACUAAUCCAGAUGAAACAGGAAGAGGCUUGAACGUGAGCUGAAACAAAAUGUGCAAUCCAAGGAAAAGGUUUAUAUCAAAAUCAAUAUUAAUUAAAAGGAAAUAAAAUACGAAGGGUUUGAACAUAAAACCUUUUGCCUUGAUACUAUUUUAAAUCACCAAUCAUCCUAAAGACUUUCAAUUGAUAGGUUAUAGUAAAGUUAAUUAUAUCCAUACUUGAAAGAACUUGAAAAUAGAAAACAUAUGUAAAUGCAAGAGAAAAAAUGUGCUUGUAGUAGUGGACAAUGAAGGGGUUGUUUUUAUGAGUGAGAGGGAUUGGGGAAGUGGUUAUUUCCUGUUUUUUUCAAGCUUGAUGGUGUUGAGGUUACUCCGGAACCCUUCAUUCAAGGUUUUGACUGGAGUUCCAUUUACAAAAGGGAUAGCAAGAUUUGGUUCGUUUUCUUUGGAAGAAAUCAGAAAUGCUGUCUUUGGUUACGAUAGAAGUAAGUCUCCUGGUUUAGAUGGUUUCUUGAUGGCCUUCUUUCAAGAUAGUUGUGAUCUCCUUAAGGGGGAGCUGAAAAACUUUUUAAGGAAUUUUCUAAGAGGGUCAUUUUGACCCUUUCUAUUUUUGAAAUCUUUGUUUGUCUUAUCCUAAUGAAGGAUAAGAUCAACAAGGUGGGCUGUUUUUAUUUGGAUAUGAUGAGAACGCUAAGCGGGUGUCAAACUAGUUGAGAUGUCCGGGUGUGUCUAUUGAUCCUAUGGUCUCUUUUUGUUUUGCUCUUUGUAUAAACCUUUUGUACUUUGAGCUUUAUUAUUAUCUUAAAGAGGUCGGUUUAUUUUCUAGAAAAAAAUAAGAUCAACAAGGUUAAGGACCACAGGUUUAUUAGUCUCAUUAUCAGUGUCUAUAAAAUUUUAGCUAAGGUUAUUGGGUUGAAAAAAGUCCUUACAAUGAUUUCUGAGAUGCAAAGUGCUUUUAUUGCGAAUAGGCAAAAUUUAACCAUAUAAGCCGAGGCUUCUUUGGUAGAGACGGACCCUCCAGAAGUUGAAACACCGAGGAGCUAAGGGAACCUUUGAAGACCCAAGCAAUAUCAAAGAUGGAGAAGAGACCGUUCCAGCAAAAGGAAGUAAAGGGACAAAGCAGAAAGAGGGGGAGUAACGACUCGUUGGCCUUCAAACAAAGAGGGCAAACUAAAGGCAGGAGGCACCUAUUGGGGGACUUCUUUUAGAGAAUAUUUGUACAAUGAAGAGACUCGAAAAGCAUGAUCCAAGCAGAAUAUUAACUCUCCAUGGGCUGUUUGACUUCCAUAAGGCUUUGAAUAAUCUUUUAUCCAUUGGGGAGGUAGAAAUAAGGUGGGACGAGAGAGAUUUGACAGUGGAACUACCAUGCUGGCCAAUUGACCAAACUUUAUAGUCCUCAGAAACGUUCACUUUUUCAGACGAGAGGAAAGCUAAUAAGGAGCUGAAUUCUGCAAUUUCCUCUUCUUUCAAGCUUCUUCUAAAUGAAAGGGACCAAGAUAGGGUAGUGGUUCCACCGACCUCCACACUCUAGAGAUACUAACCCAAGGACUCCUUAGGCUAUUUCCAGACUUUCCCGAAGUAAACCAGUCGAAAGCCUCUUUGCCGUGGAUGCUACUAAUAAUUUUCCUCCAAAAGGCUGUUUCUUCCUUUGAAUGUCUCCAUCCCCACUUAGCAAGCAAAGCUGAAUUGUGAAUUUUAAUGCCCCUAAGCCAAGGCCCCCAUCCUUUAACGGAAGGGAAACCAAACUCCAUUUCACAAGAUGAUUGAGCUUGCCACCAAUGAAGCCUUUCUGAAAGAAGUUCCUCAUAAUUUUUUCCCAAGAAAUUGCCACAUUCCCAGGGAUAAAGAACAAAGAUAGAUAGUAUGUAGGUAGGCUAGCCAAAACAACAUUGCAUAAGGUGUGUCUACCUUCUCUAGAGAUGUUAAAAUGCUUCCAUCUAUCUAAUUUCUUGUGAACUCUAUCUAUGACUGGUUGCCAAAACUCCUUUCGCCUUGGGUAGCCUCCUAAGGGAAGACCUAAGUAUAAGAUGGGUAGUUUUUCUGCCUUGCAACCAAGCUGGGCUGCCUUUUGGAACAAGGCGUCCUCACUCACAUUUACACCACUAAGAGCUAAUUUUUUCCAAUUAACUUUCUGCCCCGAACACCAUUCAAAGAGCCUAAUGGCUUCCUUUAGCUUGAGAAGCAUCCGUUCAUCAUAUUUGCAGAAUAGGAAUGAGAACCAUCCUUGCUUUGAAUCUCCUGAGAAAAUAUAGAUAAAAGAUUGGACUUCGUAGACAUUUCGAGCUACACACCUCAUAAACCAACCUGAUGGGGUUUGGAAUUUAGUUAGCCUUGUUGUUUCAUGUCUUUCCUUACCGUUUUUUAUGAAAGACUUCCAUUCUGGUUCUUUGACUAGAGUCAUAAGUGCAUACAUAAACCAUUCAAGUUGGAACUUGAAUAAACAAAUAAUUUUCUGGAAAUCAACGUCUUUGAUGUGGAAGUGCCCCUUUUCAUACCAUAUGCAGUAAUAGGAAUCAACGAUUUCUGAAAUUGCUGAUCUUGAUGGAGAUUUGAGGAGUGUCCGGAGCCAGGGGAAGGGGGAGAGAGGAGAGAGGAGAGAGAAAAGAGAGAACUUACCUUCCCAUACUGUCCCAAAUGAACCAGCUUCUAAUAAUGAGGGGAAGUGAUUGAAGAACAACUUUACUUGCCUCAAGGCUCUUGUGUUGUCAAAUAUUUCAUCCCGAUCUUUUGGAUUAAGAAUCUAUCAAUGAGAGAUCUUGAAUUUGUGUUCCCAUCUCUGACCCAUGAAAACCUUCCAUUGGCUAAAGGACUCUCCAGCAAGCUACUUUCUUCUAUAAACUGUUAAAUCUUCUCAUUUCUCUAGUCAUUCUACCCAGUGGAAAUCUGUCAUAUGGCCUUCUUGUCAUGUUAAAAUCACCUCUAAGGCACCAAGGCUGCAUAAUGUACUCUGCUAACGAGAUAAACUCCGGCCAAAUAUGCCCUCUCUCUCAUUAUAUUAUUUUGGUACAAAUCAUCCAAUUUACCUUGAUUUAAUUUAACAAACGCAUUUUCUGCAAACAAAGAGAAACUGUCGUGCCAUCCCUCUCAAGGAUCAAUUUUUCAAGCUUUUUAGAAUUGCUUUAUUGCCCAACGACUCGUUUGCAGCACAUUGGGAUAUUGAAACUUUAUCUUAGUCCUUAUCUUUUAGAAGAUGUUUGAAAGAAGAUGAAAUUGCAGAAUUUCAAUCCUUAUUAUACCUCCUCUCGUCUGAAAAAGUGAAAGAUUUUGAAGAAUAUAGACAUUGGUCCAUUGACCAUCAAGGCCGUUACACUGUUAAGUCUCUUUCGGUUCACCUACAAACUGCCUCCUCAAUGGACAAACAUUUAUUUAAAGCUUUGUGUAAAUCAAGAGCCCUUAGAGAAUUAAUAUUCUGAUUUCUGAUCUGGAUUAUGGUAUUUGGGGCCCUUAACUGUUCAGAAAUCUUGCCAAGGAAAUCCCCUAGUAAGUGCUUCUUCCUUCAGUCUCUCCUCUUUGUAUGAAGGCUAAUGAGGACCUUCUUCAUCUCUUUAUGAUCUGUCCCUUUUCAUCCUUCUGUUGGAGUAAUGUUUUCUCUAUCUUUAAAAUUGAUUGGGUUUUUGAUGGGUCCCUAAGCUCAAAUGUGCUUCAGCUUUUGACGGGUCCGUUUAUAUCUAAGAAACCAAUUUUAAUAUGGGUAAACAUGUCCAAAGCUCUCCUCGCAAAAGUUUGGUUCGAGCAUAACCAAUGGAUUUUUCAAUAUAAAGCUAGACCAAGGUUAGGAAUUGUUUGCUCUGCAGAACGCAAUGCAGCAGCAUGGUGCGCUUUAAAUAAGGAGUUUGAGAAUUACUCCAUUCAAGACAUUUGCCUCAAUUGUGACGUUUUUCUGUCUCAACCAGUUUUAUAGUUGGUGAUUUCGACUGCAGAAUACUAAGUUUUGAAAGUUUCUUACAGCAGGCCUCUUUUUGAGUUCCGAGCUUUGUAGUCUUGGUGGAUUGCUUCAUUUUCUCCUUACUUUAGCCAUAGUAUUUUCAUGUUUUGGCCUUCACAGGAGCUUUUUUGAAAUUGAGACAAACUAUUUUAUAAAUAAUAACAACUCAAAGUACAAUAGAGUUGUACAAUGAGCGUAAUAAAGAAGCCUAGAGAGCAAUAAGUGAGGGGAUCAGAAGGUGCACUCGAACAUCUCAACCCUAAGCACCAAAACAACAUAUCCCAAUUGAAGCUAGAAAACAAAACAUGCCAAAAUACAAUGGAGACAUAGUCCAGCCUAUUGCAGAGAGCUGAAACAGAGAAAUAAAGAAAAUAAAGAAAGGGAAAUGGGCAAAUACAGCAGUACAAAGGCUGAGCCUAUAGACAACUUAUUCUCUGGUUUGUAUUGCUGCCUUAUUUUUGAUAGUUUCAUUUGUCUCGGCCCUAUUGUAUUAAGCUGGACAUUGAUUAUUUUUAAUUUGGUUUUGUUUCAUUUCUUUGGGAUAUGAUGUUUGACAAUAAGGGGGUGUCAACCUAGUUAAGAUGUCCGGGUGCGCUUCCUGAUCCCCAGGCUCCCUCUUAUAGGCUUCUUUAUUACUCUCAUUGUAUAGUUCUCUUGUACUCUGAGUUUUAUUAUUAAUAAAGAAGUUUGUCUCAAUUUCAGAAAAAAAAAAAAACAUUUGGAAGAAGUCUUCAAGUGAUUUGGUGAUCUCCAUCCAAACACUGGACACAAACAGCUUUGAUACAAUUCAUAGAUUGCUGAAAUCUUCCUUAAAAACGCCAAAAUUCUUUUGUAUCUAGUAGGCAGUAUUGCUCUGUUUUUCCUUUGCUAGAUUAGGGGGCUGCACUUGAGACCUUUUCUUUACAUCCCUGUAACAGGGGACUGCGCUUGAGGCUUUUCCAACACUUUAAUUGUGGUCUGUGUUUUCGUUGAUGAAGCAGAGGAUGGGGAGCUUUGAUUUUCUUUUACUAUAUUCUCAAAGAUCAAGUUGUGUCUCAAUGAAGGAGAAGAACGCUCGGGGCAGACUGUGUUGAAAAUUUGAAGCUUUUAAAAUCAGUUGCCUCAAUGGUUAUCUAACGAGUGUAACAUCUUUGUUUAAAAAACAUUAAGCAAUUGAAGGAGAGAAUGCCAGCCUUGCUAAGAAGUAAGCACAGGAACAUGAAUAUAUUGUCGACUCCUAGUGACCAACCAAACGAAACAUCUCAGAACCCAACCAAAGGUAGCUCUGAAUUUUGAUAUUCUUGUCAUUCCCAAGAGAAGAGAGAAGACAGAAGAUAGGAGAGAGGAGAGAGGAGAAAGAAGAGAGAACUUACCUUUUAGACAGAGAAGUUUGCAAUCUUGAGAGUACAAACCAAUGAUCUAAUUAUGAGGUUUACUACAAUUAUUACAUUCAUUGUUGUUAUUUGCUUGGCCUUGUUUUUUUUUUAUUUCUUCAUAAUUAGUUCUAUUUUGGCACCUUCUGUUUGGUUGUCUUUUUUCUUCCUAUGUUCUUUCAUGUUUCCCAGUUGAAUUUGGGAGUUUUUAUAUAUUAUGAAUCAAAUAUAGACAAAAGACCAACUACCAGUGAAGAAAAAUUCUUACAAAUAUGAAAUUAACAAUAUACACGUAAUAAAUAUCUAAUAUUUCAAAAUUAUAAAGGAAAUCCAGCAUUUCCAAUAAUUUUGUUUCUCAUAAAAGAAAAAGUUUACGCUGCAACCAUUACCAAUAAUUUUUUUAACCACGCCAUGACCCAACAAGAACUACUAACUAAAUCUCCUAUGGAGAUACCUUUCGAAAUUGCUCCUUUUUUUGUGGCCUUGGAAGAUAAUUAUUCUCUAGCUUUCUUGUUUUAUGUUUUUUCUUAAUUUUUCCUGGACUAACAAUCAUAAUUUUAACUUGCUACUCCUUUUCCAAUAGCCAUUUGAAAACAAGUGGACUCGUCCUUCCACCCCUACGGGAAAUGCUCAGUCUCGAAAACCAGACAAUCAUCUCCCGUCCUCUAAUCACAAGUGUGUAUCCAAUCCUUUUCAUCAGAUUAUGUUUUCCUCUUUUUGCUGCUGUUAGUCAUAAAUGUGGAAAUGCAAAUUUGUUAUAUGAAGAUGCACAGAUGGAGAGUCUUGCAAGCGUCAAAUCGCUGAAGAUUUUCAAAAUGAGAGGCCAUUAUGGAAAUUAACUUGUUACGGCCACAAUAAAAAGUAUGUUAACUCUGUGGACUCUUGUCAUUAUGCUAAAAUUUUAUUCUAUUUCCUGCUGUUCUGAACAAUUAUUAUUAUUAUUUUUGCAUCAGUGAAUCUUGCUAGAUGUUCAGUUAUUUUUUGUGGAAAACAGGAACUUAGAAUUCACGUUUGGUGACAUUUAUUCGACAACUUAAAGAGUUUGUUUUGUUCUUUGAACGCAAGUUGCGCCUGGAGGCCUUCUGGCUGAGGGCACAUUUGCUUGGCGUCAAUCAUCACUACAAAAAAAAGAAAGAAAAAUAGUUGCUUUUGUGGGAGCGUUCAAAUAUAGGUGUUUUUGUGGAAACUAAGAAAGCGACGUAGAAGCACUCUUUUAUUAGGACCCCAUGGGGUGAAAGAAAUGUUCAAUGGGUGGGUUUGGAGUUAAAGUGAGGCAUCCGUGGUAAUGAAACUCCUUGGUUUACUAGAUUUGAAGCAGCUCGAUUGAACGCAUCCCUUUGGUCCUCUCUCUUCAAGGCUUUUGCUGAUUAUGCAAGUCAAGAUAUUAGUUUAAACUGAAGUGCUCUCAUCUCCACGAAUUAAACUGUUGACAGCAAUGGUGGAAAAGAUGGCUCUCUUCCUCUACUACACUUCAUAGUCUUGUUUGUUAUAUUUGAAUGUUCUUUGAUAAAAUUGUAAUUGUUUAAGUCUUUAUUAUGUAAUUUGUAAGUCUCUUUUUGGAGGUGAUGAUGGUGCUAAGGAGUGUUAAUCUAGUUGAGAUGCCCGGAUGUACCUUUUGAUCUGUAGUUUUGUGCUUGUUGUUUUCAUUUACUUUGAGCAUUAGUCUCAUAACAUUGUCUUAAUGAAGAGGCUUGAUUCUUGUUAAAAAAAGUGAGGCAUCCGGAGGUAUUUCGAUCCUCAAGGGAUGGGAGUUUACUUAAAGUUUUAUAUGUUGUAAAAGUGGCGUUUUCUUUGUUAAUUGGAAUUAAGGAGGGGUUUUAUUUUAUUAUUUUUUCCACUUUCUGUUUUCUUUUUUUGUAUCCGUGUAUGUCUGUGCCAAGUUACACGCCGCUUGACUUAUCUCACGAAGCAACCCUGCUACUUGGGAGUUGGGACUCCAACAAUACAAAAAAAAGAAAAAAAAUGAAAACCACAUUCUUUCAUUAAGAAAAAAAUUGAAAAAAUACACAGGAGAAUUAUUAAUAAGUGGCCUGUCUUCUUUUCAAAAUGAAAAAGGCCACAAAAAGGGAGCUCUCUCUAUAAGAAGGGACUCCAACGAUAAGAGAUAACACCUAUCGAUUAGUUGCAAAAGAUCUUCAAUAUCGUUGCCCACAAAGAACAUAGUACUGAACAAGGGACCAAAUAUGCUUAGGAUCCCUUUCAACUCUACUAAACAUCCUACUAUUUCGCUCGGGAUUGCACUCACCCCGGAAUGCCUCUACCUAGUGCUCUCUUUCCAAGCUCUUUGGAAAAUUUUCCAUCCAAGAUAUUUAUUUGUGUUGGAUUUCCUUAUAUCUUUUGUAAUAUUCAUUAUGUAUUAUGUAUACAUUUAUUAUUUAAAUUUUUAAUAUUUCUUUCCUUGUUUGUUGGUGGUCUUUCUUCUAUAUAAGAAUAAGGUCUAGUAGCUGUCCUUAGAAGUAGGAAUACAAUAAUAUUCCUUUCUUCCCCUUUGCAACGAUCUGUGCUUGAUUGACACAUUUGCUUUGGGUUGAGAGGAGUGCUAAAAUCUAGCAUGCUGCAUAUAGUUUUCUUUUAUUAUAAUUAUACAUUCUACCGCCUGUCUUUUCCAUUGAUCCUCUAAUUUUUUUUUGAAACGGAGACAAAAACUUGUAUAUUUAUAAGAACUCUAAGUACAAGAGAUUUAUACGAAGAGAGCAAUAAAGAAGAAUUAGAAAGGGGAAACCUAAUUUAAAAUAGAAUAGUAUUCUUCGAAUAUUGAGUACUGGAUCAUCCCAUAUCCAUGUUUUACACCUUUGGUGUGCUACUUUAUCUGAUUUCAUACCAGUGGACCUUUUUUAUUUGCAGUGAACCUUGUGACAUUGUUGGUGAUGUUAGUUAUGAAGAACUACGAACAAUUGCUUAUGAUGAAGCCAAACGAGGAAUAAGUUUGCAAUCAAUUGUAAGGAAACAAGUCGACUGCUUUUGACUUCCUAAAACUGCAUAAUCUUCCUUGUUUUACAUUUUGGUUGAGCAUAAUGUUCCUUGUUUUACAUUUUGGUUGAGCAUAUUGUUCCUUGUUUUGCAUUUUGGUUGAGCUUAUUGUUCCUUGUUUUACAUUUUGGUUGAGCAUGUUGUUCCUUGUUUUAUAUUUUGGUUGAGCAUAUUGUAUGUUGUUCCUUGUUUUACAUUUUGGUUGAGCUUUCAUAGGUGAUUACAUUUUCCAAAUGAAUUUCCAUCUGGAAAAAAAAAUAAAGUUUUGUUUCCCAAGGUUUGAAUUAAGUUGCACUUGGGUCUUCUCUAAUAUUGGCAUUUUAACCUUGUGAGGUUUUGAAUAAUUUCAUUUUGUUCCUACUGUUAGCACUUCUAAUGUUUUAAAAAUUCCUACAGAGUGCGUACCUAUGCUCAAAGCACAAGUCUGACUCCUCACCUUGGAAAGGUGUGACUUACAAAAUAAGGGCGUGCCUCAAGGUGCACACCUUUUGUGAAGCCCUAAGGCUCAAAGCGUGGGGCCUUUGGGAUUUUAGGUACUUCUAAGUUCUUCAGCUCGACAACUUCUUCCUUUACUUCUACUACAACUCCUUCUGGGCCUUCUUCUUCAUUAAGGAUAAAUAACAUUAGUUCCCUUUUUCUUUUACCUUACAACGAUGCCUGUGGGAGUAUUUCUCAUUACAUCUAAAGCAAAGCCCCUUAUCCAAACGAGCUCUAAACUCUGCAUUUGAUAGUCUCUUCACUGGCGGCUCUCCCUUAGGGUAAUUCCCUUUGAUGAGAAUAGCGAUUUAUUUCAUGUGAAACUCAUUCUUCCUUUGAUUCCCUUUAUCACUUCCCCCCUAAGUUGAGGUCCCACCCCUUCGGGUUCAGGAAUUCCCAAUUCUACCCGUGCAAAUUGCAGCGCCAAGUUUCUAUCAUUAUCCAAUUGAGCUUCUCUCAUGCAAGCGAAUGUUUGAGGAUAUCUAUUGACCAGUUCUACUUGUAAGGUUGGUUCUAAUCCAGUCACAAAAGGCAUCCAUGAGCACACUUUGCCAUAUCAGGUAAAGAAGCCAAAUAAUUCACAAAUUUCUUCACAUAAUCAUUAUAAGAUCCUUCUUGCUUAAUGUGGAUCAAUCUAGCCCCUAAGCUUCUCUGUCCAGUAUUACAGAAAUGCUCAAACAUUCUCUCUUUCAGAUCUUCCCAAGAUUUUACUUUCUUUCAGUUGUUACUCCAUCUAUACCAAUCGACUUCAUCUUGGCCGAAACUCAAAACUUCUACCUUAACCUUCUCGGAUUCUAGUAGAUCAUUAAUCUAAAAAAAAAUGUUUAGCCCUGUACACCCAGAACUCCAUCUAUACCAAUAGACUUUUUAUCUUGGCUGAAACUCACAACUGCUACCUUAACCUUCUCAGAUUCUGGUAGAUCAUUAAUCUUAAAAAAAAAGGUUUAGCCCUGUACACCCAAGACUCUAGGUUUUAUCCCACAAACAUAGGCAUCUCAAGCUUCUUAUACUUGCUUCUGUCCACUGUUACUGUUCCAUUGUCUAUCACUAUCUCUAGAUCUCCCAUUUUUCCCUUCAGUUUCAAUACUGACUCAUCAGAUGUGCACAAUUCGUCCUUGCGUCUAUAGGUGUUGCUUUCUCUCAUGUCUUCGGUCAUUCUGUCGACAGCCUUCUUAAGUUCAAGCAUCAUCUCUUUCAGGUCGAGAACUUCCUUUUUCGUCCCUUCUAAUCUCUCUUCCAUCUGUUUAUGAGCCAUCAAGCGCAUCAUCACCCCUAGAUUUUUGAGCUCUGAUACCAAUUUGUUAGGAUUCUAUGAUACCAACAAGCUAGUGCUUUAUCAGCAACUAAGACAAAUAAUCUAGUGCUUCAUAAAAUAGGAAUCAGACAUAUUACCUCAAAUUCAGCUUUGGGUCCAAUAAUAAAAUUUUUGUCAAUUAUCCUCUGGUCACCAAGUGCUAGGUAGUACUUAAUACCCGAUUGUCGCACUUUAAUUCAGUCAUUUAUACGUGCUUCUUCACUCUGGCCACCAUCUUGAGGGGGCAUGUUGAGAUGUUGAAAGUCGAGACUCACACCUUAUAAAUAUAGAUGGGAUACUCUUCUCAUAGUCAAUUGGAUUUGGUAUGGAACCCCAUACUACCAACCAGAACCCACAAAGGUUUCUUUGACCUGAAUUUUGGCUUCUAAUACAUUUAGAAAUUUUAAAGUUUCCAUGGAGAUAUCUACCAAACCCUCGAAAUAAGCCCUAAUAAAUUCAAAUGUAUGAUUAUUUCAGUAGUUUAAAGGGAGGUUCUUAAUCGAAAUCCAUGGCGACUCAUACCUUAUAAAGAUAGAUGGGCUACUCCUCUCAUAGUCAAUUGGUUUUGAGAUGGAACUCCAUACUAUCAAACAGAACCCACAAAGGUUUUCUUUGACUUAAAUUUGGGCUUCUAAUACAUUUAGAAAUUUUAAAGUUUCCAUGGAGAUAGCUACCAAACCCCCAAAAUAAUCCCUAAUAACUUAAAAUGUAUUAUUAUUUCAGUAGUUUAAAGGGAGGUUAUUAAUCGAAAUCCAUCCACCAUAUCCCUUUGCAUACAGAGGUCUGCUAUGUGUUAGCAUAUCCCACUUUUCAAGCUUUAGAUGAAAGGCGCCAAAUUUCUGUCAUUUCUCAAUUAGAGCAUUCUCUGCAAACAAUGGAUUAGUGAUAACUCUCGAUUGCAAGUAUGUUUGCAACGUUUCUUUAGUCUCUACCCAACGCUUGAACUCAGACGAGUGACAACCCUUAAAGUAUUAAAGUCUGUUCUGACGACUUUUGAAUUCUUGAUAAUCCAAUGAUGAUGAAUGCUCUGUUUUGUCUGAAUCCAAAGCAGAGGAUUCCUUUUCCGGCUGGACCUUGUCCACAUAGCUAUCCAUCUUCUCUUCUUGCGGUCUGUUUGUAUCUUCAGAAAGACACUUUUUCAGCUUGCUUUGUUAUGAAUACCACAUUAUGUAAUCAUGCUUUGAUUUGAACCUCUUCAACAUAUUCUUCCUUCUCUUCUUCGGCUAGAUCAGGGAAGAGAGCAAAGGCUAAUAGGCAUUAAAAUUCAAAGCCUUUCCUAAACCUCUUUAAACCAUUCCCAAAACACUUUGUUAGAAGAAAGGCAAAGUUGAUUUCAGAUCAAAAUCCUGAUUUUUUAGAGACAAAUUGUGCCCAUCUUCAAGCCCAUUCUAUUUCAAAUACGAGCACGUUCCAUCAACAUUUUAAAUACUUUGUUUUUUCUUUACCUAAUUCAAAGGUAAAGUUCUUGUGAGGUUCUCCUAGCCAAACUCUGGUCCGCUCAUAAAAAAAAGAAGCUUGUUUCAAAAUUUUAAUCUCCUUUUAGUGUGAGGAUUGAGGAAGAUGAUCAUUUGAUAAGAUUGGAUGAGAACGAAGAUCAAUUGUUGACAGACCCUUUAGAAACUGAUCUGAAUUCUUUGUUUCAGACUGAGGAAGAUUUAAUUUUUGAGAAACAGGCCUCUAGAAUUCCCUUACAAGCUCAUCAAGGUGGUGUUCCAGUCAUUUGAAGUCCUUUGUUAAGGAAUGUGGGAUAGUUUUGGCUUGAGCACUGAAAGUAAACAUGUUUUCUGGUUCUUCAGACAUUUAAUCUUAAAAAUUGUAUGGGAAUCUAGUGAUUCUUAGGGCGUAUUGGAAGGAUUGUUGAAGCAAGAUAAUGGUUUUCAUAAAGUGAGAUUUCACGUUUGGCCUUUAUCCUAUGUAUUUCUUUCUUUCUUCCUUUCAGAAUUCUGUUCAACGAAUUGGAGCUUUGAUGGGCUUUUUCAGUAGUACACGUGCAGUUUUUAUUGGUGAGAUUAAAGAUUUAAGCAAGUCUUCCAGGGCAAAGGAUGGUAUUUUUAAAUCAAGCUUGAAGCAGCACGGCUGGUUGCCUUUUCUUGGUGUUUUCCUUUUUAUUCAUUCUUUAAGCAAUUUGUGAUCAAGAUUUUAGCUGAUUUGGGGCUUCUUGUUGAAAGAUUGUUCAUUUUUCUUUGUAUUUUGUUCUUUUUGUUUUGCUCUGGUUUUAGAGGGUCUUGUCCAGCUUGUAAUUUUAUUAUGUUCUUUAAUGUCUCGGUUUUUGCUAUAUCUGCUCUUUUAGUUCUUUUUGCUCUUGGUAUAUUUCUCUUAUACUGUGAGCUAUAUUUCUCUUACACUUCGAGCUAAGAGGCUCGUUUCCAUUUCAAAAAAUAAACAAUAAAAAAUAAUGUGGUAACAGUUACAUAUUUCAUUAACUAUUUUUUUUGUUCAGGUUGAAAGAGAGAGAAAUUUACUUAAUUCUAAGUUAGCCGAGUUUGAGGGCCUUCUUCUUAAGCCAUAUGUAACACCAUCAAAUCGUGCUCCUGGCAACCAAAGCUCAUUUUCAGGAACUAAUUCUCCUUCAAUUCUACCAAGUGCUCAAAAUAACACUCCUUCGUUGUCAAGUUUUAGCCAGUUGGGUGCAUCACUUAAUACAGGAUUUGGUGCUAGGUAAGAAGACUAAUAGCCUGAUUUUAUUGUUUAUCUAUGUGAUUGUAUGCAGUUUACGAAAUUGUUUUGAUGCUAUGCUGUUUGUAUAACUCUCUGGAGCUUACAUUUUGAGAAUUUAUUUCACAGGCCCUCUAAUCCACAUAAUACUGUAUUUGGUCAGCAAGUUCAAUUUUCAAGCCCCGUGCAAAACUCGAGUGGAUUUGGAAUGACCAAUUUUCCAUCAACAAGUGUGGUUGCAGUUGGAGGUGCGUUCUUGAGUUAUUAUAUAAGUGUAUGUCAAAAUAAUAUAUUCCUUGUAUAUUUUACAAGAGAGGUUUUCUUAAAGAGAAGAAACCACCUAUUACAAAGAAGAAAAAAUAAAUGUUGCAAAUAUAAUCCAACCAAUACAAUAAAAUAUAAUACAAGAAAGGAAAUAAUCAACUCCCUCUCAAGUUGGUUUGAAGAUAUCAGUCAUUGCCAGCUUGUCAAUCAAUUUGUUGAAUUGCCACUUUGGAUAACCUUUAGUUAACACAUGCAAUUUGAUCUGUUGUUGGAAGGUAGGUGUUAGACCACCCAUAAUACACCAGUACAGUAGGAGAAAGAAUAAUAAAGAAAAGAAGAGGGAGAAUGAAUUAGUUAAGAAUGUAACUGCAUAGGGGACCACAAUGAGUAGGAAGGAAACAUAAAUAGAAAGUGGAAGAGAGAGAGAGGUAGCUUUUUGGUGUGAGUAAUUUCUGUAUAUUCUUGAAAGAGAGAGUAAUAUAGUGGGAGGAGAGAGUUCAUUGAAUUGGAUAUCUUAUUCAAUUCGAUCUUUAUAUUGUAAUUUCCUUUACUAUAAAUAAAGUGAGAUUUCAUAUUCUAUACUACUGUGUUGGAGAAUUUGUGUUCCAACAUAUUGGUAUCAGAGCACGACGAAUCUGGAAGAAGACUGAUCAUGGUUCAGACGAGAAUCGAAGAGAGGUUGGAAGCACGCGUACAGUAACUUAGCAAGAUACCAACGAUGGAAGGUCUUCAGGCUCAAGUAGAGAAAACUCACCAGAUGGUGAUGAUAUUCAUGGAAUCAAUUGAAAAAGAACGAGCACUAGCAAGCGGUAAGAUAGUCGAAUCAUUUGUUUGGGAAACAUCAACGAUGAAACCUAUAGAGGGGGAGGGGGAGGGUUCGGCGAGCAAGGAAAUCAAAAGUGGCACGCAGGAAAAUAAGGUUGGCAGCGAAGAGGGAAACAAUGAUUGAUACAAGUUCAAAAACGUUGAUAUGUCAGUAUUUAACGAUGACGAUCCGGAUUCAUGGCUCUUCCACGCCGACAGGUAUUUUCAAAUACAUAGAUUAACUGAUUUCGAAAAGCUUACUGUAGCCACAAUUAGUUUUGAAGGCCCGACUCUCAACUGGUAUUGAUCUCAAGAGGAGAGAUAAGUUUACCGAUUGGUUAAACUUGAAGGAACGUUAUUGAUCCGAUUUCGAUCGAUUCUCGAAGGAUCUCUGUAUGGCCGAUUUUUGCAAAUUCAACAGGAAUCAAGUGUAGAAGAAUAUCAGAACCUUUUUGAUAAGUGGGUUGUACCCUUAGCAGAUAUUCAGGAGAAAAUCGUGGAGGAGACGUUUAUGGGAGGGUUGUUACCAUGGAUUAAGGCAGAGGUGGAGUUUUGUCGCUCCGUGGGAUUAUCCCAAAUGAUGAAGUACGCGCAGAUGGUGGGAAAUCAGGAAAUUAUGAGGAGAGAAGCAAAUCUACUCUGUUAUUCUGGAACAAAAUUCCCAAACUACCCCUACACUAAUGCCAAAAUUAAUACAGUUUUAAACAGCCAAGAGAAUAAGGGAAAUACCAUUUUUCCGAUGAGGACAAUUACACUAAGAGGAUCACCAGCGGGAGAAAUUAAGAAGGCCCAUCCAAGCGAUUAUCUAAUGUUGAGUUUCAGGCCAAGAGAGAGAAAAGACUUUGUUUCAAAUGUGAUGAAGAGUAUUACUCAGCGCAUAAAUGCAAAGCAAAGGAAAUACACAAGUUACGAAUGUUUAUAGGAAGCAGAUAAUGUGGAAGAAGAGAUUAUAGAGGAAGACGAGUAUGAACAGAAGGAGCUGCACGCUAUUGAGUUGAAGGGUGACAUUGAGGGAGUAGUCGAAUUGUGUAUUAAUUCAGUGGUGGGGCUGACGAAUCUUGGUACGAUGACAAUAAGGGGGAUGAUUCAAGGGAAGGAGGUUAUUGUGUUGGACUGUGAAGCCACGCAUAAUUUCAUAUCAGAAAAAUUAGUGAUGAUCUUUAAACUACCUACAAGAGAUACUUCCAAUUAGGGGGUAAUUCUUGGGUCUAAACCUGCAAUUAAGGGAAAAGGAGUAUGUGAAAAUGUGGGGGUUAUUCUUAAUGGAUGGAUAGUAACUGAAAACUUUUUGCCAUUGGAGCUUGGAGGGGUGGACGUAAUACUUGGGAUGCAUUGGUUAUACUCAUUCGGAGUGACUGAGAUGGAUUGGAAAAAUCUUGUUAUGUCUUAUUCUCAUAACAAAAAAGUGGUAAUCAAGGGAGAUCCAAGCUGGACAAAGACUCGAGUUAGUUUGAAGAGCUUAACUAAAUUAUGGACUGAUUCUGACCUGGGUUAUUUAAUUGAGUGCAGAGCUCUAGAAGCAAGAGUCAUAAAGGUUGAUUUACAACCAGUGGGAGAAACCAAUACCGUAUCAGAGGGAGUUCAGGCAGUGUUGAUGCAGUAUAAGGACGUGCUUGAGUGGCCUGAAGAAUUACCUUCAAAGAGAGCCAUUGUGCAUCAUAUACACUUAAAUGGAGGCAUGGUUCCAGUGAAUGUCAGGCCCUAUAGGUAUGCCUUUCAGCAAAAGGAGGAAAUGGAAAAAUUAGUGGAUGAAAUGCUCUCCUUUGGAAUUAUCUGUCCAAGCACAAGUCCAUAUUCAAGUCCAGUACUCAUGGUGAAGAAGGAAGAUGGUUAUCAUCAAAUUAGGAUGUGUAGCCAAGACAUAGAAAAAACAGCCUUUAGAACAGAUGAAGGGCGUUAUGAAUUUCUAGUAAUGUCGUUUGGACUCACAAAUGCACCUGCAACUUUUUAGUCCUUGAUGAAUAAUAUUUUCAGAUCUUAUUUUCAGAAGUUUGUCUUAGUUUUUUUCGAUGAUAUUUUGAUUUACAGUAGGGGAUUGGAGGAGCACUGCCAACAUAUAGAAUUGGUAUUGGAGGUGUUGAGGAGUCAUAAACUGUUUACUAAUCAAAAGAAGUGCAGUUUUGCAUAUACUAAAGUGGAAUAUUUGGGUCAUAUUUUGUCUAGAAAGGGUGUAGAGGUGGAUCUGGAGAAAAUAAGAUCUAUUAAGCAAUGGCCAGUCCCUUCUAAUGUUUGGGAAGUUAGAGGUUUCCUGGGAUUGACCGGUUAUUAUCAUCGUUUUGUACAGCAUUAUGGGUCCAUUGCAGCUCCUUUAUCUCAAUUAUUGAAGUUGGGUUCUUUUAAAUGGACUGGGGAAGCCAAGAAGCUUUCGUAAGGUUGCAACAAGCAAUGAUGACUCUGCCUGUUUUGGCACUACCAGAUUUUAAUACACCAUUUGAAGUUGAAACAGAUUCAUUGGGCUAUGGAGUGGGAGCAGUCCUAAUGCAGAAUAAGAGACCAAUUGCUUUUUAUAGCCACACAUUAGCUAUGAGGGACCGUGCCAAACCAGUCUAUGAGAGGGAGUUGAUGGCAGUAGUGUUGGCAGUACAAUGUUGGCGACCAUAUCUAUUAGGAAGGGCAUUUAUAGUCAAGACUGAUCAGCCCUCUCUUAAAUUUCUGCUUGAACAGAGGGUGAUACAGCCACAAUACCAGAAGUGGAUUGCAAAAUUACUUGGCUAUUCAUUUGAAGUGGUUUAUAAGCCCGGUUUCGAGAACAAGGCAGAGGAUACCCUAUCUCGAGUACCACCUACUGUACAUCUCAACCAAUUAACAACCCCUAAUUUGAUUGAUUUGAAGGUUAUAAGGGAGGAGGUUGAAAAGGAUGAACACUUGAAGGAGAUAAUCAGUAAGAUACAAAAAGAAGAAGUAACAAAUUAUACUUUGCAACAAGGGAUGCUCCGGUACAAAGGAAGAUUAGUGAUUGCGAAGAACUCUUCCUUAAUUCCUACUAUUAUGCACAUUUACCAUGAUUCUGUCCUUGGGGGCUAUUCAGGGUUCUUAAGAACUUACAAGAGGCUAACAGGAGAACUAUUUUUGGGAAGGUAUGAAGUCUGAAAUACAAAAGUAUUGUGAAGAGUGUACUAUCUGUCAGCGAAAUAAAGCAUUAGCACUCACGCCUGCAGGGUUAUUGGUUCCAGUGGAGAUACCGAGUAGAGUAUAGGAAGAUAUUUCUGUGGAUUUCAUUGAAGGAUUGCCCAAAUCCUUAGGAUGUGAAGUUAUAUUGGUGGUGGUGGAUUGCUUUAGUAAAUAUGCUCAUUUCUUAGGUCUCAAGCAUCCCUUUUGUUGCCAAGAUUGUGGCAGAAUUAUUUAUGAAGGAGAUAGUAAGGUUGCAUGGCUUUCCACAAUCAAUUGUUUCUGACUGUGAUAAGAUUUUUCUGAGCAAUUUCUGGAGGGAACUACUCCGUUUGGCAGGCACUAAAUUGAAUCGGAGCACCACUUAUCAUCCUCAAAUGGAUGGUCGGACAAAGGUUAUUAACAGAUCAGUGGAGAUUUACUUAUGUUGCUUUUGUGGGGAGAGACCGAAAGAAUGGUUAAAAUGGAUUCCUUGGGCUGAAUACUGGUAUAACACUACAUUCCAACGAUCAUUGGGAGUGUCACCUUUUCAAGCUGUAUAUGGACGAACACCACCAGCCCUUAUAUAUUAUGGAGACUGGGAAACUCCAAAUUCCACACUAGAUGAGCAACUUAAAGAAAGAGAUGUAGCCUUGGGUGCUUUAAAAGAUCAUUUACGAAUAGCCCAAAAAAAGAUGAAGAGUUAUGCAGAUAUGAAGAGAAGACAUGUAGAAUUUGAAGGAGACAUGGUGUUCUUAAAAAUCAGACCCAUAGACAGGUUUCUAUGAGGAAGUGGAGGAAUGAGAAGCUGUCACCUAAAUAUUUCGGUCCUUACCGAAUUUUGAAGAGAAUUGGCCCUAUCGCGUAUAAGUUGGAAUUACCUACAUCAGCAACUAUUCACCCUAUUUUCCAUAUUUCACAGCUGAAGAAAGCCUUCGGGGAGUGCACAAAUAAGGAGGAAUUGGUACCAUUUUUGACUGAGAAUCACGAGUGGCUAGCUGUACCUGAUGAGGUCUACGGAUACCAAAAGAAUGAGAAAGAAGUUUGGGAAGUUUUGAUGAGUUGGAAGGGACUGCUGCGUCAUGAGGGAACUUGGGAAAAUUAUGAUGAUUUCCAACAGUCCUUCCCUGAUUUCCACCUUGAGGACAAGGUGAAACUGGAGCAGGAAUGCAAUGUUAGACCACCCAUAAUACACCCGUACAGUAGGAGAAAGAAUAAUAAAGAAAAGAAGAGGGAGAAUGAAUUAGUUAAGAACGUAACUGCAUAAGGGGGUGGACCACAAUGAGUAGGAAGGAAAUACAAAUAGAAAGUGGAAGAGAGAGAGAGGUAGCUUUGUGGUGUGAGUAAUUUUUGUAUAUUCUUGAAAGAGAGUGACAGAGUGGGAGGAGAGAGUUCAUUGAAUUGGAUAUCUUAUUCAAUUCGAUCUUUAUAUUGUAAUUUUCUUUACUAUCAAUAAAGUGAGAUUUCAUAUUCUAUACUAGCGUUGGAGAAUUUGUGUUCCAACAAUAUGAUACAUAUAUUACUUCGGUGUCUGUUCUUUUCUUUGUGAAGUGUUUAUCAACUUCAAUAUGUUUCAUCUUGUCAUGAUGGACUGGAUUGGACUGUGGGCAAUGGAAAUUGCUGCUUUGUUUGUCUGAGUGAAUCUCUCCAACAAUCUUUUUAUUCAUAUACUCUCACAAAUACCAUGGGCUAUAACUCUAAAUUGUGCUUCUGCACUACUUGCAACCGCACUCUGUCUUUUACUUCGCCAAGUAACAAAAUUUCUUCUAACGAAAGAGCAAUAUCUAGAAGUGGAUCUUCUAUCAGUUGUGCUACCUGCCUAAUGCAGUCAAUGUAAACUUCAAGAUUGAGAUGGUCAUGUCUUUGAAACAAUAUGCAUUUUCCAUGAGUACUUUUCAAAUAUCUUAAGGUUCUAUAAUCUGCAUUUAAGUGAGCUGGUUCAAGAGCAUGCAUGAACUGACUUACCAUACUAACUACAAAAGUGAUGUCAGGACGUGUGUGCGAAAGAUAUGAGUCUCCCCACAGGUUUUUGGUACUUCUCUUUUUUCUCUAUCUCAUUCUUAAUUGCGGCUUCCAAUUUCAGAUUCUGCACAAUGGGAGGUUUUGCCACCUUGCAACCAAGUAAACCCUCUCUUUUAGCAGAUCAAGAAUAUACUUCCUUUAGUUGACAAGAAUGCCACUUUUGGAACAAACACCAUUCCUUCUACAUCAAUGCCUUUCAACAUUUGUGGAGAUUCUUUAUUUCAACAUUUGUGGAGAUUCUUCUUCUUUUUUUGAAAUAGAGUCCGGCCUCUUUAUUAAUAAUAUAACAACUUAAAGUAUAAGAGAGUUAUACAAUGAGCACAAACAAAGAGACCAAGAGAUCAGGAGUCGCAACCAAACAUCUCGACUAGGUUGACAUCCCCUUAGCGCCCGCAUCAUAUCCAAAGAACACACAAAACAAGAAAUAAGAGUACAUCGAGAACCAAAAAAGGGCAAAAUAAAGCCACAAACAAGAACAAAACAGAGCAAAAACAAGACGGUUACAAAUCAUGUCCUAAUAAUAUAAACUCAAAUGGAAAUAAAAUAAAACAAAAGUUAGAUGGUCUUUGGUGGCUUCUUCUCAAGGGAAAGAACUGGAAAAGUGAUUGAAAAGGGGAAAGGCAACAGCUGCAAAGGCUAGCAAGCUUGUGGAAUGAAGGCCAGCCAGUUUAAGAACAAGUUCUGGAUAGAGUAGUUAUUAAACUGCUUGUUCAAAGUGCACCAAGCAGCAUCAUUUCUUUUAGCAAUAUUCAUUCGUCUUGUCCAGCCCGUUGCCUUGUCAUGGAAGAUCCUUUAAUUGCGUUCAAAUUAUAAUUCUGCGAACAGGGCUUUAGACAUGUUUUCCCAAAUAAUUCUCGGCCUUUUCAUCAGAAUUGGGCCUAGAAAUAUCUGAUUGACGUUUGAAUUGAAUAAUCCAUCAAAAACCCAAGCAACUACGAAUAAAGAGAACCUAUAAAAUAGAUCUUGUUCAAAUAAGGCUGUAAAUCUGCAUCCGCCAUUAUACUUGCUAACAAUAAUCAAGUGACACAAAUAUUUUGGUAAGUUCCAUACAUAGAAAUAAAAGGAUACGGUGCUUUCUAUUUGAUCUGGAUUCUAUGCAUUCCUAACGCUUAGCUAUGCAGUGUAGUGUAGCGAUUAUUUUAAUUAAUUAUUAUUGGUGUCAUAAAGUUUUAGCUUCUUGUGAUUAUCAAUCUUGUAGGUGGAGUUGGUAGCCAAACAUUUGGGAACUUCUCUACUCUAAGUGGCUUUGACAUAAAAAAUGCUGGAAGUAAUAUUUUCUCUUCAGCAGCCCUAACAAAUCUCCCUCCAACGAAUGCAAACUCAAGUGCCAGUGGACAAAUUGCACCAAAUGCCCAAUUGGUGUAAGUGUUUUGAAGCCAUCUCUUAUUGUUACUGACCAUUUAGUACUAAAAAUGUACAACUAAAGAAAGAAAUUUAUGUUGUAAGUUGGAUUAUUCUUCUCGCUUAUGCAGAAAUAAGUUACAGCCAGAAAAUAGUUCCGUGGAUGUUGACAUUUGGAUGAAAGAGAAAUGGGUUCCUGGAGAGGUACAAUCUUUUGUUCGUGUUUAUUUAGAAAUGUUUUCAAAACAUGUCAAUUUUUAUUUUGCAAAAUUUAAUUUUAGAUCACGAUAGAUCCAAACAAACAUCUAUCACUUAGUGCAAGAUGUCUAUAUAGGCCUUCACUAAUAAAAAAAAUAAAAUCUUUGUUUUUGUAAAUAUUUACAACAAUUUUGUCAUUUAAAACAAUCUCUAUUUUAUUUAGAACAAUUUUUCCUUAAAAACAAUCUUUAUUUUAUCCCUAUCUCAGAUCUUGAUAAGUCCAUCGUUUUAAAUUUAUUUUAUAAAGAUUAAAAUUUAAAUCUCUUUUUUUAAAACAAGCAAGGUAGACUAUUUAAGUCUAGGAAAUAUGAAUGUGUUAACUUCAAACUUUGUAAUUUGAUGAUUUUUCAAGUACUGUUGCUAAUAUCUAACUUUGUAAAUACAUUCAGAUACCGGAAAUGGCUCCUCCUGAUGCAGUUAUUCAGUAACACCGGCGGAUUUGGUAUAGAGCCCCCCUCAACUUUAUUGUCUUUAUAUAAUAUGUAUAAACAAAACCAUUUAAUGCUUAAUAUUUAUAGAUAGUUUAGUGGUAACUAUGCUUAGUUUAGGGUUUUCUGGAUCCGCCAUUAUUCAGUAACCCAUAUACUCCACGUACUAAGGUACCUAGAAUUGAUAGCAAGAUUUAAUAUUAGUAGCAGUUUAGGAAAUAUGAAUUUAUUAACUUAGAAACUUUAUGAGUUUAAAAGGGGAAUUCUUAGAAUUUUGCAAUAAUAUAUUAAAUGACACAAGAUCCUACUUCUAAGAAUAAGGAUACUAAUGAAUCUACGAACGUUCCAACACCAGAAUUCGGUUUGUGUCGUGUAAGAUGGUUUAUCCAUAACCUCUUGAUUAGAAAUUUGAAUUCCCACACCACUUCAGUUUUGAGCUAUUAAAAGAAUGUAUGGAAGACAAGUAUUAGAUCUAUCUUUUAUGAUUUUUCUUUCUUUUGGUUUUUUGGAGUAAGUUACUUAUGGUUUUGUUUAAGUUAUAUGAGCGGAUAUCUUUUAGGUCAAAAUGUUGGAAUAUUGAAAUUAUAUAAAUUCAAAUUCUAUUAUUUUUUAGUAUAAUGAGUGCGUUUUGUUUUUGAAAUUUUAUGAUUGAGUUUUGUUUAUUUCACUAGAUUAAGGGGCGUAUGGGAUGUAGGUUAUAAUAAACUAUAUUAUGUGUUUGGAUGUAAAAUAUUAUAAUUUGAGUUAUUAUAGUUUUUGGAAUAUAAAAUAUUAAAGUCGAGGUUAUUAUAGUGUGUGUUUGGAGUGCAAAGUAUUAUAGUCUAAAACAUAGCCGUUUGUAAAAUAAAUAUUGAUUAUCUUAAAUUAUGUUUUUUUUGUUUCACUAUUAUUUUUUGUCAUACAUAUUCAAACUAGUUUAUUACUACAUGAUAUGCAUAUGUUAUAAAAUUUAAUAAUAUAACCUCUCUUAUAAAAAUUGAUAUUUGGUUUUAUUAAAUCUUGUUAAUUACGUUAAUCAUUUAAUAAAUUUAAUAUCAUCUAUAUAUAUGCUUUUUAGAUUUUACUGGGAUUUGAAAUAAAAUUUCAGACUUUUGUCACUUUUAACUACUUUUAAAAAUGUCAUGGUUUUUUAGGGCAAUCUAUAUAUAUAUAUGUGAUAUUUAGAUCGUAGACAAUCGUGUACUAUAAUCUAAAUGAUUUAGACGAUUUAGAUCAUAUUUUAAACAAUGAGGAAAAUGUUUCAAAUUUAAAUGAUUGGAUAAUAAAUUCUAAACGACGUUGAGAAAGCUUCAGGCGUAAAUGAUCUUAUACUAUAAUUUAAAUGAUCAUCGAAUUCGAAUACACGAUUGUUUAAAUGAUAUGGUGUUUUGUUACAUUUAUCAUAAACUAUUGUUUUAUUCCAAACGAUUGUUUUAUCAGCUUUUGCUUUUUGUUACAUGAUCGUGUUGAUAUGGUUUAAAUGAUCAUUUAUCAUAGUCAACACGAUUGUUUGACAUGGUCAACACACAUUUUUCUCAUCGUUUAAAAAUUACACGAUCGUGUGGAUAUGAUUUAAACGAUCACUUACCAUCGUCAACACAAUCGUUAGCAUGGUCAACACGAUCGUUUAGAUUUGAAACGCUUUUUCAUCGUUUAAAAAGAAACUGCACGACCAUGUGGAUAUGAUCUAAACGAUUGCCCACCAUAGUCAACACAACCGUUUAGCAUGGUCAACACGAUCAUUUAGAUUUGAAGCCCUUUUUUCAUCAUUAAAAAAAAUCUAUAUGAUCGUGUAUAAUGACCUAAACAAUCAUAGAUAAUUUGUUUAAACUGUAGUACACGAUUAUUUAGAAGUAGAUUACUCACGCGCACGUGUCGCCGAUUAAUCUCGUGGUUGACUAGGGUAUAUUACGUUUUUUUACCAGUUUGUUAUAUUUUUAAUAAAAAAAAAACCUUUUAGUGUUUUAUCAAUUAAUAUAUAUAUUAGAUUUUUAUAAAGUUUUUGGGAUUAAUUUUUCAAAUGAAAUAUAAAAUCAGCUUAUUCCCAUACAUUCUUAAUACCAUUCUCAUGUACAACCCAACACAAAUAUUCUUAAUUUCGCAAUCUUAUUCUUUGAUUUAUUAUCACGACGCAUCAUUAAUUUUGAGUAAUCUUAUUUCCAUUCAAAUUUAAUUUCUCCAAUCCAAACCGUCCAGUAGAUCAUAGAACAGUCAUCGAAAAAAGUACAGAUAAUGGUUUGGAGAAUAAUGCUUGGCUCAAUAAAAUGAAACAAAGAAAUAUUCUUUGUUUGGAGUCAAUGAGUUUGAUAAUACUGUGAUGUCAAUUAAUUUAAGAAAAAUCUCAAGUUGUUUAAGCAAAGCUCUUACGAAAAAGGCUUCUCUAACACUCCAACCUUAUUUUAGGUAAUAAUCAUUUCAAAGUUUUAGAAUAAAAAGAAAAGUAUGAAUGCCUAAGAAUUUGAAAUCGUCUUUGGCACCUAGUGGGAAAAUGGUCCCAAGUGAGGUCCUUUCAAUUUUACAUUUAAAAAAUAACAUGCUUUUGGAAAAGUCGUUUAGUGCUUUUUUUUUUCGGUCCUUCUCAACCGGGAGCGUUCCUGAGAUUGAGUUUAGAGUAACUAUAAUUGAUAACCAUUUUAAAAAUAAUAAUUAAGGAUAUAACAACAUUUAAAAAAAAUUACAAAUAUAGCAAAACUAUCACUCAUAGAUUUGUAUGAUCUAUCAAUGAUAGACCAAUAUUUACAACAUGGUCUAUCGGUAAUAGACUUCUAUCAUUGAUAGAAUUUGACAAGUUUUGCUAUAUUUGUAAUUUUUUAGAAAUGUUUCUAUAUACUUAAUUAUUUUGCAUCUAAUUGCUAAAUUUGCAACUAUCCCCUUUGUAUUCGUAGAAAUCAAUUACUUACGAGUUCAAAAUUAUACCCAUCGUGUGGGUUUUCUUUUUUCGUACUCUCUUUUGGUUUGACUAUACACGGUAGGAUCAUUUAGAUUUUGGUAGUCAAAUUUAAACUAUUUUUUUCACUAUCGUUUCAUUUAAAUUUAGCUACUUAAAUUGAUAUCUAAUGAUUUUUUUUUUCAAAAUCUUUUAUAUUCAAACCAAUAUCCAACAAUUUUUGUUGUACUUAUUCGUGAUACAUCAUCUUGAACCAAAUAGAUCGUUGAAAAGAAAAAUACAAAAUAAUAAUGAUUUUAAAAAAUAUAAAAGAAAGAAUGAAAAUGAAAGAUAAUAUUUUUUUAAAAAUAGUCAUCUUCAUUUGCUUUUUGAUUUGGUUACCCUGUUUAUGAAAAUUAACCUACAAAAAUUAUUUAUCCAUUCUUAUUUUAAAUGAUAUAUAAAAUGAUAUAACAAAUAUAUUAAAUAAUAAUGAUCUCAUACUUCUAAUCAAGUAAUUAUAUAAUUUUGAUUUAUAUCCAUCACAAUUCCCCAUCUAUUUAUAGGAUAAAUAAACACAUAUAUAUUCAACUUUGUGAGAUUAAUAAUCCCACUUAUUCAAUUAUAAACAUUAAUUAUCUUAAAGUCAUAUAUAUACGAAACAAUAUAUGAGAUCAAGUAAAAAUCAUUUAAAAGAAAAGUAAACUAUAGAGUCUUGUGGUCUUCCAAUUUUAAUAUUUAUUUGGCCACUGUGAAUUUAAUUUUAAAAUGUUUAAACAUGACAUAAUGAAUUGUUUAUUUUGUAUGUUAUCUUUUGAACAAGUUGGCAUGCCCCCUUCAACGUCUUAGCUACCUUUUAACAUUUCCACAUUUUAAUACAUUGGGUUCAACUUUUACUUCUUCAAUAAUUUCACAUAAACUAUUUGUUGUCUUACGUUGAGUGAAUUGAUAACUGAAUUGAUAACUUCUAAUAUAUAUUAGAAAUGAUCUUAAAAUAAUAAAAAAACGUAUAUUAGAUGAACAAUUAUCUUACAUCGAUGUUAAGAAUGAUUUAAAAAAUAUAUAGUUUUCAUAUAUUCAUUUUCAUAUAAAUACUUUCCGUAAAAACUCUUUAAAAUUAAAACACACCGAUGUUUGAUAGUAUUUGAUAAAAAGAAACGCCCAUAAACUUUUGUGUUAAAAAUGUAUAGAAUGUUUCAAAAGUUAAAAAAUAACUUCCAUAACAAGUUCAAAAAUAUUCUUACGGUUAGUUUCGGAUGAAAUUUGCUAUUAUUUUGUAUGAAAAAUACAUCUAAACUUUCAAAAGCUUCGAAAUUGUCACUUACUUUUUUUUUUUUGUUAACUAUUAUUUGAUACUUUUUUUUAAACUAAAUUAAAUAAAUAGAUAAUAUUGUACAAUUUAAUUAAGAUAUAUGAACUAUUACAAAAAGUAAGAUAAUAAAUAGAACACCAAAUAAUUAUAUGACUCCAAUAUUUUAACAAAAGUGUACUUUAAUAGUUGAGUGCUCGUUAAUAGCCAUACACUUGUUUUUAUUUGACUAUUUAUUGUUUUAUGUUUUAGGAGGAGAUUUUGAUUUGGAAUUUUGUGGAAUUUUUAAAAUUUAAAGCUAUUUUUAAAACUUUUGAAAUUUUAUGGGAAUUUUAUUGAUAAAUUAUAAAGUUAAAUGACAUUUUUUAUAAUUUAUUUUUGUAUACACAAUUUAUUUAUUGUGAAAGAUGUGAAAGGAUAAAGCAAUAUAUAAUCAUUAGAAUAAGGUCAAAUAAUAAAAAUUGAAAGAUGUGAAAGGAAAAAGCAAUAUAUAAACGACCCAACGAAGGAGGAACAUAUUUGUACAACCACUAAUUGUAAAGUUACAUCAUACCAAUUCGGUAAUAUGUACACACAAAUGAGAACAUUAAUUUAAUUAUAUUGACUAAUAAUAUGCUUAUGCUCAAAUAAAUUAUUCUUAGUUAACUCUCCCAUUCAACAAGACAUGCUUUCUAUUUCUUCUUUAAUUAACAACACUAUUAAUAUUACAACUGUUGUAAUUAAAUAUGUAAUAUUAUUUAUUAAUAUCAUAAGACUAUGCUUAUAAAGAACCUGAUCUUAAUUCUAUCCUUACUAUCAAAAUCAUGGGGAGUAAACCUCUGGCAAUUCUUCUCUUCAUCUCCAUCCUCCCUCUUUGCUUUUCACUUCCAUUGCGCCAAGUUUCUCGAUUAUCAUUUCUCAAUGACCUCCAAGGAAGCAAGAAAGGUGAUAAUGUCAAAGGCAUAUCCAAGCUUAAGAACUUUUUCCGUCGUUACGGUUAUUUAAAUCAUCAAAUCAAUGUCACUGGUCAUUUGAUCGACCAUGAUGCCGACGACACCUUUGACGAUCGCUUCGAGUCUGCCGUCAAAACCUACCAACAAUACUUCCAUCUAAACUCCACUGGAUCUCUGAAUGCCGAGACGCUAUCCCAACUUGCAACACCUCGGUGCGGUAAUCCAGAUAUCCUUAAUGAAGCCACUGGUCGAAUGCUAUUAGAAAACAACAACAACGAUAGUAGUCACGAUCACUACCACCAACUCUCCCAUGCUGUACCACACUACAGUUUCUUCCCAGGAAGGCCUAGGUGGCCACCUACCAAAUAUCACUUAACAUAUGAGUUUCUUCCCAACACUCAUGCAGACGCAAAAGCACCGGUGACACGAGCGUUCGCAACAUGGGCUCGACACACACAUUUUAAGUUUUCUUUGGCCACAAACUCUAGAAGAGCUGAUUUGAAGAUAGGGUUUUAUAGAGGGAACCAUGGAGAUGGGUACCCAUUUGACGGGUCAGGAGGAACUUUGGCACAUGCUUUUACUCCAACUGAUGGGAGAGUUCAUUUUGAUUCAACAGAGAAAUGGGUAGUUGGGGCAGUAAGAGGGAGAUUUGAUUUGGAAACAGUGGCUUUGCAUGAGAUUGGACAUCUUCUUGGACUUGGGCAUAGCAGAGUUAAAAAUGCUAUAAUGUAUCCUACUAUAGAAUCUGGGUCUACUAAAGGCUUGAAUGCUGAUGACAUUGAAGGGAUUGAGGUUUUAUACAACGUACCUUUACCCUAAUUCAAAAGCCUUUUCAACAAAAGUUUUACAGUGUGUUGCAUGUUUAAAUAAUAAGAAUAAUACUCGGGUGCAAACAAGAUUGUAUCGGUAAAAUGUAAGAUUGAUAAGCAACCGAAGAUGCAUGCAAGAAUUUUUCUUUUUUCUGAUAUAGGGUACUGUACGUGCAAAAGUUUCCUUUUAAGUCAUUCAAUUUUCUAUGUCACAUAUAUCUAAAUGUCUUCCUUUAAUUUGAUUAUAUUUUCAAUGUUUUUGUUGGGUUGUUUUUCAUUGACCUAUUUGAUCACAUAAAUUUCAAACCAUUAUAUUGUUUGAAAACUUUAUAUUAUUAACUUAUUUUAUAGGGUAUCAUGAGUAAUGAGCAUAGCUUAACUUGUCACCACGUGUCCCGAGAUGGUGUGGAAUAGUCGACGUCGUUGAAAAAUGGUAAAUUUUAAAAUAAAACAAGUAAGAAAUCACCAUCAAUCCUUUUUACGAUGUGAUUAGACGUCAUAAUAAAGUAAAUAUUGUUUUAAUAAACUUAAUAAAAAUAACCUACGAAAAAAGCUAGAGUUGAGCUUUGGUGUCAUUUGUAUAUGGGGAGAGUGUUAGCACUUCAUAACACCUGUUUAGAAAACAGUGGCCAAAUUUUAUAUUUUGUCACACCCCAUUCUAGGUUUUCCUCUUUAAUCUAGAUCGUGGCAUGAAAAAACACUUUUUAAAACAACUUUUUCUAACUUAACUUCUAUGGAACGCAUAUUAUGAAUUUAUAUAGAAAUUUUGACAACAUCUCUCCUAAAUUAUGGGUUAGCCCAAACCUGAAAAGGAAGAGAUUUUUAACUUCUAUAUGUAUGUAAAUUGAUACUUUAGAUCUCCCAACACAACAAGUGUCUCACCACACACAUCCGGAAAAUUUCAAAGUUUCAAGGAGAGUUAAAAUUCAAACUAAAUAUUACAUACAAAAUAAUUUUAGUCUAAUGAGGGAUCUCUCAAAAUACAAGUCCUUAGCGUCACUCUUGUUACAUUUAACUACCUCAUGAUGCAAUGCAAAAGUUAACUAUAUCCAUACAAAAUGAAGGUCUACAACGUUUGGCCCUUGAUCACUACCUGAUGUGGGGGUGCUGGAGGGUAGAAAACAUUGAAAACGUAAGCUAAAAAUUCAGUGAGUGGCAAGUUCUUAGAAGUAAAAACUUGUAAAACAUGCUAAAAAAGAACAUGUGUAAAUAUGCAUCAAUAAUGAAAUACUAGUUGAAACGUCAUCAUCACAUAACCACCAGUCAAACCAACAAACCAACAAACCUAAAGCUGGAUGUUGCACGAUAAGGAGAAAGCGUUAAGACUUAGGUUUCUAUGUAUAUAAGCAUGAUUAGUUCUAUGCCCUAAGUCAUUGGCCAUGAUCAUUGUAUACGAAGUACUCACUAUGUUCCUCUUUAUCAUGAUUACUAAGUUUGUAUCGCGUAUAAGCUUUCCUGCUGCUUGCCCAAGUAUAAGUAAAACAUGUUUUCCUAAUUGAACCAAGGUUGAACAGAGAGAAUUGAUAUCAAAACUUAGUUUUAUGAUCUACUUCUCAAUUAUGCGGUAUAAAAGAAUAAACAAUUAACAUCUAAAAGUAACUGGAAAUAACAUUACUUAAAUAUGCCUAGAGAACCUAUAAUGGGUGGAAAUGAAUGCAAGAUAAAUGUGUGAACUAACUUGUAUGUGAUACGAAGGUGAAGGAAAGUCUAUGCACUAUUAUAUAAUUGACCAUGUGAUAGUGUUGAUGCGAAAUAUAUUUACUUAUUUAUCUUAUGAUUAAGGCGUGCUCCUUUUAGAGUCAUUAAACACCUUUACAUGAUUGCCUGUCAGGAUCCAUGUGACUAACUUAACAAAGUGAUAUAAUUCUAGAAGUGGUCAUUUAUACUACUUAUAGCGCCCCACGUUAAGAACGGGAACCUCUCGACACCACAUGUCCACACUUGCUCACCUUUCAGGAUACAAGUAAUGUGAGUCCUCUCACCAAGGAGGAGUUUAUCGCCAAACUCAUCCUUGUGCAUUAGUCUUGUCCUUGCUACUUGCCCUCUUGGGUAGUUGACGACAUGCACCGACUAAGUGAUGAGAAUAGUGUUGGAAUUUAUGUCCUAAAACUCGUAGACUGUAAAUAUAAUCCAUUGAUCGUUGUUAAUAAAGUGUUAUUGUUGUAAUUUCAAUAAAUAUUAUUGAUUAUAUUAUUAGUUUUUUCUUAAUAACCUAAAUCCAAUAAACUAACAUCCUAAGUUGUUUGAUGAAUCUGAAACAGUAUGUAGAGACAUACAUGAAUCAAUGUUCAAAAUUAGCUUAAACAGUCUACAUUAUAGGGAUAAGGCUGAGUACCUUAUCUUGAUAACACUAUGGAUACAACUCACUUUGUAUUUGAUACAAAUGCAAUGAUCUAACGCGUUCGUGUAGUUGACAUACGAGUGAGGGUAUCCUAUGCAAUGAGUUUGCAUAAGACCAGACCACAAAAUAGUAACUACUAGAUGUAACUCCGUUAACUAGUUAGGUUUCUGUUUCAUUAGGAUGAGCUAGGUAACUUAGUCUUCAUCCUAAGUGUAUUAUAAGCUCUUGUUCGUGAGAGAUUAUCCUUUGAUUUGUAUGAGUGAAAGUGGCCAGAUCGCUGACCCAAUAAGCUUAUCAUUUUGAGGAUAAGACUGAGUGGGGAGCUAAAAACAUAAUUACACAAGAUGAAAUUCACUUUUUCCCUACUUUAGGGUAAGUAGAUGAAUGUUCUCUUAAAUGGUGUCUCCGGGACUUAAACAAAUGACCUCCAGAUUUUUACUUACAUUAUAAUAUCAAGUUAAUCCUUCAAGAAUGUUUGUAACACCAACUAGCUAAAAUUACCAUUUUAUCCUGAGAUUACCUCUAAUCCUUUAAAUACUAGUGCUCCUCGAAUGAACAACAUGUUUAUGGUCCACUAAUAAAUAGAAACUCCUCUCGUGUCAUAGAGAGGGUAGAACCCUUUGUUCAAGUCUCGAAGACACCAUUUAAGGGAACACUCAUCUACUUACCCUAUAGUCGGAAAUGAGUGAAUUCCAUCUUGUGUGAUUAUGUUUCCAACUCUCCACUCGAUCUUGUCUCCAAAAUGAAAAUCAUAUUGAGUCCACAAUCUGGCCACUCCCACCCGUACAAAUCAAAGGACAAUUCCUCACUAACGGGAGUUCAUAAUACACUCAGGGUUAAAACUAAGUUACCUAGGUCAUCCUAAUGAAAUAGAAACCUAACUAGUUAACAAAGUUACAUCUAGUGGUUACUAUUUUGUGGUUUGGUCUCAUGCAAACUUAUUAUAUAAGAUACCCUCACUCGCAUGUCACAUUCACAAACACUUUGAAUCAUUGUGUUUGUAGCAAAUACAAAAGUGAGUUGUAUUCAUAGUGUUACUAGAAUAAGGUGCCUAACAUUAUCCCUAUACUAUAGACCCUUUAAGCUGAUCUCAAACAUUAAUCACUUUAUGUCUCUACAUAUUGUUCAUGACUUACCAAACAACUUAGAAUGUUAGUUUAUUGGAUUUGGUUUAUUUAGACAAAACUAAAAAUAUAAUCAAUAACAUUUACUGAAAUUACAAUAAUAACACUUUAUUAAUAACGAUCGAGAAUAGCUCACACGUGAUUCAUAUCCACAAGAACACACGCUGCCAAACUGAGCUCAUCCAUACUUAGUACCCACCACAGUAACAAUCUACACAUUCGCUCAUAGUGUUAAAUUAGGCUUGAAGCCAUAUCUCAAUCCUCCAUCCAUAUCCACAUCAAGGCUCAGGUUCUUGGAUCUCCGAUCACAACCUCUUUUUGCUUCGGAACCCCCUAACAACGUAGGUGGUGCUAUGGAAAAGACAUUCACAUAGCCUCAGGGAAAUCACCUUCUCGUUCAUCAUAAACAUAUCGAUCAAUCAUAUUUAAAAAAAACAAGUACAAUCAGAAACUUUAUAUCACGUUUUUAUAAAGUUCAAGCCAUACACAUUCUUAAAAUUUUGAUGAGUGUAAACACAUUGCUUAAGUAUAAAUGAAACACAUAGUCAUAAAAAGUUUAAGUCAUGGUAGUUUUCAAGUGAUAUCAUAAAAUGACAUGUACAAAUUCAAAGAAAACUUAAAAAUGAGCCACUCACAAUCAAUAACUCAAUCCCCCGAGGUUAUACGCUUUCCCCACAAUAAAUUGGCUUGAAACAACGAUCAAGGUCUCUUAGUUAUCUUCAUAAGACAUGAUGCUACAACUAUAUGUAAAAUACUUCACAAGGUCACCAAAAUAUAUUUGAUGCUUCUAAGGUCUUUGAAUUUACAAAGCGCUUAGGAUUAGACUAAACUUUCCACAUACGAACCCUUGGGCUCGAAAUCUAGAUACUUAACUCAAACCUAACUUAGUUCAAAACUCAACGAUUCUUUUAUAUAGAUACACUUUUACCUCCAUUAUUGAUGAUGCUUGGGAUUUAUACUCAAUAUAUUACUAUGAGUCAAACAACUCAAACACUUCCUAAAAUCACCAAAAUUCAUUUUAUAAUUCGAACUUCAUAGAAGUAAACACCCAAGCAUACUCCAAGUUAAAGAAAAACUCAAUUUCAACCUCUAACAUUUAUCUUUAGAACCCGAGUACUAUGGGUAAUUUAAUCUUAACACUUAGACUCAAUAGCCACUUGUGAACUUGAAGAAAACACACUUAAAUCACUCUGACCCUCAACAAGAACUUAGCAAAGUAACUUUAACUUCAAUGGAAAACAUCCUAACCACUUUCUAAAUUCACAAACAAGCAUACACCAUCCCAGAUUACACCAAUACUAUCACGAGGAUUAGAUGGGUACUCAAGGUCAACCCCAAAACUUUGAACCUUACCCAAGUGGUGCCGAAACGCCUAAAUUCGAGCUUUUGAGUGGCUGGGCAGCAUCUCAAACUCUUCUAAAACUCAAAUCUAGCAUUAAAACGUUAUGGGUAAUGUGUAAUUCAAUCAAAAUUUUAAUGGGUAUUCGAAAAUCUAAAAAAAAAAUCCAAGUAAAACAAUGAAACUUACUCCUAAUCUAAAAUUUGAGGUGAAAUGGUCAAAAAAGAGCAAGGCUAAUGGCGAUACAGCUCCAAAAUAGUGACGAAUGGUGACUGGGUGUUAGAGUAGCUGGACUGGCAACAAAAUUUGAAGAACUUGGACAGAACGACAGAUCAAAACCGCAACUGGAGUAGCGACCAAGUCUGGCGAGGCGAGCGGUGCACAAUGACUGGUGGAGUCGGUGUGAAAGAGUGAGAGAGAAAUGCAACGCAUAACGACUGGGUGUGAUGUUGUUCCGACGUGUGUUGCGGUUAAUGUGCAAGGGAAGUGAAAAUAGUGUUCGGCGAUCGAGAGAGAACGAGGUAAUGACAAAUGGCUCCAAGAGAAGAGAUGAGCGCUUGCCACUCGUGAAGUUUCCCGAACUCCUUUUAUCCCUCGUUUUUUCUUUUAAAUAACUCACUGAAAGGAAAGAAGAAGAAGAAAUUAAUAAUAAUAAUGAGAAAUGACCAAAAUGCCCCGAACUUAACAUUUAACUUCUACUUUGGCCUAGUUUUUCCAUCUUUUCAGCACUUAGUUUCCAAGUCUUAUUCCAAACGAACUUUGUCCCAGUUUUUUUUCUAAUUAUAAUAUAAUAAAUUAAGUAACAAAUAAAGGAGAGUCGAAUGAGAGCUUACAAGUUAUUAUCUCCUUUUUAAAAAUUUUGUCCUUGAAAUUAAGUCAAGGUGAUGAAGUGAAAAGUUAAAGGUAUCAAGCCUUCAUUGCCUGAAUCAGUCUCUCGUGUUACUUUUUCAGUAAUGGUUCCUUCCAAGAACUUUAACUAACGAUAUGAUUGUGUUCCUUAGCACUUGCUCUUUCUUGUCAAGAAUUUGUAUUAGUUCCUCUUUGUAAGACAAGUUAUCUUUCAAAUGAACUGGUUGCACCUCAAGAAUAUGAGAGGGAUUGAAAAUGUACUUACACAACAACGACACAUGAAACACAUCAUGAAUCCUAAAAAGUUCCAUAGGCAACGCCAAACAGUACGCCGCAGGCCCUAUACGUUCUAGUAUCUUAUAAGGCCCAAUAAAUCUUGGACUCAGCUUCCCUUUUCUACCAAAACGAAGCACAUCUUUCCAAGGAGAUAACUUUAGAAAGACCUUGUCACCAAUUUCAAGUUCCAUGUUUCUCCAACGCUUAUCUGCACAACUCUUUUAACGAUCUUAGGCUAUUUUCAACUUUCCUCUAAUAACUUUUACAUUCUUUGAAGUGGUUGGUACUAAUUAUGGCCCCAUUAAUUAUCUUUUUUAACUUAAUCUUAGCACACAUGAGUUCUACAAUGUCUACCAUACAAAGUCUCAUAUGGUGUCAUUCCAAUACUUGAAUGAAAACUUCUAUUAUACACAAAUUCCAUCAAUGGAAAGUGAGCAUCUCAAUUACACUUCAAUUGCAGAACACAAGCUCGAAAUAUAUCUUCCAAGGUUUAGAUGGUUCGUUCUGACUGAUCAUCUGUCUAAGGAUGAAAUGCGGUACUGAAAUGUAACUUGGUAUCCAAGGCCUGUUGUAAACUCAACCAAAACUUUGAGAUAAACCUAGAAUCUCAAUUGGACACAAUAGAUACCGAAGUUCCAUACGCAGUUACAAUCAUAUCAAUGUUACAAUUUGGCCAGCUUAUCUAAGGUGAAAGUGACCUUGACUAGUAGAAAUCUUGUUGUCUACAUAAGCCUAUCAACAAUCACCCAAAUGCCAUCAUACCCACUCAAUGUGUAGGGAAGUCCAAAUAAAAAGUCCAUUGUAAUAUGCUCCCAUUUUCAUUAAGACACUAGAAGUGGAUUUAGGAGUCCCGCUAUUCUCUGUCCUUCAGGUUUGACUUACUGGUAGAUUAAAAACUUAGCCUCAUAUUCUGUAGUCUCACUCUUUAUAUACCUUGCCACUAAUAGUGCUUCUUCAAAAUCUAAACAUUUGCGUACUACUAAGAUGCAUUACAUAUGCAAAACUAUGUGCUUCCUCUAAAAUUUGAUCUUUUAUUGCUUGGUCUCUAGGUACACACAAACUAUCAUAUUUUAUUAAGGCACCAUCACCCCUCAAGCUAUAAUUCGUUCUUUGGUUCAAUCUUACCUCUUAUGCUAACUUCUUUGGCAUUGAAUCCUCUAGCUGAGAUUUAAUAAUAUGGUCUAUCAAAGUAGGUCGAACUUGGAAGUGUGCAAUUAAACUUCCUAACUUGCCUACUAACACAAUAGCCUCACCUAUCUUAUUUUUUUUCAAUAGAGAGGAACCAAUCGUAUUUAGAGUGACGUUAGAAUGACUAGACUUCCUCCUUAAGGCAUCUGCCACCAAAUUAGCUUAACCAUCUUCUUUGUCUUAGAUUCAGUUCCUUAUGAUCAAAUAUUUGAAGCGAUUAAAGCCCUUGGUAGUGGAAGAUUUUACAGAACCAUUCCUCAAUUUAAUUUGAGAAUCCCAAAAUACCAAUACAUAGGCAAUAUUUAGAAACAAAAUUCUAAAAGGCUAAGCAUGCUUUUAAAUUAAAAGAUACUCAUGUAGUUUGAGGCCUCUGAAUCUACUUAAAUGCCAAAUUGGGGACACCACUCGUCGAAGACCUUCUUAUUCUUUGGGAUGAGAUUGGUUUGUGAAAACUGGUUGGGGUAUUUUCAUUGCGAGGACUUAAUAACUUCGUACUGAGAGACCAUCAUAGCAAUACUUCACUAAGUUAGAUCACUGCGCAUAAUGCACUCAUCAUGACUUUCAAUAUUGCUUGCAUUUUGCUCUCGUGCGAUAAGUCAUGAGUAAUGAUCAUUGCAUUUGAGGUGCUCCCAUGUACUUUUGCACCGCAUAGUUUCUAAGUCCUUGUUGAAUACAAGUUUUUCAACUACUCACCCAAGUGCAAGCGAACAAUAGGUUUAUCUGGAUGAUCCAGGAUCAAACACAAGAAAUUAUUUUAGAUGUUAGUUCGAGAUUCUUACUUUAGCAUUAAGGUGUUAAGACAAUUAAGCUGAAAGAAUGUGAUGCUAACUAUAACUAAUUAUUUACGGCUUGAGACUGAUGCACAAAGAGUAAAUUAAGCUAGGGGAGAGUGACAUGAUCUAACUUGUAUGCAAAUGAAAGUUAAAGGAAACUCUACGUGCUAUCGAUUGCUUAGAUUUUGUGAUAACCUUAACAUGCUAUAGUUGCAUAAUGGACACAUGAUUAAGGCGACAUUCUCUCGAAGUGUUCAAACGCCACACUUGUUUGCCUUUCAGGAUACAUAUAACUAUGUUUGCUUAGGCAAAUUAUACCUAGAGAACUUGACUUAUAAUACUUAUAGGACUUCUCGUUUAAGGACAGUUAUCUCUCAGCACCUAUUGUCCGCAUUUGUUCACCUUUCUAGAUACAAAUGUUGGGAGUUACCUCGCUAAGUUGAAACUUGUCUCCAAAUUUCUUCUUGUGCGCGCUAGCCUUAUCCUUGUCACUUGUCCUCUUGAGUAGUUAGCGAUUGACACUUGCCAAAUGAUGAAUAUAACUCAACUAACGUGACAAAAAUUAUAAGUUGAACUCCUUAUCAAGAACUUAUCACAUUCUUCUUAGUUAGUAACACGAAGAUGGAUGAGAUGUCAAGAAAUGGUAGAUUGAAAAGGCAUAAAUAUGCAGUCUAUGUAUAAAGAAUAUAGGUCUUUGGCCACUGUACAAUAUGAAUGGUACAUGUAUUACAAUGAAAUAACAAAAUGGAAGGACAGAAGAAUGGACCUAAUAUAUUACAAGCUAAGAGAUAAAAACAAAUUAAUCUUUCCUUUUAUCAUGACUAUUUAAUCUUCGGGUGUUUUAUUCAAACUCUGUCUCUCUCUGUGUAAUUUUCUCCGAUCACUUGAGUCUCUCUCUUUGGCCUCUUCAGGCUUCAAGCCUAUUUGAGUCACUCUUCCUCUUCUUGGUGUAGAUACAGUGCUUAUUAUAGACUGCUUUUUCGACGAAAAAACUUUGUUCUUCUUAAAUCUUUAAAUUGUUAAAAUAUUUGAACUCUUUUAUUUCUUAAACUUAACCACAAAACAUAUAUCUAAUCAAAUUCAAUGAUAUGAACACAAUUAUCCAUAUGCAAACAUAUACAUUUAAGUUUCAAAGCUUUUUUUCUACAAAUAUCCUAAACCCAAUCACAACAGACAUUUGAAUUAUUAUAGUCAAAUUCAAGCAUUCAAACACAAUUUAUAAAUUAAAUGCAUUGAAAUACAUUUAAAUUAUGGAGUAUUAAAGCAUUUUCUUUAUCAAUAUCCUCAAUCUAAUUACAAAGCAUUGGUUUAAAGUCAAAUGCAAUAUUUAACACAAAAUAUAUAAAUAAAAUGCAAAAUAUUAUUUAUGAAUUUAUAUAGUGUAAUUUGUACUCUUCUUCAUAUAUAUCUUCAAACUUCAUUGUGAAACGUUUAUUCUAACUAAACUCAAAUAUUUAAACACAACUUACUUAUAAAUACAAACAUAUAAAUUAUUGAAAUGUUAUUUGUUUUAAUCUUUAUCUUCAACCAAAAAACACAAUAUUUAAUUAUAAUCAACUCAAAAUAUUUAAAAUAGGAUACAUCGAUUCAAUCCAACCAACGCAUAUUUUAAAAUUAUUAGAGCAAUUGAAAUUUUCCUUAUCCAUAUCUUCAUUUGAAUACCAAAUUAAGAUUAAAAGAUACUAUUUUAAUCUUGAUAAUUUAGAAUGAUUUCGAUUUUAGUACCUAUUGCUUAAUCAUAUACGUUAAACAAUAAUAAUAAUUUUAAUAAUAAAAAAUACAAAAUAUAUUUUCAAUUUUAUAAAGAAAAUAUUAAUAGAGACUAUUGUUAGGACUUAGGAAUAAUUAACCCCAUAAACUAUAGAAUAUUUAACACGAUAAUCUAAACGAUCACUUACUAUAUUCAACUUGAUCGUUUAGCAUGGUCAACAUGAUCGUUAGAUUUAAAAAUUUUAAAGAUCAUUUACAUUAGACUACACGAUCUCUUACCAUAAUCAACAUAAUCGUUUCUCAUGGUCAACAAAAUUGUUUAAAUUUGAAGCAAUUUUUUCUAUCGUUAAAAAAGAACUAUACGGUCAUGUAUCAUGAUCUAAACGAUCACUUACCAUAGUCAGCACGAGCGUUAGAUUUGAAGUUUUUAAUGAUCAUUUACAUUGGACUACAUGAUCGUUUAUCACAAUCAACACGAUCAUUUUCCAUAGUCAACACAAGCGUUUACCAUGGUCAAUAUGAUCGUUUAAAUUUGAAGUAUUUUUCCAUUAUUAAAAAAACUACACAAUCAUGUAUCAUGAUCUAAAUCGUAGAUCAUUCGUUUAGAAUGUAGUACAUGAUCAUUUAAAAAAAAGAUUACUCAUGUGUGCGUGUGACCGAUUAAUUGCGUGUUGACUAGGGUAUUUUUUGUAUUUUUCAUUAUGGGCCUGUGGGUUUUUUCUAUUUUCAAAAUUGUUCUAGACAAUGUAAAUAUUUUACCGAUUUGUUAUAUUUAAAAAAAAAAAACUCUUUAUUUUAUUGAAAAUUUAGUGACUAAAUAAUACACACAACAAUCACAAUUAAACGGAUAAAUUGAUAAUAAAAUGUACUUUAAUUUAUAUCCCAAAUGGGUAGGUGUGUUAGCCCUUGAUUGAGAUAUAUAUAUAUAUUGUCACGUCCUGUUCCACUAGCCACUUCAUGCAACCAAAAGGAGAAAUUUCGAUGUAUAACAAAAACGUCAGAAAAGCUCUCCAUUCCCGACACCAUUCGUCUUACGUCAGUGGUAAAUCCCCAAUAUACCAACGCAUUACUAAUGACAUCAAAAAUUCUAAUCCACUUUUCCGACGCCAUGCAUGACACGUCAGAGGACAGUAAAUAUACAUUUAAUUCUUUGACUUGUCUCGAUGCCAUAAUGGUCAACGUUGGCAGCGUUGAAGGCACUCUCGACGUUUAUGUUGGCCACGUCGAGGAUGGACCACAUUUGUCCGACGUCAGAAGGACUGCGUCGGGAUAAAGGCAGUCUACCAACGUAGUAAUUUAUGCAUAAAAAAAGCUCAGUUUUUUCAAUGUUCCUUUCCCUGACACCUUUUUGUGUGUUGGAAGGACUCUGAUUUCUUGUAGCGUUACUGUCUUGCUGCACCAUGAAGCCAAAUCCAAACUUGACACGUAAGUCAACGGUCACCUCAAGAUUAGACAUCCCCUCGAGACACUAACCUUAUCUUAUCGAGAAGCUAAAUUCUUGUUUGUCUUCUCCUUCUCAUGAAACUAAACUCUUUUUCCUAUCUUCUUCUUUCCCACCAUCUCUUUCUCAUGGCAAACCACAACGGAUUUCCUUAGCAUUCUUUUCUGACUUUCCUUAGCAUUAUUUUACCAAAUCACCUAACUUUCUUGCAAUAGAAUUCCUUCGCAACAACGACAACUCUUCUUCAAUUGCAGUCGUGCACACACAAUUACACAAUUAUGUAACUUUGCUUCUUCAUGAACCAAAAAAUGUAACUUUUAAUUUUUAAAAAAAUACAAUGACAUCAAUUACUCCAACAUAUUAGGAUACGUUUAUUUAACAAUCAUCGGCAUACUAAAAAAGAAUUAUUAUUAUUAGUUGUUAAUAUUCUAAUUAAUCUAUAUUUGAUGAGCAAUUACAUUAAAAAAAAUUAAUUAUGUUUAACCAAAUGUUUAAUAUAAAACAAUUUAUUCACUUUGAAUUUUAAAUGAUAUAAAACAGUAUAACAAAUAUAUUAAAUAAUAAUAUUGAUCUCUAAUUUUAGUUUCUAUCCAUCACAAUUCCCCUUCUAUUUAUACAAUAAAUAAACACAUGCAUUCAAGUUUGUUAUUCAAUUAUAAACAUUAAUUAUUUAAAUUAACAUUUAAAAGUAAUAAAAUAAAUUAAAAUAUUUAGAACCUAUCCAUUUAUAUGAUUAACCAUGAACAUGGUUGAUAGAUUGAACGUUUCUUAUUACUAAAAUAAAAAAUUAUACUAUAGUUUUUAAAUAUUUUGUUAAAUUUACUAUUUUUCAUAAUUUUUUCUUUUCUUAUUUCAAAGUCGGAUUUUUAAAUUUAGAUAUUCUAAGAUUCAUAUAUGUAGAAACAAUACAUGAGAAUGAAGGAAAAAUAAUUUAAAUGGACAAUAAACUUACCAAAUUCUUUGAGAAUCCAUCUUGUUUUUUCUCUCUCCAAUCUUUUUGUCUUCUUCCAAUUUUAAUAUUUAUUUUAAUUAUGUGAAUUUAAUUUUAAAAUAUAUGUUUAAACAUGAUAGAAUGAAUUGUUUUAAUUUUGUAUGUUACCUUUUGAAUUGAACAUGUUGGCAUGCCCCUUCAACAUGCUAGCUUUAAACAUUUUGGACCUUGGCUUGAACUUUUACUUGUUCAAUACCCCCUGGCUGCUAUCCUAUUUUCGUGUGUCCAAAUAUAUUAAUAAAACAAUAAUUUAACAAACUAUUGUUAUCUUACGUUGAAUUAAUUAAUCGAAAACUUCUAAUAUCUUUAAAGUGAUAUUAAAAAAUAAUGUAUCUUAAUUAGAGGUUGUUAAGAAUGAAUUAAAAAAUAUAUAUUUUUCAUACAAAUACCAAAAGAAAAACUCCUUAAAAUAGAAUCAACCCAUGUUUGAUAGUUUUUUCAAAUUUUUAGGCUAGUUAUUAAAAAAACGCGCCCAUCAACUUUACACUUUGUGAUAAAAAUGUCUAGGAAGUUUAAAAAAUAUCUUUUAAUUUUCAAAAAAAAGUUUAAAAAUACUUUUAAAAUUAGUUUUGAAUGAAAAUUGUUAAUGUUGUAUAUACAAAAAUAUCUUUAAACUUUCUAAAGUUAGUUUUUAAAAAAGAUUAAAAAAGAUAUUUAAUGUUAUAUAUGUAUAUAUAUAAGAAGGAUAUAAAUAAAACACCAAAUAAUUCUAAAACUUAAAUAUUUUAACAAAAUAUUGAUUGGAUGGACAAUUUAAUUUUGAAAUUUUUGGUAAAAUUUGAUGUUUAAACUUAAUAGUUAAAGGGUAUUUUUGAAAAUUUUAAAAAAAAUUUAGAGGUAUUUUUAAAAUAAAAUUUUAGUAAUUUCCAUCCAAAACUAAUAACAGUAAUUCUUUUAACUCUUUUUUAAAAAUUAAAAGUUUAAACUUUAUGAAUAUUUUUUACACAAAGUGUAAAAUUCAAUAACUUUUAUACACAAUUUAUUUAUUUUAUUAUAUAAUAACAAUCCUUUUAUUAAUCUCAAAUUAAUAUAAAUAUAAAUUUAGUUAGAGCUAGCAAUGGCUAGAAGUUAUCGUUGGAGGUAGACUGAUGGUGAACGUCAAAGACUAUGGCCAGAGGUUGGACGAUAGAAAUAGUCAAUGUAAUCGAAUAAAAGAGGAGUCUAGCGUUAGCCAAUAAUGAUCACAGGAGGUUUGUGGCUAAAGUUUAUAAUACAAAUAAAAAUGUGAUUAAUUAUUAAACACUAAAAUUCUUAUUAAAUAUUGUCAUUGAUAUGGAUAGCCAAAUUAGUGCUUAACAUAUGAAAGAAAUAUUAUAAUUUUAUUAAUCAACAUUUAUACUUUAAGGUUAACUAGCAAUCUCAUCUCAUUAUCAUUACAAUAAUGUCAAAUAAUAAAAAUCGAAAGAUGUGAAAGGAAAAGGCAAUAUAUAAAUGACGCCUUUGCAAGUUCGCAGGCACCAUUUAAGAACCCAACAAAGGACUAACAUAUUUUGCUAUUGAACUUUUUUUUUUAAUUUGUUUAAAUUGAAGUUAGAAUUGUUGUAAAUAUAUACAACUAAUUGAAGUUAGAGAAAAAAAAAAACUAAAUUAAAAUAUUAUUAUAAAUAUUUAUAAAUAUUGCACAAUUUUAUCUUUGUACAAUCUAGAUAGAUAUGUAUUACACACAAGAGAACAUUAAUUUAAUUAUAUUGACUAAUAAUAUGCUUAUGCUCAAAUAAAUUAUUCUUAGUUAGCUCUCCGAUUCUACAAGACAUGCUUCCCAUUUCUUCUCUUUUUCUUCUUUAAUUAACAACACCAUUAAUUACAACUGUUGUUUAUAAUUUAAAUAUGUAAUAUUAUUUAUUAAUAUCAUAGGACUAUGCUUAUAAAUAACCUCUCCUUCAUUCUAUCAUUACUAUCAAAAUCAUGGGGAAUAAACCUUUGGCAAUUCUUCUCUUGAUCAUCUCUAUCUUCCUUCCUCUUUGCUUUUCACUUCCAUUGAUCCAAGUUUCUCCAUUUGCAUUUCUGAAUGACCUCCAAGGAUGCAAGAAAGGUGAUAAUGUCAAAGGCAUAUCCAAGCUUAAGAACUUUUUCCGUUAUUAUGGUUAUUUAAACCAUCAAAUCAAUGCCACUGGUCAUUUGAUCGACAUUGAUGCCAACGACAUCUUUGAUGAUCGCUUGGAGUCUGCCAUCAAAACCUACCAACAAUACUUCCAUCUAAACCCUACUGGAUCGCUGAAUGCCGAGACGUUAUCCCAACUUGCAACACCUCGGUGUGGCAAUCCAGAUAUCAUUAAUGAAACCACUGGUAGAAUGC
rnacentral:lncRNA from 1 species